AUCAUUUCAAAUUUGAGUUGUUAAAUUUCUAUGAUUAAAUAAAUUGAAUCUGAAAUGAGUUUGAAUUAAUUGGGUUUGUGAUCAUUGACACUAGUAAAUGGGUUUUUGUUAAACAAUUGAAGGAACUGAAGACAUGGACCGGUUAAUAACGACAGUGCCAGGCAUGGAAACUUAUCUUCGAUGUCGAGACCUUCCUACUUUUUGUCGAAAACUGGACAUUGAAGAUUCAUUUAUGAAGCUAGUCGUAAAAAAGACACGAAAGAGCCUUCAAGCAGAUGCCUUGAUACUCAACACCGCCGAAGAGCUCGAUGGGCCUAUACUAUCUCAAAUACGCACCAAAUGCCCUCGUGUCUAUGCCGUUGGACCCUUACAUGCUCAAUUAAACACUAGACUCAAUGUAAAACAUGGAGAAUCAUAUGAUCAUUUCUCGAAUACACUUUGGGAAGUGGAUAAAAGCUGCAUCUUUUGGCUCAAUAAGCAACCAAAUCGAUCUGUUAUCUAUGUAAGUUUUGGUAGCAUUACGAGCACGUCAAGGGAGCAACUUUUAGAGCUUUGCUAUGGACUUCUUAACAGUAAAACGAAGUUCUUGUUUAUUGUAAGGCCAAAUUCCGUGAUUGGAAAAGAUGGUGAAGGGGAGGAUGUUGUAAUGGAGCUUAUGGAGAAGAGUAAGGAUCGAGGUUACAUUGUAAAUUGGGCACCACAAGAGGCGGUCUUGAACCACCCAGCCGUUGGCGGGUUCUUUACGCAUAAUGGAUGGAACUCGACUUUGGAGAGCAUCGUCGCACGGGUGCCUAUGAUUUGCUGGCCUUACUUUGCUGACCAACACGUGAAUAGUAGGGUUGUGAGUGAGGUGUGGAAAAUAGGGUUGGAUAUGAAGGAUGUAUGUGAUAGAAAGAUAGUUGAGAAAAUGGUAAAUGAUGUGAUGGUGGAUCGAAAGGAGGAGUUUGCAAAAUCCGCAUCUGAAAUGGCUAAGGUAACCAAUCAAAGUGUUAAUGUUGGUGGGUCUUCUUAUAGUAAUUUGGACUGUUUAGUUGAAGAUAUUAGAAUAAUGAGCUUGAAAAAACUCACAAAAUGAGCUUUGAACCACCCAGCCGUUGGCGGGUUCUCUUCAUUUUAAUUUUUUUUAUUGCAAUAUCUCUUUAAACAAAGUAAUUGAAUAGCAGUAAAACUUUUCAAAAUAUCCUUACAUGAUUGAAUAACUUGAUCAAUUACAAUCACCAAAUUUUUUUAUUAUUAACCUUAAAAAUAUGUACAACAAUAGUUACUUAAAUCCUAUCAAAAUAUGCCAAUAAAAUAGGUAAUUUAUAAACAACUUAAUUGCAAAUUGAGUUGUGACUAACUGAGUAAUUGACGAAUGAUGCAAGUCCCAAGACCCAAUUUCAGACUAAUGAAUGUGAUGAUUCACAUUACCUCAAAGCCCAACAAUAGUGUCAAAGGUCAAACAAAUCAAACUAAGAUCCAAUCAAAAACAAUAUUCGAGUAUGAAUUUUUUCGAGAAAAGGGGGGAUGAUAUAUGUAUGAAUGGGAUGAAAUUUAUUACAUUUCAUUCACCAAAGCUGUCAACUUUCAAGUUUAGGAAAUCAACAAACUUGCAACGCCUUUUUGGAUGAGAUCCAGGCAUAUCUGGGUUGAGACUCUUCAUGGUGUUCGAAAUUUAUCUAUCUUGGAUUUGAUUGCGUUUCAGAUUAUGUCAAAAUUCUAAAUUUCUUUCCUAACGUCUAGAGGCCUAAGUCAAUUUCGUGAUUUAAACAAACUUUACAAUCCACUUCCACAUUCAUCCGCCUCAACCUUUAUCAAUGACACUAACAUUCUCACCCUUUGACACUAACAACUACAGUAUUAUCUUCAUAAAAUGAGCUAACAUAAAGAAGUAGCAAGUAGCAAACAUUAUGAAUAAACGGAAUACUUAACAGUAAAAAGCAUGCAAAAGGAGAACUCCCCUUCGAUAGUAGCAUCAAUACAUCCCCCCAAUAAACACAAUAGAACGGGAGCGGGCUUUUAUUUCUUUUCUUAAAAUGUGAAUGCAUGGUAAAGAUGGUUUUUUUUUUUUGCACUAUAGGUUGAAGUGGUUAUAAUUAUUAUUUUCUUUGCUCCACCCUAGGCUCAUUAUAUAAAGUUAUUAUUUUACCUUUUAUAUUUAUUGAUACAACAAGGGAGGAAGAUAAGGAGGAGGUCAAGAUGGUGCAAUGAAGGCCAAUUCACCUAAAGAGGUUGAGAGUCGAAACAAGAACAAAUGACAGACUAACCAAGAAGACAAUUGCUCAUUAACUCUAGAGCGCUAAAAAAAAAGGAUCUUUUUGCAUCAUUCCUUAGAAUAUUUUCUCUUGUCCACUGAUAUGACAUGGCCAGAUAAACAUUCAAUCCCGCAAAAUGUGUAAAGGAUAUUUAUAGGUGUAAAUCAUGGGACCUUAUCAAUAUGAAAUUAUUAUGCCUAAAUGGACUCUUUAUCAUAUAAAGAGUGCAUUCAUACUAAAAGAAUGUUAAUACUUAAAACGGGUGGAUGAUUCCAUCUAAGAGGAACGAGUGGUCUAUUGAAGUGAUACUUCAUAUGAAGUCAACAAGAUGUCUAUAAAGCAUCUGAUAUUGACACGUGUUCGAGUGACGGAGGGGUAUAGCAACAUUAAAAGAGUAAAAAUAUAAAAAUAUGUUUGAGCCUUGAAUUACCAAGUUAAGACUUAGUGGUUUCUGAUUUCUAAUUGCUAAUAUAAGAAUAUUAAGAUAAAUUAAUUGCUAGGGAAUUUUUAAUUUUUAAGGUAAAUUCAAUUCCUAUUUACUUGGGAGGUUGUCCUAAGUAAUCAAAAUUAUGUUUAAAAUAUUAAAAAUAAUUAAGAAAAAUCAAAAUGAAACAACGUAUGGUAAAAUGAGAAUGGAUAUAUUUAAUAUCUAUAAUGAAAAUAAUAAAUUAUAAAAUUAAAUAUUUAUGAUGGAACGAAAUAGAUAAUAAAAUAAUUUAAGAUUUAACAAUAUUUAGAAUGGAGAGCAAUGUUAUGUUGGCUUUACUUUUCGGACCAAUAAUUGGGAAGUCGAUUUUGUUUGGGAUUUUGGUGUUUUUUUUUUUCAGAAUUGGUGCAUGAAAGGGUCGGCGAAAAUGGGUAAAUUGGCUAAAUCAUGUGACCGUGUCAGUCAGUGGUCCUUAUUAUUGCAACUAUGAUAAAAUCAUGUUGUAAUAAAUAAUUGUAGUCACGUGACAUGCAAUAAGAUGGAAUCUUUCUGAUUUCUUUUUGCAAGUUUUAGAAGUACGAGUUGGACAAUGUUGUCUUUAAUUGCAGGCUGAUUUGAUGCAAAUGCAAUUUUUUUUUAUAAUAAUCAAAACAAUAAAUAAAUUGUGUCUAGUGCUCUCAUCUUUUAGAAUAUCUUAAUCUCCAUGACAGCUAUCAAACAUAUAUAAAAUUUCAUUAUUCAAGAGUGUUAUUUUUGUUAAUAUGUCUGCACUUUUAUUAUUCAUUUUAGGAACAUAUCAAAGGAUCAUAUCUUCUUUUUAGCUAGGAAUGUUGAAUCAUCCUAAUUAAGGUUAGUUUUUUCAGGUUUGUUAUCACUAAUAGCUGUUACGACCUCAAGACUAUUAGAAUAAAUGAUAAUCUCAUCAGAUCUUUAUUUUUUUUAAUCUAUGUAAACUAUUUAAUACGUCCCAAAAUUCGGCAGCUACAACCGAACAUUUCUUCAAAAAGCGAUUAUAGUCCAAAAUCUAAUUUCUCUUCCCAUCACAUAUUACUCUACCUACAGCUGAAAACUAGAAAUAGAAUUAACAGCACCUUCAAUAUUAAGAAGAAAACCCAUAGCUGCAGAUCCAUCACCAAGACUUCAUUAUUUGUUGGCCUUGCUUUGGUGACCAACAAUUGAACAGUAGGUUUGUGGAGGAAGUCUGGAAAUUAGGAUUAGAUAUGAAGGAUGUGUAUGAUAGGAGAGUUGUGGAGCAAACGGUGAAUGAUUUAAUGGUGGAAAAAAGGGAGGAGAUUUUGAAAUCAGCUGCUGAAUUUGCUAAAUUGGCUAAAGGAUCUGUGAAUAUUGGUAGGUCUUCGUAUUAUAAUGCAUGGUAUCAAGAGCCUUUGUAUAAGUUUUUUUUUCCUCUGGUUCUUUUCUCUCUAUUUGUUCAUGGCUACAGAUGGUAGUGACACUCCUCGCCAUUCUAGUGAUUCUGGUGCUGCAGUUCAUCAAUCGGAUUCGGGGGUCCUUCAAUCUUCCGGAAUUCAUUAUUUUUCUAAGCAUGAUACAAUUAAGCUUAGUGAACAUAAUUUUCUUUUGUGGAAACAUCAGUUGAUGUUGAUCUUGGAAAGGUAUGGCCUUGAAGGAUUUGUUUUAGGCACCACGCUUCCUCCUCCGGCGUUCAUAACGGGUUCUGAUGGACAACUGGUAGCGAAUCCUGCGUUUUUUGCUCAUAACAAACAAGAUAAGUUUCUUGCCUCAUGGCUUUUAUCCACCAUUUCUGAUGAAGUAUUAGUUCAUUUAACAGCAACUAAAACCAGCUCUGAUACCAUGUCAAGAUACAUUGAAUUACUGAUGAUAUUACUGAUGAUAAAGUGCAGUACAUCAGAGUAUUUAAUACAAGAAUAUCUCAACUGCUAAUGAUAACUGCUAAGAGAUACUAACAACCUAACUACUUUGGACUAACUAACUCUUAUCCAUAACAUAGGGACAACAAAAUGAGGGACCUUUCCCAUCCCCACUUUUUUUAUUAAAUUAUUUCCUAGGUUCCUGCUAAUUUCGAAUUAAACAAUUUGCCCCUAAUUUCUUUAAUUACCUCUUACAUCUUUGUCAACUUUUAAAUUAAUAAUCGUAUCUGUUUGCUUUUAUACUAAUAUAUGGUUUUCAAUUGAUAAGAUAAAAAUAUUAAAAAAUAAUUUAAAUUACUAAUAUCUCGUAUUAAUUGAUACGAGUUAUGAUAAUUAUCAAUAUAAAUCGAUAUUAAUUAAAACAUAUUAAAUUUUUUCUUAAAAUUGAACUUAAAUUAUUUGGUAUCAAAAUGGUGGGGACUAUUAUCCUCUAAUGUUUUAUCUUGAUUCUGUCCCUGCCCGAAGUAGCUAGUGAAGGGGAAUAAAGAUGUUUCGUAUAGGAAAAUUGCUUUAACGAAAAUGGUGAAUGAAAUUGAUGGUUGAAAACAAAGAAGAGAUUGAGAAAUCUGUCAGCGGCCUUGCUGCAAUUUCGAUUGUUUUAUUAAAGACAUAAAAGAACAUGUUGUAAUUAAUUAACUUGCAGUCACAUGGCAUGCAAUAAAGAUGUAUUUUUUCUUUUUAAAUUAGAUCCAAGGUUAUUAAAUAUUAAUAAAUUUAUAUUUUGAUUAAUUAACUAGAUAUAAAAUAAUCACUACUAUUCAAAAGAUUUUAUUUAAGUCAUUAGCUUUAAGUUUGGUUUACAAGCUUCAAACAACAAUUCGACGAAUAGUAUGGUAGAUCAGUACCCAUCAAGAAAUAGAAGAACAUAACUUAGAUCCAAGUCAAUCUGACAGUCAGUGUUGGAGAUUGAAGAAGAAAGUUAUUUGGAUUUUGGUUCGUAAAAAUGAAAAAAUUUGAACCGUACAAGAAAAGGGGAAGAAAAGUUUUCGAUUUGUGCAAGCGAUGCGAACGGAAAAAACUAUACAAUAACGAUUUUAACUGUUAAGUAACUUAAAUAAAAACUUCGAAUAAUUUUAUUACUAUUUUAUAACUUUAUGAAUUCGAGUGAACAAUAUAUAAUUUAACUAGUAGUUUUUAUUUACGGUUUUGAAGCCUAUAUUAUUUUCAUUCAAGCUUUUGUUUAUUGUUUUGAAGGUUUUAUUUGGUGUAAUAUUUUAAUUAUGCUCAACAAUUUCAAUAAUAUUAAUUUACAUUAAUUGCAUGAAAUAAAAAAAUUACUUUUAAUGAAAAAUAAAUAAAUAAAAUCAUUAAUUAAUUUACUUUAAAUGGGUGAAUUGAAAAAAUAUAUUAGAAAAUAAAAAUAAUAUUAUAACCAUAUUUUUUCUUAAAACUUAAAAAAAUUAAAACAAAAUUAAUUUUCCUAUAUUUAAAUUUUAGCCCCAAUAAAUUAUAAUAGAACUUUUAAAUAAACUAUAAAUUCAAAAAAAAAGAACUUUUAAAUAAACUCUUUUGAUUUUUUUUAUUUUAACAAUUUGUAAUAUUCGGAAAAUAAAUAUCACGAAAAGCACUUUAAAAAAAUAGAAUGUAUUAAUCUCAAAAGAAAGAAAAAGUCAUUAAGAAUAUAACAAGUGCGCCACACAUCCUGUAACACCCCUAAUUCGUAGUCGACGCCAGAACAGGGUUACGGAGCAUUAUUGGACUUAUAAAUCAAACAAUCACACAUGACGUAUAUAUUUAUCAUUCGUAUCAAAAACUAUUCAAAUACAUUUAUAAAGUCCCUAAUACGAGCCCUUAAGGCCCAAAUAGACAUUAGAAGUGAUUUGGGACUAAACUGAGUUCGGCAUUUACAACCAUACAAAGCUUUAUACGGUGCCAUCUUAAUGCUUGAUUGAAAGCUAUUAUUAUACGCAAAUUCAACCAACGAUAAAUAGUUUUCCCAAUUACCUUGGAACUCUAGAACACAGCAACACAACAUAUCCUCAAGAAUUUGAAUUACUCUCUCAGACUGACCAUCGAUUUUGGGAUGAAAUGCAGCGCUAAAAUGCAACCGCGUACCCAAAGCCUCUUGCAAUUUCUUCUAAAACCAUGAUGUAAAUUUGAGAGCAACCAAUCCGAAAUAUUACCUUCAAAUAACUGUUUAUUUUGAUUAGAGGAAAUGAUUUGAGUUCAAAUAUCCUUCGUACAUGGACAGCCCCUAAGAACAUGUAAAACAUCAUUUGUGUGGUGACCACAAAGAUGACACAACUCAUCAUGUCCAAUUCCCCUUCAGACUUUUUCAGAGAAAGUUAAAAGUCUUUUCUUUAGGAUUAUCCAGAUGAACUGUCUAACUCUUUGAAGGCCCGAUAUAUUUUUACCAUUCGUAUCAAAAACCAAUCAAAUACAUUUAUACAGUCCCUAAUAGCCCUCAAGGCCCCAAAUAGACAUUAAAAGUGGUUCAGAACUAAACCGAGUUCUCUACGAAUUUUUAAGAAAACAUGAAAAAAUUUUAAAGUGUAGGGGUCACAUGGCCGUUUGGAUAGGGGACAUGCCCAUGUGGCUAUGGGACACUCCCGUGCCUCAGGCCGUGUUUGAUCUCAUGUAACUCUCUAACUUGGGUCAUGUGGCCAAACCACACGUCCGUGUGCUAGGCCAUGUACCCUUCGAAAUGGCCUCACACGCCUUUGUGCCAGGCCGUAUGUUAAGUGGUGUGAAAACUAGAGGGUAUACUGACUUAUGACACACAGCCAAACCACACGCCCAUGUGCUUGGCCGUGUGAGGCUACUGACUUGAUUUCAAAAGAAACAUUAGGGGACACACGACCGUGUCACCUGGCCGUGUGUCGCACACGGCUGAGACACACACUCAUGUCUCUGCCCGUGUGGACAAAAAUAGGCCAUUUUCCAAGCCAUAUUCCUCACCCACAUUAGUACCAACCUAUACACAUCAAUUGACACACAACCAUGGCAUAAAUAGGUACUCAAGGCCAACCAAUAUCAAUUUUAUAACAUGAACAUUUACACCACAACAUGAUAUAACAAACAAAUUCAUUCAACCACCUUAAAACAUACCCAAAAGAUCAUUUAUACAUAUUUACAAGCCAAGUUUACCAAAAUAAGCCAAAUCACAUAGUUUUAUACGUAUAACCAAAACAACAUAAGACAUAUAUGCCACAUUAACCAAAACACCUAUACAUGUCAUUUAACCCAAAAUGUAAAGUCCAAGUACCAAAAUAAAGUUUGAUAAUGCGACGUGAUCUCCGACAAUUUCCGAAUCGAGUGAGCUUCCAAAAUACUAUAAAACAUGAACAAAUAAACAGAAUAAGCAAUUAAGCUUAGCAAGUUCGUAAUUCAAAGAAUAAAACUUACCGUAUAACUAAAAUUUUAGGUAAAUAACUCCAAACAUAAUUCGAUUCAGUUUGGCCUAAGCCUAUCAUACAACCCAUAAUCAAGUUAAUCAUGUAUUCACAUAAAUCUGAAAAUCAUAUAUGAAUUCAUCAAUUUAUCAAAUUCUCUAUACAUGUAACAUCUAGUCGUAUAUCAAAUAUCAACCAUUUCCAUGCAAAUACCUGUACUUGUCAAAUCGGACUUGUAUAAUCCCGUAAUAACACUAUGCCCAUUGAACCAUCUAAAAUAUCGUAGGAUACGCGGGUAGUGCACACAAAGUGUACUAAAUGGUAAACCGUCAAUUCUUAUACAUGUGUCCUCAUACGAGCGAUAAACAGUAAGCUCAUCCGAGCUUAAUAUCAGUAAACUCUUCCGAGCAGAAUAACAGUAAGAUCAUCGAGGAUAGGUACAUGGACAUAGCUAAAGGGGCUGACAGGGGCCUUAAUCCCCCUAAAUGAAAUUUUUUUCAUGUAGGUCUUUUAAAAUUUUUAAAAUUUUAAAUUAUAAGAGAUAAAAUUACACUUUAACCCCCUAAAAAUGAUAAAAUUUUGAUUUAAUCUUUUAAAAAUUAUAAAAAUAUAAACUAUUAAAAAUAAUAAAAUUCUAUUUUUAUCAUUAUAAAAAUUAUAAUUUAAUUUUAGACAUGAAAAAAUUUUCUAACUUUACUCUUAGAUAAGAGCCUAAUUGGUUUCCUAAAAAUGAUAAAUAUAUCAUUUAUUUCUUAACUUAUAAAUUAAUAUAUUGGUGAAAAAAAAAUUGACAACAUUCUCCACCUUAUCCAAAGACGACAUCUUUUGGCCAUUAAAUAGCUUCCAAAAUGUCGAUUCUUUAGCACAUAAAACUCAAAAAGCCCCUCAAAACAGACCCUCCAAUUAGAUGGAGCAGGAUCGAUCCUCUCAAUCCCGUCCUCCACAUGUCCUCGUCUUCCCCUUUCCAUUACAAGGCCAUAUAAACUCCAUGAUUAAGCUAGCUGAACUGCUAGCUAUCGCCGGCUUCAAGCUCACUUUCCUCAACUCCCACCACAACCAUGAGCGCUUGGUCAAGUUCAACAAUAUUGCUGCCCAUUCUGAAAGAUACCCAGGGUUCCAAUUCAAGACCAUAACCGAUGGUCUCCCUCUUGAUCAUCCUAGGUCAGGGAACUGGUUCCUUGAUACGUUAGAAGAUACCAUGGAACUUAAGAUGAAGGAAAGUUUGAGAGAGGUACUUGUGAAUAGUAGCCCGCCAGUAGAUUGCAUAAUUGGAGAUGGGGUUUUAAGCUUUGCUCUUGAUGUUGCAAAGGAGCUUGGAAUCCCCAUUAUUUUUUUUCGUACCAGCAGUCCUCGUUGUUUCUGGGUUAGUUAUUCUAUCCCUGAUAUAAUCCAAGCUGGGGAGCUUCCUAUCAAUGGUAAAUCCACUUCUUUUUCAUCAACUUUGUUUAUUGUACCAUGUUUAGCACUGUUUUUAAUUUAGAAUAACACAAAACCUUAAGUUGAAAUGAUUCUACAAGCAUGUUGAAGAAAUUAACGAGAAAGACAUUUGGAAUAUUCCUGUUAGGCGAGUUGAUUUGGUUUAAGUUUGAUUAAUUCGGAAUUUAAAAAAUUUAAAUCAUUUCAUGUUUCAAUUUUUUUAAGAGGUUUGGUUUCGGAUUGGAAUCAGUUUCGUUGUUGUCAUUUAGAUUUACUAAUUUAACUUUUAAAUUUGAGUUAUUUUGGGUCAUUAUAUUUUUGGGUUACUUUAGGAUAAUUGAGUUUUUGUAUCUUUUAUUUUAGGUUUGAGUCAUUCCGAAUAUAAAUCAUUCUAGAUUGAUGGGUUUUUCAAGUUGAAUCAUUUCAGGAUUUUUUCCAUUCAGGUUUAAUACUUAAGUUUCGACCACUUUGGGUAAUUUGUUCCCGUUGUUUUUUAAGUUCGAGUUGUUCGAAGCUGUGAUCAUGUUUGAGCUUAGAUCAUUUUUUUUCCAUUCAGGUUUAAUACUUAAGUUUCGACCACUUUGGGUAAUUUGUUCCCGUUGUUUUUUAAGUUUGAGUUGUUCGAAGCUGUGAUCAUGUUUGAGCUUAGAUCAUUUAAAAUUUGAGUUGUUAAAUUUCUAUGAUUAAAUAAAUUGAAUCUGAUAUGAGUUUGAAUUAAUUGGGUUUGUGAUAAUUGACACUAGUAAAUGGGUUUUUGUUAAACAAUUGAAGGAACUGAAGACAUGGACCGGUUAGUAACGACAGUUCCAGGCAUGGAAACUUAUCUUCGAUGUCGAGAUCUUCCUACUUUUUGUCGAAAACUGGACCUUGAAGAUUCAAUAUUUAUGAAGCUAGUCGUAAAAACGACACGAAAGAGCCUUCAAGCCGAUGCCUUGAUACUCAACACCGCUGAAGAGCUCGAUGGGCCCAUACUAUCUCAAAUACGCACCAAAUGCCCUCGUGUCUAUGCCGUUGGACCCUUACAUGCUCAAUUAAACACUAGACUCAAUGCAAAACAUGGAGAAUCAUAUGAUCACUUCUCGAAUACACUUUGGGAAGUGGAUAAAAGCUGCAUCUGUUGGCUCAAUAAGCAACCGAAUCGAUCUGUUAUCUAUGUAAGUUUUGGUAGCAUUACGAGCACGUCAAGGGAGCAACUUGUAGAGCUUUGCUAUGGACUUCUUAAUAGUAAAACGAAGUUCUUGCUUGUUGUAAGGCCAAAUUCCGUGAUUGGAAAAGAUGGUGAAGGGGAGGAUGUUGUAAUGGAGCUUACGGAGAAGAGUAAGGAUCGAGGUUACAUAGUAAAUUGGGCACCACAAGAGGAGGUCUUGAACCACCCAGCCUUUGGCGGGUUCUUUACGCAUAAUGGAUGGAACUCGACUUUGGAGAGCUUCGUCGCUGGGGUGCCUAUGAUUUGCUGGCCUUACUUUGCUGACCAACACGUGAAUAGUAGGGUUGUGAGUGAGGUGUGGAAAAUAGGGUUGGAUAUGAAGGAUGUAUGUGAUAGAAAUAUACUGGAGAAAAUGGUAAAUGAUGUGAUGGUGGUGUUGCGGAAGCGACGAUAAUAUUAAUAACAAUAUUAUCAGAAAUAUUUAGAUAAUUAUUAUGCCAACAAUUAUACUAAGAAAAUUCCCAGUUAAAUUGGAGGGGUCACAAAUGGUCCCGCUUAAAACCCAACAACUAGACAGAACUCACUUAGAUAUUUAUGGCAAUAAUAACUAAAUAAAUAUAACCAACAUAAAGCUAUUAAAUAUAAGCAAACAAAUAAGAAAUAAAAUACCAGAGAUUUAACGAGGUUCGGCCAAUUUAGCUUACGUCCUCGGACACUACCAAAUUAAUAUUUCUUCUAGAAAUAUUACAAAGGAGAAGAUUUUGGGAUGAUACAACCAAAGGGGGAGGGGUUCUAUAUAUAACAAACCAAUCCCCCUCCAUUUCUAUCUUUUCCUAAUGUGGGAUAUUGCCAAUAUUCAACAAAUCUCCACCUUGGCGAUAUUCCACAUCUUCGAACAUCUUCUCAUAACACAAACUUCAAUAGUGUCUUCAAAUUUGCAACCAAUCGCCUUCUUCCCUUUUGGUAGUUGUGUCAGCUUCCACGUCUUGUUUUUCUCUAGAGAUUGCAUUUCCUCUUCCAUUGCACCUAACCAUCUAUUAUUCUCUAAACUCUGAAUGGCUUCGGUGUAAGUGGAUGGAAUAUUAUCAACAACUGGAAGUGCAUAAGCUACCAUGUCAGUGAAACGAGCAGGUUUCUGAAUUUCUUGUCUCUGCCUUCUGACUGCAAUUGGCUCUGAUUGCUGUUGAGGUUCUUGGGUAGAAACCUCUUCCUCAUCUGACUCUGCAUCUGCCAAUGAAGAAUCACUAGUGGUACCUUUUGCUGGAAUUACCACACUCUGCUCAAACUCCACCUGCUGCGGAGUACACUCCACCUGCUGCGAAGUACUACUCACUCCUUCUGGAUUUACCUUAUUCAACAUGGCAGAUUCAUGAAAGGUAACAUCCCUACUGAUUAUCGUCUUCUUUGCCUCUAGACACCACAAACGAUAUCCCUUAACACCAGCAUUGAAGCCCAUGAAUAGAGCCUUCUUUGCUCUUGGAUCUAACUUUGAUUCUUUCACAUGAUAAUAUGCAAUAGAACCAAAAAUGCGCAAGGUGUCAUAAUCAGUAGCAGGUUUUCCAUACCAUUUCUCCAAAGGAGUCUUGCCAUUUAUAGCAGAUGAUGGCAAAUGAUUGAUGAGAUGUUGAGCGUACGUCACAGCCUCAGUCCAAAACUUUCUAUCUAAUCCAGCAUUAGAUAACAUACAUCGAACUUUCUCCACAAGCGUUCGAUUCAUACGCUCUGCCACCCCAUUCUGUUGCGGUGUUCCACCUACGGUGAAGUGCCUUACUAUGCCACAAUCUUGGCAUAUCUUCAGGAAAGGAUCGCUUUUAUAUUCUCCACCGUUGUCUGAUCGGAGAACCUUAAUCUUCCUUCCUGUCUGAUUUUCAACUUUAGUUUUCCACUUAAGGAAAACUUCAAGCACCUCAUCUUUGUUCUUCAUAGGAAACACCCAAACUCGUCUAGAAAAAUCAUCAAUAAAGGUGACAAAAUAACGUCUUCCUCCAAGUGAUGGAGUCUUGAACGGUCCCCAUACAUCAGAAUGCACAUAAUCCAGAAUACCUUUAGUAUUGUGAAUCCCAGUGCCAAAUUUCACCCUUCGUUGUUUUCCCAGAACACAAUGCUCGCAAAAUUCAAGUUUGCAAGUCUUUGUACCUUCCAAUAAUCCUUGCUUGGCUAGAGUUUGCAAGGAUUUUUCACCAGCAUGGCCCAAACGCAUAUGCCACAGCUGUGUUGCCUCAGCGUCCUUCUUGGUACUCGUAAUUGCUGCUGCUGUUGUCCCGACCACUGUACUACCUUGGUAGUAAUACAGAUUGUUCUUUCUUAUGCCUUUCAACAUCACCAAUGCUCCUGAAGUUGCUUUAAGAACUCCAUCUCGUAUUGUCACAACUAGGCCUUUAGAUUCUAACGACCCCAAAGAGAUGAGAUUCUUCUUCAACUUUGGGACAUAUCGUACAUCCCGCAAAAUUCUAGUAGAUCCAUCAUGACACCUCAGUUUAAUUGAACCUAUCCCGGCUAUUUUACAUGUGUUAUCAUUACCCAUGUAAACAACCCCUUCAUCUAGUUUUUGAAAUUCAAAGAACCAUUCCCGAAUGGGACACAUAUGAUAGGAACAACCAGAAUCCAUGAUCCACUCAUCUGCAUAUAAUGUUGAAGAUGUCAUACUAAGAGAAAAGUCUGACUCUGCUUCACUAUUGCAUUCUGCAACAUUUCCAUCUUGCGGAGUCUUCCCUUUUUUCUUCAAUUUUGGACAAUCUUUCUUCCAACGUCCUUUUUCUUUGCAAAAAGAACAUUCAUCUUUGGCAACAGCUCGACCUUUGGACUUUCUUCUCUUCCCCUUAGACUGACUUUGCUGACGACCUCUUGUUACCAAUGCUUCCACUGCUACUUCACCUGAACCUUUCAACUUAUCCUUUCGGCGUAGUUCAUAGCUAUACAAUGCAGCAGUUACUUCAUUGAAAGUUACUUCCGAUUUUCCAUGAAGUAGAGUAGUUUCAAGGUACUCAAACUCCUCAGGAAGCGAUCCCAACAACAUUAACGCCAAGUCUUCGUCUUCAAAAGUCACAUCCAAAUUCAACAAAUCAGCCACCAGCUGAUUAAAAUUGGUAAUGUGCUCGUUCAUCGUGGUACCAGGAACAUAAUUGAAACGAAACAGUCUUUUCUUCAUAUGCAACUUAUUUUGACUGUUCUUCUUCAAGAAUUUCUCCUCCAAUGCUUUCCACAAUUUACUUGCAGAAGUCUCUUUACUGAAUGUAUACUUUUGCUCUCUGGAAAGACAUGAUCGAAUUGUACCACAUGCCAAUCGGUUGAUGGUCUUCCAUUCUUUAUCAUCAACCCCUUCUGGUUUUUCUUCCUCAAUGGCAAUAUCUAGACCCUGUUGAAAGAGGGCAUCUAGAAGCUCACUUUGCCACAUGCCGAAAUGACCUGUUCCAUCAAAAAUUUCCACUACAAAUCUCGUAUUUGCAGUUCCAAUCCUCGGCAAAAUGUACGAAGUGGAAGUUGUUGAUAUGGAUUGUUUUUCUUCUGUCAUUUUUGCCAUAGCUUCUAUUUAAUAGCCACCAAAUGCGGAAUACCCACAAGCUUUCGGAAAUGUUUCUGAUGUGUAAGAUCAGACUAAGCUGCAAACACAGAGCAUACUACAAAACCUUGGCUCGGAUACCAAUUGUUGCGGAAGCGACGAUAAUAUUAAUAACAAUAUUAUCAAAAAUAUUUAGAUAAUUAUUAUGCCAACAAUUAUACUAAGAAAAUUCCCAGUUAAAUUGGAGGGGUCACAAAUGGUCCCGCUUAAAACCCAACAACUAGACAGAACUCACUUAGAUAUUUAUAGCAAUAAUAACUAAAUAAAUAUAACCAACAUAAAGCUAUUAAAUAUAAGCAAACAAAUAAGAAAUAAAAUACCAGAGAUUUAACGAGGUUCGGCCAAUUUAGCUUACGUCCUCGGACACUACCAAAUCAAUAUUUCUUCUAGAAAUAUUACAAAGGAGAAGAUUUUGGGAUGAUACAACCAAAGGGGGAGGGGUUCUAUAUAUAACAAACCAAACCCCCUCCAUUUCUAUCUUUUCCUAAUGUGGGAUAUUGCCAAUAUUCAACAGGUGGAUCGAAAGGAGGAGUUUGCAAAAUCCGUAUCUGAAAUGGCUACGGUAAGCAAUCAAAGUGUUAAUGUUGGUGGGUCUUCUUAUAGUAAUUUGGACUGUUUAGUAGAAGAUAUUAGAAUAAUGAGCUUGAAAAAACUCACAAAAUGAGCUUUGAACCACCCAGCCGUUGGGGGGUUCUCUUCAUUUUAAUUUUUUUAUUGCAAUAUCUCUUUCAACAAAGUAAUUGAAUAGCAGUAAAACUUUUCAAAAUAUCCUUACAUGAUUGAAUAUCUUUAUCAAUUACAAUCACCAAUUUUUUUUAUUAUUAAGCUUAAAAAUAUGUACAACAAUAGUUACUUAAAUCCUAUCAAAAUAUGCCAAUAAAAUAGGUAAAUUACAAACAACUCAAUUGCAAGUUAAGUUGUGACUAACUGAGUAAUUGAGGAAUGAUGCAAGCCCCAUGACCCAACAACCAGUUUCAGACUAAUGGAUGUGAUGAGUUCACAUCAUCUCAAAGCUCAACAAUAGUGUCAAAGGCCAAACAAAUCAAACCAAGAUCCAAUCAAAGACAAUAUUCGAGUAUGAAUUUUUUCGAGGAAAGGGGGAUGAUAUAUGUUCGGAUGGGAUGAAAUUUAUUAAAUUUCAUACACCAAAGCUGUCAACUUUCAAGUUUAGGAAAUCAACAAACUUGCAGCGCCUUUUUAGAUGGGAUCCAGGCAUAUCUGGGUAGAGAUUCUUCAUGGCGUUCGAAAUUUAUCUAUCUUGGAUUUGAUUGCUUUUCAGACUAAUUACCAAGUAAUUGACGAACUCAAGACCCAAUUUCAGACUAAUGGAUGUGAUGAGUUCACAUUACCUCAAAGCUUAACAAUAGUGUCAAAGGCCAAACAAGUCAAACCAAGAUUCAAUCAAUGAUAAUAUUCGAGUAUGAAUUUUUUCGAGGAAAGGGGGAUGAUAUAUGUAUGGAUGGGAUGAAAUUUAUUAAAUUUCAUUCACCAAAGUUGUCAACUUUCAAGUUUAGGAAAUCAACAAACUUCCUACAUUUUGUCGAAAACUGGACAUUGAAGAUUCAUUUAUGAAGCUAGUCGUAAAAAAGACACGAAAGAGCCUUCAAGCAGAUGCCUUGAUACUCAACACCGCUGAAGAGCUCGAUGGGCCUAUACUAUCUCAAAUAUGCACCAAAUGCCCUCGUGUCUAUGCCGUUGGACCCUUACAUGCUCAAUUAAACACUAGACUCAAUGUAAAACAUGGAGAAUCAUAUGAUUAUUUCUCGAAUACACUUUGGGAAGUGGAUAAAAGCUGCAUCUUUUGGCUCAAUAAGCAACCAAAUCGAUCUGUUAUCUAUGUAAGUUUUGGUAGCAUUACGAGCAUGUCAAGGGAGCAACUUUUAGAGCUUUGCUAUGGACUUCUUAACAGUAAAACGAAGUUCUUGUUUAUUGUAAGGCCAAAUUCCGUGAUUGGAAAAGAUGGUGAAGGGGAGGAUGUUGUAAUGGAGCUUAUGGAGAAGAGUAAGGAUCGAGGUUACAUUGUAAAUUGGGCACCACAAGAGGCGGUCUUGAACCACCCAGCCGUUGGCGGGUUCUUUACGCAUAAUGGAUGGAACUCGACUUUGGAGAGCAUCGUCGCACGGGUGCCUAUGAUUUGCUGGCCUUACUUUACUGACCAACACGUGAAUAGUAGGGUUGUGAGUGAGGUGUGGAAAAUAGGGUUGGAUAUGAAGGAUGUAUGUGAUAGAAAGAUAGUUGAGAAAAUGGUAAAUGAUGUGAUGGUGGAUCGAAAGGAGGAGUUUGCAAAAUCCGCAUCUGAAAUGGCUAAGGUAACCAAUCAAAGUGUUAAUGUUGGUGGGUCUUCUUAUAGUAAUUUGGACUGUUUAGUUGAAGAUAUUAGAAUAAUGAGCUUGAAAAAACUCACAAAAUGAGCUUUGAACCACCCAGCCGUUGGCGGGUUCUCUUCAUUUUAAUUUUUUUUAUUGCAAUAUCUCUUUAAACAAAGUAAUUGAAUAGCAGUAAAACUUUUCAAAAUAUCCUUACAUGAUUGAAUAACUUGAUCAAUUACAAUCACCAAAUUUUUUUAUUAUUAACCUUAAAAAUAUGUACAACAAUAGUUACUUAAAUCCUAUCAAAAUAUGCCAAUAAAAUAGGUAAUUUAUAAACAACUUAAUUGCAAAUUGAGUUGUGACUAACUGAGUAAUUGACGAAUGAUGCAAGUCUCAAGACCCAAUUUCAGACUAAUGAAUGUGAUGAUUCACAUUACCUCAAAGCCCAACAAUAGUGUCAAAGGUCAAACAAAUCAAACCAAGAUCCAAUCAAAAACAAUAUUCGAGUAUGAAUUUUUUCGAGAAAAGGGGGAAUGAUAUAUGUAUGAAUGGGAUGAAAUUUAUUACAUUUCAUUCACCAAAGCUGUCAACUUUCAAGUUUAGGAAAUCAACAAACUUGCAACGCCUUUUUGGAUGAGAUCCAGGCAUAUCUGGGUUGAGACUCUUCAUGGUGUUCGAAAUUUAUCUAACUUGGAUUUGAUUGCGUUUCAGAUUAUGUCAAAAUCCAAGUUUCUUUCCUAACGUCUAGAGCCCUAAGUCGAAUUCACGACUUAAAUAAACUUUACGAUCCACUUCCACAUUCAUCUGCCUCAACCUUUAUCAAUGACACUAACAUUCUCACCCUUUGACACUAACAACUAGAGUAUUAUAUUCAUAAAAUGAGCUAAAAUAAAGAAGUAGCAAGUAGCAAACAUUAUGAAUAAACAGAAUACUUAACAGUAAUAAGCAUGCAAAAGGAGAACUCCCCUUCGAUGGUAGCAUCAAUACAUCCCCCCAAUAAACACAAUAGAAGGGGAGCGGACUUUUAUUUCUUUUCUUAAGAUGUGAAUGCAUGGUAAAGAUGGUUUUUUUUUGCACUAUAGGUAUGAAGUGGUUAUAAUAAUUAUUUUCUUUGCUCCACCCUACUUGAUGCGGUCAUUGAAAACACCAAAAAUAUCUUAUCCCUAAUAAAUAAUGAAAAAGAAUAGUAAAAGGGAAGCAGGGUCAAAUUCUUAAGGACUGGAUUUGCACAAUAUCAUGUUCCUUGAAAUCCCAGGCAAAAUCUUGCCCAAGAAAACCUGCGUGCCUGAAAAAAAAAUAAGAAAUAACAAAAUUAAAGGUUUGGAUCUGGAAAUAAAAAAUAAAAUAAAAACAGAAUUAAGAAUAUUGAAUCUAAAAUACGAGAGAUUAAAAAUAGAGUUGAGAUAAAGGAAAUUCUUAUGGGAGAUUCCAACCUCCAGUUGUCUCAUUCCGCCUUAGGUUUAAAUCCUCACCUUUUAGAUUAUCCUUCCCAGACCGAAUAAGCCAGUUAUAGUGGAAGAGGACGCCUACGACCACCAGCUCCAAGGAUUUAGAUUUACAAUUUAGUGGAACCUGACUCUAGCCAACAAUCGCUUCUGUGGGAUUGUCUUAUGCUAGAUCAACACUUCUCAAUGGCGAAUCCCACGCCUUUGUCUCUUGGGCUUGCCAACCUCUGACGCAGUAAGCUAACAAACCGACUGUGCAACCUUCCCAAAACAUACAAAGCGGCCGCAUUUGCAUUCGUUGAAAAGCUUACUUCUUAAGGGACAAGGACAGAAACAUCUACCCCGUAGUGCGGAGAAACGAUGAAUACUCAGCGAGGAGGCUAAGUACGGACUCUAAGCCUCAAGAACCCUUUUUGGGGAAUAUCGACAACCUUCGGCUAGAUGGGUUUAGUGGCUCAUGGUUGUGGUGGAAAAGAAAAUAAAUAUAAUAAAAAUAGAGAUUUUAUUGAAAGGAAAUAUGAGAAGAACAAAAGGCUACACUUUUGGGAAGAGAGUGUUUACAGAAAAAGAUCCAUCUCUUUUGAGUCACUUCACCCCCUAUUUAUAGUGAUAGAAGAGAUAGUCUAAUCCUACCUAAAUUCCCAAAAGAUAAAUACAUUUAAUUGAAGAUAAAUAAAGAUAAAUUAAAUAAAAUCCUAAAAUUAAAUAAUCUUUAAUAAUUAUCUUAAUAUUAAUUAUCCUAAUAUAAUUAAAAUAGAGUCUGAUAGAAUAAAAUCUCUUUUUUUUUGCAUUUCAACCCUUGUGUCCUCCAAGCUUGCACUUUUGACACCAACUUGUACUUGUCAUAUCGGACUUGUAUAAUCCCGUAAUAAUACUAUGCCCAUUGAACCAUCUAAAAUAUCGUAGGAUACGCGGGUGGUGCACACGAAGUGUACUGAAUGGUAAACCGUCAAUUCUUAUACAUGUGUGCUCAUACGAGCGAUAAACAGUAAGCUCAUCCGAGCUUAAUAUCAGUAAACUCUUCCGAGCAGAAUAACAAUAAGGUCAUCGAGGAUAGGUACAUGGACGUAGCUAAAGGGGCUGACAGGGGCCUUCAUCCCCCUAAAUGAAAAUUUUUUCAUGUAAGUCUUUUAAAAUUUUUGAAAUUUUAAAUUAUAAGAGAUAAAAUUACACUUUAACCCCUUAAAAUGAUAAAAUUUUGAUUUAAUCUUUUAAAAAUUAUAAAAUUAUAAACUAUUAAAAAUAAUGAAAUUAUAUUUUUAUCAUUAUAAGAAUUACAAGUUAAUUUUAGACAUGAAAAAGUUUUCUACUCUUGGAUAGAUAAGAACCUAAUUGGUUUCCUAAAAAUAUGAUAAAUAUAUCAUUUAUUUCUUAACUUAUAAAUUAAUACAUUCUCCACCUUAGCCAAAGACAUCUUUUGGCCAUUAAAUAGCUUCCAAAUUGUUGAUUCUUAAGCACAUAAAAGUCAAAAAGCCCCUCAAAACAGAUCAUCCAAUUAGAUGGAGGAGCAGGAUCGAUCCUCUCAACCCCGUCCUCCACAUGUCCUCAUCUUCCCCCUCCCAUUACAGGGCCAUAUAAACACCAUGAUUAAGCUGGCUGAACUGCUACCUAUCGCCGGCUUCAAGCUCACUUUCCUCAACUCCCACCACAACCAUAAACGCUUGGUCAAGUUCAACAAUAUUGCUGCCCAUUUUGAAAGAUACCCAGGGUUCGAAUUCAAGACCAUAACCGAUGGUCUCCCUCUUGAUCAUCCUAGGUCAGGGAGCUGGUUCCUUGAUAUGUUUGAAGAAACCAUGGAACCUAAGAUGAAGCAAAGUUUGAGAGAGGUACUUGUGAAUAGCAGCCCACCAGUAGAUUGCGUAAUUGCAGAUGGGUUUUUAGGCUUUGCUCUUGAUGUUGCAAAGGAGGUUGGAAUCCCCAUUAUUAUUUUUUUCAUACCAGCAGUUCUUGUUGUUUCAGGGUUUCUUAUUCUAUCCCUGAUAUAAUCCAAGCUGGGGAGCUUCCCAUCAAUGGUAAAUCCACUUCUUUCUCAUCAACUUUGUUUAUUGUACCAUGUUUAGCACUGUUUUUAACUUAGAAUAACACAAAACCUUAAGUCGAAAUGAUUUGACAAGCAUGUUGAAGAAAUUAACGAGAAAGACAUUUGGAAUAUUCCUGUUAAUUAGGCGAGUUGAUUUGGUUUAUGUAGGAUUAAUUCGAAAUUUAAAAUUUUUAAAUCAUUUCAUGUUUGAAUGAUUUUGAGUUUCAACGGGUUCUUGUCAUUUAGAUUUACUAAUUUAACUUUUAAAUUCGAAUUAUUUUUGGUUAUUUUGUUUUCGGGUCACUUUAGGUUAGCUAGCUGGGUAUUUUUGUGUCGAUUUUCAAGUUGAAUCAUUUCAGGAUUGUUUUUAUUCUGAUUUAAUACUUAAGUUUAGACCACUUUGGGUAACUUGUACCCGUUGUUUAUAAGUUCGAGUCGUUCGAAGUUGUGAUCAUAUUUGAGUUUAGAUUAUUUCGAAUUUAAAUUGUUAAAUUUCUAUGAUUAAAUAAAUUUGAAUCUGAUAUGAGUUUCAAUUAAUUGGGUUUGUGAUAAUUGACACUAGUAAAUGGGUUUUUGUUAUACAAUUGAAGGAAGUGAAGACAUGGACCGGCUAAUAACGACAGUGCCAGGCAUGGAAACUUAUCUUCGAUGUCGAGAUCUUCCAACUUUUUGUCGAAAACUUGACAUUGAAGAUUAAAUUAUGAAGUAAUAUCUCUUUAAACAAAGUAAUUGAAUAGCAGUAAAACUUUUCAAAAUAACCUUAAAAAGAUGUAAAACAAUAGUUACUUAAAUCCUAUCAAAAUAUGCCAAUAAAAUAGGUAAAUUACAAACAACUCAAUUGCAAGUUAAGUUGUGACUAACUGAGUAAUUGACGAAUGAUGCAAGCCCCAUGACCCAACAACCAAUUUCAGACUAAUGGAUGUGAUGAGUUCACAUCAUCUCAAAGCUGAACAAUAGUGUCAAAGGCCAAACAAAUCAAACCAAGAUCCAAUCAAAGACAAUAUUCGAGUAUGAAUUUUUUCGAGGAAAGGGGGAUGAUAUAUGUUCGGAUGGGAUGAAAUUUAUUAAAUUUCAUACACCAAAGCUGUCAACUUUCAAGUUUAGGAAAUCAACAAACUUGCAACGCCUUUUUGGAUGGGAUCCAGGCAUAUCUGGGUAGAGAUUCUUCAUGGCGUUCGAAAUUUAUCUAUCUUGGAUUUGAUUGCUUUUCAGAUUAUGUCAAAAUCUAAGUUUAUUUCCUAACGUCUAGAACCCUAAGUAAAAUUCGCGACUUAAUAAACUUUACAAUACACUUCCACAUUCAUCCGCCUCAACCUUUAUCAAUGACACAAACAUUCUCACCCUUUGACACUAACAACUAGAGUAUUAUCUUCAUAAAAUGAGCUAACAUAAAGAAGUAGCAAGUAGCAAACAUUAUGAAUAAACAGAAUACUUAACAGUAAUAAGCAUGCAAAAGGAGAACUCCCCUUCGAUAGUAGCAUCAAUACAUCCCCCCAAUAAACACAAUAGAACGGGAGCGGGCUUUUAUUUCUUUUCUUAAAAUGUGAAUGCAUGGUAAAGAUGGUUUCUUUUUUUGCAUUAUAUGUAUGAAGUGUUUAUAAUUAUUAUUUUCUUUGCUCCACCCUACUCAUUAUAUAAAGUUAUUAUUUUAUCCUAUAUAUUUGUUGAUACAACAUACAACAAGGAAGGAAGAUAAGGAGGAGGUCAAGAUGGUGCAAUGGAGGCCAAUUCACCUAAAGAGGUUGAGAGUCGAAACAAGAACAAAAUGACAAACUAACCAAGAAGACAAUUGCUCGGUAACUCUAGAGUGCUAAAAAAAAGGAUCUUUUUGCAUCAUUCCUUAGAAUAUUUUCUCUUGUCCAUUGAUAUGACAUGGUCAGAUAAACAUUCAAUCCCGCAAAAUGUGUAAAGGAUAUUUAUAGGCGUAAAUCAUGGGACCUUAUCAAUAUGAGAUUAUUGUGCCUAAAUGGACUCCUUAUCAUAUAAAGAGUGCAUUCAUACUAAGAGAAUGUUAAUACUUAAAACAGGUGGAUGGUUCCAUCUAAGAGGAAUGAGUGGUCUAUUGAAGCGUUACUUCAAAUGAAGUCAACAAAAGAUCUAUAAUGCAUCUGAUAUUGACACGUGUCCGAGUGACGGAGGGAUAUUUGGGCUUAUACAGUCCUUAUUAUUGCAACUAUGAUAAAAUCAUGCUGUAAUAAAUAAUUGUAGUCACGUGACAUGCAAUAAGAUUGAAUCUUUCUGAUUUCUUUUUGCAAGUUUUAAAAGUACGAGUUUGACAAUGUUGUCUUUAAUUGCAGGCUGAUUUGAUGCAAAUGCAAUUUUUUUUAUAAUAAUCAAAACAAUAAAUAAAUUGUGUCUAGUGCUCUCAUCUUUUAGAAUAUCUUAAUCUCCAUGACAGCUAUCAAAUAUAUAUAAAAUUUCAUUAUUCAAGAGGGUUAUUUUUGUUAAUAUGUCUGCAGUUUUAUUAUUCAUUUUAGGAACGUAUCUCAAUGAUCAUAUCUUCUUUUUAGCAAGGAUAUGUUGAAUCAUCCUAAUUAAGGUUAGUUUUUUCAAGCUUAUUAUCGCUAAUAGCUGUUACGACCUCAAGACUAUUAGAAUAAAUGAUAAUCUUAUCAUAUCCUUAUUUUUUUAAUAUGUGUAAACUAUUUAAUAUGUCCCAAAAGUCAACAGCUACAAACGAAUAUUUCUCCAAAAAGUGAUUAUAGUCCAAAAUCUAAUUUCUCUUCCCAUCACAUAUUACUCCACCUACAGCUUAAAAACUAGAAAUAGAAUUAACAGCACCUUCAAUAUUAAGAAGAAAACCCAUAGCUGCAGAUCCAUCACCAAGACUUCAUUAUUUGUUGGCCUUGCUUUGGUGACCAACAAUUGAACAGUAGGUUUGUGGAGGAAGUCUGGAAAUUAAUUAGGAUUAGAUAUGAAGGAUGUGUGUGAUAGGAGAGUUGUGGAGCAAAUGGUGAAUGAUUUAAUGGUGGAAAAAAGGGAGGAGAUUUUGAAAUCAGCUGCUGAAUUUGCUAAAUUAGCCAAAAGAUCUGUGAAUAUUGGUAGGUCUUCGUAUUAUAAUUAGAACUGUCUAAUUGAGGACAUAAGAAUGGUGAAUAAAAAUUGUUAAAAACGUGAAAUUUUGAGAUAGGGACAACAAAAUAAGGGGCCUUUCCCUUCCCCACUUUUUUUAUUAAAUUAUUUCCUAGGUUCCUGCUAAUUUCGAGUUAAACAAUUUGACCCUAAUUUCUUUAAUUAUCUUUUACAUCUUUGUCAACUUUUAAAGUAAUAAUCGUAUUUGUUUGCUUUUAUACUAAUAUAUGAUUUUCAAUUGAUAAAAAAAAAUUAAAAAUUAGUUGAAAAUACUAAUAUCUCGUAUUAAUUGAUAAGAGUUACGAUAAUUAUCAAUAUAAAUCGAUAUUGAUUGAAAUUAAUUAAAAUAUAUUAAUUUUUUUACUAAAAUUGAACUUAAAUAAUUUGGUAUCAAAAUGGUGGGGACUAUUAUCCAAUAAUGUUUUCUCUUGAUUCUGUCCCUGCCCGAAGUAGCUAGUGAAGGGGAAUAAAGAUGUUUCGUAUAGGAAAAUUGCUUUAACGAAAAUGGUGAAUGAAAUUGAUAUGGUUGAAAACAAAGAAGAGACUGAGAAAUCUGUCGGCGGCCCUUGCUGCAAUUUCGAUUGUUUUAUUAAAGACAUAAAAGAACAUGUUGUAAUUAAUUAACUUGCAGUCACAUGGCAUGCGAUGAAGAUGGAUUUUUUUUUUUAAAUUAGAUUCAAGGUUAUUAAAUAUUAAUAAGUUUAUAUUUUGAUUAAUUAAUUAGAUACAAAAUAAUCACUAAACUAUUCAAAAGAUUUUGUUUAAGUCAUUAGCUUUAAGUUUGGUUUACAAGCUUCAAACAACAAUUCGACGAAUAAUAUGGUAGAUCAGUACCCAUUAAAAAAUAGAAGAACUUAACAUAGAUCCAAGUCGAUCUGACAGUCAAUGUUGGAGAUUGAAGAAGAAUGUUAUUUGGACUUUGGCUCGUAAAUAUGAAAAGAAAUUGAACCGUAAAAGAAAAGGGGAAGAAAAGUUUUCAAUUUGUACAAGCGAUGCGAACGGAAAAAACUAUACAAUAAAACAAAGUAAUUGAACAAAGUAAUUGAAUAAUUAUCUUUCAAAAAUUAUAAAAAUAUAAACUAUUAAAAAUAAUGAAAUUAUAUUUUAAUCAUUAUAAGAAUUACAAGUUAAUUUUAGACAUGAAAAAGUUUUCUACUCUUGGAUAGAUAAGAGCCUAAUUGGUUUCCUAAAAAUAUGAUAAAUAUAUCAUUUAUUUCUUAACUUAUAAAUUAAUACAUUCUCCACCUUAACCAAAGACAUCUUUUGGCCAUGAAAUAGCUUCCAAAUUGUCGAUUCUUAAGCACAUAAAACUCAAAAAGCCCCUCAAAACAGAUCAUCCAAUUAGAUGGAGGAGCAGGAUCGAUCCUCUCAACCCCGUCUUCCACAUGUCCUCAUCUUCCCCCUCCCAAUACAAGGCCAUAUAAACUCCAUGAUUAAGCUAGCUGAACUGCUAGCUAUCGCCGGCUUCAAGCUCACUUUCCUCAACUCCCACCACAACCAUGAACGCUUGGUCAAGUUCAACAAUAUUGCUGCCCAUUUUGAAAGAUACCCAGGGUUCGAAUUCAAGACCAUAACCGAUGGUCUCCCUCUUGAUCAUCCUAGGUCAGGGAGCUGGUUCCUUGAUAUGUUUGAAGAUACCAUGGAACCUAAAUGAAGCAAAGUUUGAGAGAGGUACUUGUGAAUAGUAGCCCACCAGUAGAUUGCAUAAUUGCAGAUGGGCUUUUAGGCUUUGCUCUUGAUGUUGCAAAGGAGGUUGGAAUCCCCAUUAUUUUUUUUUGUACCAGCAGUCCUUGUAGUUUCUGGGUUUAUUAUUCUAUCCCUGAUAUAAUCCAAGUUGGGGAGCUUCCUAUCAAUGGUAAAUCCUCUUCUUUCUCAUCAACUUUGUUUAUUAUACCAUGUUUAGCACUGUUUUUAACUUAGAAUAACACAAAACCUUAAGUCGAAAUGAUUUGACAAGCAUGUUGAAGAAAUUAACGAGAAAGACAUUUGGAAUAUUCCUGUUAAUUAGGCGAGUUGAUUUGGUUUAAGUUGGAUUAAUUCGGAAUUUAAAAUUUUUAAAUCAUUUCAUGUUUGAAUGAUUUUGAGUUUCAAUGGUUCUUGUCAAUUAGAUUUACUAAUUUAACUUUUAAAUUCGAAUUAUUUUUGUUAUUUUUGUUUUCGGGUCACUUUAGGUUAGCUAGCUGGGUAUUUUUGUGUCGAUUUUCAAGUUGAAUCAUUUCAGGAUUUUUUCCAUUCGGGUUUAAUACUUAAGUUUGGACCACCAUGAAUAAUUUGUUCCCGUUAUUUUUAAGUUCAAGUCGUUCGAAGUUGUGAUCAUGUUUGAGCUUAGAUCAUUUCAAAUUUGAGUUGUUAAAUUUAUAUGAUUAAAUAAAUUAAAUCUGAUAUGAGUUUGAAUUAAUUGGGUUUGUGAUCAUUGACACUAGUAAAUGGGUUUUUGUUAAACAAUUGAAGGAACUGAAGACAUGGACCGGUUAAUGACGACAGUGCCAGGCAUGGAAACUUAUCUUCGAUGUCGAGACCUUCCUACUUUUUGUCGAAAACUGGACACUGAAGAUUCAAUAUUUAUGAAGCUAGUCGUAGAACAGACACGAAAGAGCCUUCAAGCCGAUGCCUUGAUACUCAACACCGCCGAAGAGCUCUAUGGGCCUAUACUAUCUCAAAUACGCACCAAAUGCCCUCGUGUCUAUGCCGUUGGACCCUUACAUGCUCAAUUAAACACUAGACUCAAUGCAAAACAUGGAGAGUCAUAUGAUCACUUCUCGAAUACACUUUGGGAAGUGGAUAAAAGCUGCAUCUUUUGGCUCAAUAAGCAACCGGGUCGAUCUGUUAUCUAUGUAAGUUUUGGUAGCAUUACGAGCAUGUCAAGGGAGCAACUUGUUGAGCUUUGGUAUGGACUUCUUAACAGUAAAACGAAGUUCUUGCUUGUUGUAAGGCCAAAUUCCGUGAUUGGAAAAGAUGGUGAAGGGGAGGAUGUUGUAAUGGAGCUUAUGGAGAAGAGUAAGGAUCGAGGUUACAUUGUAAAUUGGGCACCACAAGAGGCAGUCUUGAACCACCCGGCCAUUGGCGGGUUCUUUACGCAUAAUGGAUGGAACUCGACUUUAGAGAGCGUUGUCCCAGGGGUGCCUAUGAUUUGCUGGCCUCAGUUUGCUGACCAACACGUGAAUAGUAGGGUUGUGAGUGUGGUGUGGAAAAUAGGGUUGGAUAUGAAGGAUGUAUGUGAUAGCAAGAUAGUGGAGAAAAUGGUAAAGGAUGUGAUGGUGGAUCGAAAGGAGGAGUUUGCAAAAUCCGCAUCUGAAAUGGCUAAGGUAACCAAUCAAAGUGUUAAUGUUGGUGGGUCUUCUUAUAGUAAUUUGGACUGUUUAGUUGAAGAUAUUAGAAUAAUGAGCUUGAAAAAACUCACAAAAUGAGCUUUGAACCACCCAGCCGUUGGCGGGUUCUCUUCAUUUUAAUUUUUUUUAUUGCAAUAUCUCUUUAAACAAAGUAAUUGAAUAGCAGUAAAAAUUUUCAAAAUAUCCUUACAUGAUUGAAUAUCUUGAUCAAUUACAAUCACCAAAAUUUUUUUAUUAUUAACCUUAAAAAGAUGUGCAACAAUAGUUACUUAAAUCCUAUCAAAAUAUGCCAAUAAAAUAGGUAAAUUACAAACAACUCAAUUGCAAGUUAAGUUGUGACUAACUGAGUAAUUGAGGAAUGAUGCAAGCCCCAUGACCCAACAACCAGUUUCAGACUAAUGGAUGUGAUGAGUUCACAUCAUCUCAAAGCUCAACAAUAGUGUCAAAGGCCAAACAAAUCAAACCAAGAUCCAAUCAAAGACAAUAUUCGAGUAUGAAUUUUUUCGAGGAAAGGGGGAUGAUAUAUGUUCGGAUGGGAUGAAAUUUAUUAAAUUUCAUACACCAAAGCUGUCAACUUUCAAGUUUAGGAAAUCAACAAACUUGCAACGCCUUUUUGGAUGGGAUCCAGGCAUAUCUGGGUAGAGAUUCUUCAUGGCGUUCGAAAUUUAUCUAUCUUGGAUUUGAUUGCUUUUCAGAUUAUGUCAAAAUCUAAGUUUAUUUCCUAAAGUCUAGAACCCUAAGUCAAAUUCGCGACUUAAACAAACUUUACGAUACACUUCCACAUUCAUCUGCCUCAACCUUUAUAAUGACACUAACAUUCUCACCCUUUGACACUAACAACUAGAGUAUUAUCUUCAUAAAAUGAGCUAACAUAAAGAAGUAACAAGUAGCAAACAUUAUGAAUAAAUACUUAACAGUAAUAAGCAUGCAAAAGGAGAACUCCGCUUCGAUGGUAACAUCAAUACAUCCCCGCCCCCAAUAAACACAAUAGAACGGGAGCGGGCUUUUAUUUCUUUUCUUAAAAUGUGAAUGCAUGGUAAAGAUGGCUUUUUUAUUUUUUGCAUUAUAUGUAUGAAGUGUUUAUAAUUAAUAUUUUCUUUGCUCCACCCUACUCAUUAUAUAAAGUUAUUAUUUUACCCUAUAUAUUUGUUGAUACAACGUACAACAAGGGAGGAAGAUAAGGAGGAGGUCAAGAUGGUGCAAUGGAGGCCAAUUCACCUAAAGAGGUUGAGAGUCGAAACAAGAACAAAAUGACAGACUAACCAAGAAGACAAUUGCUCGGUAACUCUAGAGUGCUAAAAAAAGGAUCUUUUUGCAUCAUUCCUUAGAAUAUUUUCUCUUGUCCACUGAUAUGACAUGGGCAGAUAAACAUUCAAUCCCGCAAAAUGUGUAAAGAAUAUUUAUAGGCAUAUAUCACGGGUCCUUAUCAGUAUGAGAUUAUUGUGCCUAAAUGGACUCCUUAUCAUAUAAAGAGUGCAUUCAUACUAAGAGAAUGUUAAUACUUAAAAUGGGUGGAUGGUUCCAUCUAAGAGGGAUGAGUGGUCUAUUGAAGCGUUACUUCAAAUGACGUCAACAAGAGGUCUAUGAUGCAUCUGAUAUUGACACGUGUCUGAGUGACGGAGGGGUAUAGCAACAUUAAAUAUAUGUUCGAGCCUUGAAUUACAUAGUUAAGACUUAGUGGUUUCUGACAAUGUUUUUAUAAUUGAACCCGUGAUCAAACCGAUCAGACCACCAAUUUUUAAUUUAAUUGAUUCAAUCGAUUAAAUCUAUUGAUUCAAUAAAAAAUAAAUUAUAAAUAUAAAAUCUAAUUAUUUAUAAAUUUUGAAAUCUCAUUAUUAAAGUUUUGUAAGUCCACUUUAAGACUAUAUAUAGCCCAUUGAUUGAAAAUCUGUAAAUCCACUUUUAAAGAAUUUAAAAGUUCCUUGUGAAUAUGCAACUCAUCUCUUUUACCCUUUAGACUUGUAAACUUCUCUUCCACUUCCUUUUUGUCAUUCCCUCUUCUCAUUUAUUCUAACUAUUUCUUAAAUGAUCGGUUUUUUUCUAUUCAUUGCUUCUUCUCAAAUACCCAAAUCUCUUUCGUAUCAUUCCAAAUCUCAUGUUUUUCUUUUUCUUUCUUUACAUAAAUAAAAUAUUAUUCUAAUCGAUUUUUUUUGUCAAGUUUCUAAACCCUAUUUAAUUGAAUUUUAAUUGGUUCAUAAUAGUUCGUUUGUUAUCCAUUUUAAUAAAUAGUGUUGGAUGGUCAAAUCUACCAAUUUUCAAUCCAAUCAAUUUAAUUAAUCAAUACAAUUCAAUUUCGACAAUAUUAAUUUCUGAUUUCUAGUUGCUAAUAUAAGAAAAUUAAAUAAAUUAAUUGUUAGGGAAUUUUUAAUUUUUAAGGUAAAUUCAAUUCCUAUUUACUUGGGAGGUUGUCCUAAGUAAUCAAAAUUAUGUUUAAAAUAUUAAAAAUAAUUAAGAAAAAUCAAAAUGAAACAACGUAUGGUAAAAUGAGAAUGGAUAUAUUUAAUAUCUAUAAUGGAAAUAAUAAAUUAUAAAAUUAAAUAUUUAUGAUGGAACGAAAUAGAUAAUAAAAUAAUUAAGAUUUAACAUUAUUUGCUAGGUAUUGUUACAUUUUCUUCCCAAUGGAGGGCAAUGUUAUGUUGGCUUUACUUUUUGGACCAACAAUUGAGAAGUCGCUUUUGUUUGGGAUUUUUUUUUUCCAGAAAUGGUGCAUGAAAGGGUCGGUGAAAAUGGGUAGAUUGGCUAAAUCAUGUGACAGUGUCGGUGGUCCUUAUUAUUGCAAUUUGCAGUCACGUGACAUGCAAUAAGGUGUAAUCUUUCUGAUUUUUUUUUUUGCAAGUUUUAAAAGCACGAGUUUGACAAUGUUGUCAUUAAUUGCAGGCUGAUUUGAUGCAAAUGCAAUUUUUUUAUUUAUAAUAAUCAAAACAAUACGAUUACAGUAAAGUAUUUAUAAAUAAAUUGUCUCUGGUGCUCAAUCUUUUAGAAUAUCUUGAAUCUCCAUAAGGGCUAUGGAACAUAUUUAAAACUUCAUCAUUUAAGAGUCAUUGUUGCUAAUGUGUCUAUUAUUUUAUUAUUCUUUUUAGGAAUGUAUCUUAAUGACCAUUUCUUUUCGUUAGCAAGCAUAUGUUAAAUUCCCUUAAUUAAAAUAGAGGUACUUUUUUCAGGCUUAUUACUGCUAAUUAUUGGAUACCUACAAUCUUUGACUUUUCAAAGAUGAAUAGUGGCAGAAAGUUGGCACCGAAAGUAGAAAGUAAGAUUAGUUGGCAUGGGAUAAUUGCAAUUUUGGUCCCUAAUUGUAUAGGGACAUUGCAAGUUGAUCCUUAAACCUCAACUAUAAAUAGGUCUAACCAUUUCUUACUUUCUUCAUCCCACACUUGCCAUUCUCUACUUAAGGCAAUUGUUCUCUCUCCCUAUUUGUAAACUUUCACUUGUAUUUUUGGAGUGAAAUAUAUUUGGUAGUGCCCGAGGACGUAGGCAAAAUUUGCUGAACCUCGUUAAAAUUCUAGUGUUCUUUAUUUUUUGUUCUGCAUAUUUUGCAAGUGUCAUUGUAGUGAUUUAUUGUGCUAUUAAAUUACGAUAGAGGGAUAUUCUGGCUAGGAAAGAUCUGGUAUGUAAGCGAUCCUCGUGAUCCACCUCUCUUUCCUGGGAAUUGAACUUAGUGUGAUUUUUCAGUACAAUAAUUUUACUCUUUCACACGCUUCCGCGCAACAAUUGGUAUCAGAGCCAGGUUCGUACUUGGGGAAUACGACCGUUUACGGUACUAUUCACGUAUACGGCACUAUUCACAUAUAUAGUACUAUUCACGUAUAUGACACUAUUCACGUAUACGGUACUGUUCACGUAUACAGUAGUUGGGAUUGAGGAGAAAAAUGGCAGCAGCAUCGUCAUCAGUAAGGACUACUGUGACAAAUGCAAAAUUUGAAGUAGAGAAAUUUGACGGUACCAAUAAUUUUGGUAUGUGGCAGUGUGAGAUCCUGGAUGUCUUAUGUCAGCAAGAGCUGGAUAUAGCCAUUGAAGAAAAACCUGACAAGAUGGAUGACAAGGAGUGGGCCAAGAUCAAUAGACAGGCGUGUGGUACAAUCCGCCUAUGUUUGGCCAAAGAGCAGAAGUACUCCGUCAUGAGGGAGACAUCAGCGAAGAAGCUGUGGGAUACAUUGGAAGAAAAGUUUCUAACGAAAAGUCUUGAAAAUAGGCUUUAUAUGAAAAAGAAACUUUUUCGGUUCACGUAUGCACCCGGUAUGUCGAUGAAUGACCAUGUGAACUCAUUCAAUAAAAUUUUAGCAGACUUGUUAAAUUUGGAUGAGAAAUUUGAAGAUGAAGACAAUGCAUUAUUGUUGUUGAAUUCCCUUCCUGAUGAAUAUGAUCAUCUUACCACCACAUUGCUUCAUGGGAAAGAUUCAAUCACAUUUGAUGCAGUCUGUAGUGCGUUGUAUAGAUCUGAGACUCGAAAGAAAGAUAAAAGAGAUCACAGAGAUACAACUGCAGAAGUCUUAACAGUAAGAGGUCGUUCACACACAGCAAACCUGGUAGAAGGGGUAAGUCCAAAGGGAGACCCGCCAAAGAUGAAUGUACCUUUUGUCGUGAGAAAGGGCAUUGGAAAAAGAAUUGUCCUAAGUUACAAAAGGGCAAGUCUAUUUCUAAUGCAUGUGUAGCGGAGCAUGAUGAGGAGUCAGACUUUAGCUUGGUUGGCAUGGCAAUGGCAUGUCAAACGGAUGAGUGGAUAUUGGAUUCGGGAUGUACUUACCAUAUGUGUCCUAAUAAGGACUGGUUUUCUAGUCUUGAAGAACUAGAAGGUGGAGUUGUUUUAUGGGCAAUGAUAGUGCCUGUAAGACAAUGGGUGUAGGUACAAUCAAAUUGAAGAACCAUGACGGCUCAAUCCAAGUUCUGACAGAUGUUCGCUAUGUACCCAGCUUGAAGAAAAAUCUCAUCUCAUUAGGGGCCCUAGAAUCUAAAGGGCUCACAAUCACUUUGAGAGAUGGAUUACUAAAGGUAGUAGCUGGGGUAUUGACGGUGAUGAAAGGCACUAGAAGAAAUAACUUGUACUAUUUAAAUGGAAGUACAGUUAUUGGAUCAACAUCAACAGCUUCUGCGAAAGAUGCAGAUUCAGAGGCUACCAGGUUAUGGCAUAGGCGAUUGGGACAUACUGGUGAAAAAGCUUUGCAGACUUUGGCGAAUCAAGGCUUGUUGAAAGGUGCAAAUUCUUGCAAAUUGGAAUUCUGUGAACAUUGUGUUCUGGGCAAGCAGACGAGGGUAAAAUUUGGUUCAGCAAUUCACAAUACGAAAGGAAUUCUGGACUAUGUUCACAGUGAUGUGUAGGGACCUACCAAAGUGGCUUCUUUGGGAGGUAUGCACUAUUUUGUCACUUUUCUUGAUGAUUAUUCAAGAAAAGUAUGGGUGUAUCUAAUGAAAAGAAAAAAUGAAGUUUUGGAUGCAUUUCUGAAGUGGAAGAAGAUGGUGGAGACUCAGACAGGUCGAAAGGUCAAACGACUUCGAUCAGAUAAUGGUACUGAGUACAAAAAUGAUCCAUUUCUACAAGUAUGUCAAGAUGAGGGCAUUGUGCGACACUUCACUGUUCGAGAUACACCACAGCAGAAUGGGGUGGCAGAACGCAUGAAUCGGACUAUACUGGAGAAAGUUCGAUGUAUGUUGUCCAAUGCUGGAUUGGGCAAGGAAUUUUGGGCUGAGGCAGUUACAUAUGCGUGCCAUCUAAUUAACCGAUUGCCAUCAGCUGCAAUAAAUGGAAAAACUCCUAUGGAGAUGUGGACUGGUAAACCUGCUACUGAUUAUGAUUCUUUACAUGUUUUUGGUUCCACUGCAUAUUAUCAUGUAAAAGAAUCUAAGUUAGACCCAAGAGCAAAGAAAACAUUAUUCAUGGGUAUAACUGGUGGUGUAAAAGGAUACUGUCUCUGGUGUCCUGAUACAAGGAAGAUUGUUUUCAGUAGAGAUGUAACUUUUGAUGAAUCAACCAUGAUGAAGAACGAGGAUUCACAAAAGGAUGACAAAACCAGUAGUACUUUGCAGCAGGUGGAGUUUGAAAAGGUUAAUGAUGAUCCAGCUAAUAUUGGAAGAACAAAUGAUGAAGAAGUUUCGACCCAAGAACUUCUACAGCAACAAGAUUCAAUUGCAUAUAGGAGGCCAAGAAGAGAGAUUCGUAAGCCUGCUCGCUUUGACGAUAUGGUGGCCUAUGCACUUCCAAUUGCAGAUGAUGAUGUCCCUUCCACUUACACAGAAGCAAUAAGUAACUCUGAUGGUGUAAAGUGGAAGCAAGCUAUGAAUGAAGAAAUGCAGUCUCUUCAUAAAAAUAGGACUUGGGAGUUGGUGAGACUGCCCAAGGGAAAGAAGGCAAUUGGAUGCAAAUGGGUAUAUGCAAAGAAGGAAGGAUUUCCUGGUAAAAAUGAAAUUCGAUACAAGGCUAGAUUGGUAGCAAAGGGUUACGCUCAGAAAGAAGGAAUAGACUACAAUGAAGUGUUUUCUCCAGUUGUGAAGCAUUCGUCUAUUCGGAUUUUGCUAGCCUUGGUUGCGCAAUAUGAUCUUGAACUAGUUCAGCUUGAUGUGAAGACCGCCUUUUUACACGGUGAUUUGGAAGAGGAAAUCUAUAUGACUCAGCCAGAUGGAUUCAAGGUUGCUGGAAAAGAAAAUUGGGUUUGCAAACUGACAAAGUCGCUUUAUGGAUUGAAGCAAUCUCCGAGGCAGUGGUACAAGCGAUUUGAUCAGUUCAUGAAAGGGCAAAGGUACACAAGAAGUAAAUUUGAUCAUUGCGUGUAUUUUCAGAAGCUACAAGAAGGAACUUUCAUAUACUUGCUCUUAUAUGUUGAUGAUAUGCUAAUAGCAUCUAAGAGCAAAGUUGAGAUUGAAAGAUUGAAGACUCAACUCAAUCUCGAGUUUGAGAUGAAAGAUCUAGGAGAAGCUAAAAAGAUUCUCGGCGUGGAAAUAUGUAGAGAUAGAGCUCAUGGCAGAGUUAGCUUGUCUCAGAAGCAGUAUUUGAAGAAAGUACUACAGCAGUUUGGCAUGAACGAGCAGACCAAACCUGUAAGUACCCCGUUGGCUUCUCAUUUCAAGCUUUCUGCACAACUAUCUCCUUCGACGAAUACGGAACGAGAAUACAUGUUGCAAGUUCCGUAUUCUAAUGCAGUGGGUAGCUUGAUGUAUGCAAUGGUGUGUACAAGACCCGACAUUUCACAGGCAGUUAGUAUAGUGAGCAGGUAUAUGCAUAAUCCUGAAAAAGGACAUUGGCAAGCUGUGAAAUGGAUUCUACGGUAUAUUCAGAAGACCGUGGAUGUUGGAUUACUGUUCAAGCAGGAUAAUACACUUGGUAAAGGUGUUAUUGGGUACGUUGAUUCUGACUAUGCCGGUGAUUUGGACAAGCGAAGAUCAACCACCGGUUAUGUGUUUACACUUGCUGGAAGAUCAAUAAGUUGGAAGUCUACACUACAAUCUACAGUUGCAUUGUCAACCACAGAAGCCGAAUACAUGGCUGUAACAGAGGCUGUAAAGGAGGCUAUUUGGUUACAAGGUAUGGCUAAAACCUUGGGGUUGGUUCAGGAGCAUAUUAGCGUGUAUUGUGAUAGUCAAAGUGCUAUUCAUUUAGCAAAGAAUCAAGUCUAUCAUGCACGUACAAAACAUAUUGACGUACGAUUCCAUUUUGUGCGGGAAAUUAUUGAAGAGGGGAAAAUUUGUCUUCAGAAGAUCAAGACUGCAGAUAAUCCCGCAGAUAUGAUGACCAAGGUGGUAACAACAACCAAGUUCGAACAUUGUUUGAACUUGAUCAAUAUCCUGCAAGUUUAACAGUUGAAGAAGGCACUAUCAAGUAUUGUUGUCAAAGGUAGAAAGAAUUGUGUGAAGAUAAGAUUAUCCUAAUCAAAUCUUCAAGGUGGAGAUUAUUGGAUACCUACAAUCUUUGACUUUUCAAAGAUGAAUAGUGGCAGAAAGUUGGCACCGAAAGGCACCGAAAGUAGAAAGUAAGAUUAGUUGGCAUGGGAUAAUUGCAAUUUUGGUCCCUAAUUGUAUAGGGACAUUGCAAGUUGAUCCUUAAACCUCAACUAUAAAUAGGCCUAACCAUUUCUUACUUUCUUCAUCCCAUACUUGCCAUUCUCUACUUAAGGCAAUUGUUCUCUCUCCCUAUUUGUAAACUUUCACUUGUAUUUUUGGAGUGAAAUAUAUUUGGUAGUGCCCGAGGACGUAGGCAAAAUUUGCUGAACCUCGUUAAAAUUCUAGUGUUCUUUAUUUUUUGUUCUGCAUAUUUUGCAAGUGUCAUUGUAGUGAUUUAUUGUGCUAUUAAAUUACGAUAGAGGGAUAUUCUGGCUAGGAAAGAUCUGGUAUGUAAGCGAUCCUCGUGAUCCACCUCUCUUUCCUGGGAAUUGAACUUAGUGUGAUUUUUCAGUACAAUAAUUUUACUCUUUCACACGCUUCCGCGCAACACUAAUAGCUGCUAUGACCUUGAUACUAUCAAAAUGAAUGGUAACAUCAUCGUAUCCUUAUUUUUUAACUAUGUGUAAGUCAUCAAAUGUGCCCCAAAGCUCAGUAGUUACAACUGAACAUUUCCCCAAAAAGCGAUUCUAGAAUCUAAUUUUCCUUCCCAUCACAUAUUAUCCCACCUACAGCGGAAAAACCAGAAAUGAAAUUAACGACACUUUCAGUAUUAAGAAGAAAACUCAUACCUAAUUUCGAACGUUCAGGAGACUAUUGCGGAUCCUUCACCAAGACUUCAUUAUUGAUUAAGUAAUAUUUCUUUGCUCAACUGUAAGAAACCUUAAUAAUUUUCUCCAAAUUCAUUGAUUUUCCUUGGAAGUUGAACAAGUUACGAUUUAUCCAGAAGAAGGAAGCCCAGACCGAAUCUGUCAUGUUUUUAUCUGAUUGGUCCUAUAGAUUCGAGAACAACCAUUUUAAAAUAUUACCUUCAAAGAUCCACUUAUUUUGAUUGGAAGAAAUUAUUUGAGUCCAAAUAUCCUUCGAACAUGAACAUCCCCUAAAAAUUAGUAAAACAUCCUCUGUAUGGUGACCACAAAAAUGACAUGACUCAUCAUCACCAGUUCCCGUUCGGACCCUUUCAGAGUUGGUUAAAAGUCUUUGAUUUAGGAUUUUCCAGAUAAACAUAUGACGGUGUACCAACGGAGCUCGUGGAAGGGACAAAAGAAAGAGGGUACAUAGUGGAUUGGGCUCCACAGGAAGAUGUCUUGGCCAUGGGGCUAUUGGUGGGUUUUGAGUCGUAGCGGAUGGAAUUCGACUUUGGAGAGCGUGACAGCGGGGGUGCCCAUGAUUUGUUGGCCUUGCUUUGGUGACCAACAAUUGAACAGUAGGUUUGUGAAGGAAGUGUGGAAAUUAGGAUUAGAUAUGAAGGAUGUGUGUGAUAGAAGAGUAGUGGAGCAAAUGGUGAAUAACUUAAUGGUGGAAAAAAGGGAGGAGAUUUUGAAAUCAGCUGAUGAAUUUGCUAAAUUGGCUAAAGGAUCUGUGAGUGUUGGUAGGUCUUCGUAUUAUAAUUUGGACUGUCUAAUUGAGGACAUAAGAAUGGUGAAUAAAAAUUGUUAAAAAAGUGAAAUUUUGAGAUAGGGACAACAAAAUGAGGGACCUUUCCCAUCCCCACUUUUUUUAUUAAAUUAUUUUCUAGGUUCCUGCUAAUUUCGAAUUAAACAAUUUGACCCUAAUUUCUUUAAUUACCUCGUACAUCUUUGUCAACUUUUAAAUUAAUAAUCGUAUUUGUUUGCUUUUAUACUAAUAUAUGAUUUUCAAUUGAUAAAAAAAUUAAAAAUUAGUUUAAAAUACUAAUAUCUCGUAUUAAUUUAUAAGAGUUACGAUAAUUAUCAAUAUAAAUCGAUAUUGAUUGAAAUUAAUUAAAAUAUAUUAAUUUUUUUUACUAAAAUUGAACUUAAAUUAUUUGGUAUCAAAAUGGUGGGGACUAUUAUCCAGUAAUGUUUUCUCUUGAUUCUGUCCCUGCCCGAAGUAGCUAGUGAAGGGGAAUAAAGAUGUUUCGUAUAGGAAAAUUGCUUUAACGAAAAUGGUGAAUGAAAUUGAUGGUUGAAAACAAAGAAGAGACUGAGAAAUCUGUCGGCGGCCCUUGCUGCAAUUUCGAUUGUUUUAUUAAAGACAUAAAAGAACAUGUUGUAAUUAAUUAACUUGCAGUCACAUGGCAUGCGAUAAAGAUGGAUUUUUUUUUUAAAUUAGAUCCAAGGUUAUUAAAUAUUAAUAAGUUUAUAUUUUGAUUAAUUAAUUAGAUAUAAAAUAAUCACUAAACUAUUCAAAAGAUUUUGUUUAAGUCAUUAGCUUUAAGUUUGGUUUACAAGCUUCAAACAACAAUUCGACGAAUAGUAUGGUAGAUCAGUACCCAUUAAGAAAUAAAAGAACUUAACAUAGAUCCAAAUCGAUCUGACAGUCAGUGUUGGAGAUCGAAGAAGAAUGUUAUUUGGACUUUGGCUCGUAAAUAUGAAAAGAAAUUGAACCGUAAAAAAAAAGGGAAGAAAAAUUUUCAAUUUGUACAAGCGAUGCGAAAAAAACUAUACAAUAAAACAAAGUAAUUGAAUAAUUAUCUUUUAAAAAUUAUAAAAAUAUAAACUAUUAAAAAUAAUGAAAUUAUAUUUUAAUCAUUAUAAGAAUUACAAGUUAAUUUUAGACAUGAAAAAGUUUUCUACUCUUGGAUAGAUAAGAGCCUAAUUGGUUUCCUAAAAAUAUGAUAAAUAUAUCAUUUAUUUCUUAACUUAUAAAUUAAUACAUUCUCCACCUUAACCAAAGACAUCUUUUGGCCAUGAAAUAGCUUCCAAAUUGUCGAUUCUUAAGCACAUAAAACUCAAAAAGCCCCUCAAAACAGAUCAUCCAAUUAGAUGGAGGAGCAGGAUCGAUCCUCUCAACCCCGUCUUCCACAUGUCCUCAUCUUCCCCCUCCCAAUACAAGGCCAUAUAAACUCCAUGAUUAAGCUAGCUGAACUGCUAGCUAUCGCCGGCUUCAAGCUCACUUUCCUCAACUCCCACCACAACCAUGAACGCUUGGUCAAGUUCAACAAUAUUGCUGCCCAUUUUGAAAGAUACCCAGGGUUCGAAUUCAAGACCAUAACCGAUGGUCUCCCUCUUGAUCAUCCUAGGUCAGGGAGCUGGUUCCUUGAUAUGUUUGAAGAUACCAUGGAACCUAAGAUGAAGCAAAGUUUGAGAGAGGUACUUGUGAAUAGUAGCCCACCGGUAGAUUGCAUAAUUGCAGAUGGGCUUUUAGGCUUUGCUCUUGAUGUUGCAAAGGAGGUUGGAAUCCCCAUUAUUUUUUUUUGUACCAGCAGUCCUUGUAGUUUCUGGGUUUAUUAUUCUAUCCCUGAUAUAAUCCAAGUUGGGGAGCUUCCUAUCAAUGGUAAAUCCUCUUCCUUCUCAUCAACUUUGUUUAUUAUACCAUGUUUAGCACUGUUUUUAACUUAGAAUAACACAAAACCUUAAGUCGAAAUGAUUUGACAAGCAUGUUGAAGAAAUUAACGAGAAAGACAUUUGGAAUAUUCCUGUUAAUUAGGCGAGUUGAUUUGGUUUAAGUUGGAUUAAUUCGGAAUUUAAAAUUUUUAAAUCAUUUCAUGUUUGAAUGAUUUUGAAUUUCAAUGGGUUCUUGUCAAUUAGAUUUACUAAUUUAACUUUUAAAUUCGAAUUAUUUUUGUUAUUUUUGUUUUCGGGUCACUUUAGGUUAGCUAGCUGAGUAUUUUUGUGUCGAUUUUCAAGUUGAAUCAUUUCAGGAUUUUUUCCAUUCGGGUUUAAUACUUAAGUUUGGAUCACCAUGGAUAAUUUGUUCCCGUUAUUUUUAAGUUCAAGUCGUUCGAAGUUGUGAUCAUGUUUGAGCUUAGAUCAUUUCUAAUUUGAGUUGUUAAAUUUAUAUGAUUAAAUAAAUUGAAUCUGAUAUGAGUUUGAAUUAAUUGGGUUUGUGAUCAUUGACACUAGUAAAUGGGUUUUUGUUAAACACUUGAAGGAACUGAAGACAUGGACCGGUUAAUAACGACAGUGCCAGGCAUGGAAACUUAUCUUCGAUGUCGAGACCUUCCUACUUUUUGUCGUAAACUGGACAUUGAAGAUUCAAUAUAUAUGAAGCUAGUCGUAGAACAGACACGAAAGAGCCUUCAAACCGAUGCCUUGAUACUCAACACCGCCGAAGAGCUCGAUGGGCCUAUACUAUCUCAAAUACGCACCAAAUGCCCUCGUGUCUAUGCCGUUGGACCCUUACAUGCUCAAUUAAACACUAGACUCAAUGCAAAACAUGGAGAGUCACGUGAUCACAUCUCGAAUACACUUUGGGAAGUGGAUAAAAGCUGCAUCUUUUGGCUCAAUAAACAACCGAAUCGAUCUGUUAUCUAUGUAAGUUUUGGUAGCAUUAUGAGCAUGUCAAGGGAGCAACUUGUUGAGCUUUGGUAUGGACUUCUUAACAGUAAAACGAAGUUCUUGCUUGUUGUAAGGCCAAAUUCCGUGAUUGGAAAAGAUGGUGAAGGGGAGGAUGUUGUAAUGGAGCUUAUGGAGAAGAGUAAGGAUCGAGGUUACAUUGUAAAUUGGGCACCACAAGAGGCAGUCUUGAACCACCCGGCCAUUGGCGGGUUCUUUACGCAUAAUGGAUGGAACUCGACUUUAGAGAGCGUUGUCCCAGGGGUGCCUAUGAUUUGCUGGCCUCAGUUUGCUGACCAACACGUGAAUAGUAGGGUUGUGAGUGAGGUGUGGAAAAUAGGGUUGGAUAUGAAGGAUGUAUGUGAUAGCAAGAUAGUGGAGAAAAUGGUAAAUGAUGUGAUGGUGGAUCGAAAGGAGGAGUUUGCAAAAUCCGCAUCUGAAAUGGCUAAGGUAACCAAUCAAAGUGUUAAUGUUGGUGGGUCUUCUUAUAGUAAUUUGGACUGUUUAGUUGAAGAUAUUAGAAUAAUGAGCUUGAAAAAACUCACAAAAUGAGCUUUGAACCACCCAGCCGUUGGCGGGUUCUCUUCAUUUUAAUUUUUUUUUAUUGCAAUAUCUCUUUAAACAAAGUAAUUGAAUAGCAGUAAAACUUUUCAAAAUAUCCUUACAUGAUUGAAUAUCUUUAUCAAUUACAAUCACCAAAUUUUUUUUAUUAUUAACCUUAAAAAGAUGUGCAACAAUAGUUACUUAAAUCCUAUCAAAAUAUGCCAAUAAAAUAGGUAAAUUACAAACAACUCAAUUGCAAAUUGAGUUGUGGCUAACUGAGUAAUUGACGAAUGAUGCAAGCCCCAAGACCGAAGAACCAGUUUUAGACUAAUGGAUGUGAUGAGUUCACAUUAUCUCAAAGCUCAACAAUAGUGUCAACGGCCAAACAAAUCAAAUCAAGAUCCGAUCAAAGACAAUAUUCAAGUAUGAAUUUUUUCAUUCACCAAAGCUGUCAACUUUCAAGUUUAGGAAAUUAACAAACUUGCAAUGCCUUUUUGGAUGGGAUCCAGGCAUAUCUGGGUUGAGAUUUAUCAUGGCGUUCGAAAUUUAUCUAUCUUGGAUUUGAUUGCGUUUCAGAUUAUAUCAAAAUCUAAGUUUAUUUCCUAACGUCUAGAACCCUAAGUCAAAUUCGCGACUUAAAUAAACUUUACGAUCCACUUCCACAUUCAUCCGCCUCAACCUUUAUCAAUGACACUAACAUUCUCACCCUUUGACACUAACAACUAGAGUAUUAUCUUCAUAAAAUGAGCUAACAUAAAGAAGUAACAAGUAGCAAACAUUAUGAAUAAAUACUUAACAGUAAUAAGCAUGCAAAAGGAGAACUCCGCUUCGAUGGUAACAUCAAUACAUCCCCCCCCAAUAAACACAAUAGAACGGGAGCGGGCUUUUAUUUCUUUUCUUAAAAUGUGAAUGCAUGGUAAAGAUGGCUUUUUUAUUUUUUGCAUUAUAUGUAUGAAGUGUUUAUAAUUAAUAUUUUCUUUGCUCCACCCUACUCAUUAUAUAAAGUUAUUAUUUUACCCUAUAUAUUUGUUGAUACAACGUACAACAAGGGAGGAAGAUAAGGAGGAGGUCAAGAUGGUGCAAUGGAGGCCAAUUCACCUAAAGAGGUUGAGAGUCGAAACAAGAACAAAAUGAUAGACUAACCAAGAAGACAAUUGCUCGGUAACUCUAGAGUGCUAAAAAAAGGAUCUUUUUGCAUCAUUCCUUAGAAUAUUUUCUCUUGUCCACUGAUAUGACAUGGCCAGAAAAACAUUCAAUCCCGCAAAAUGUGUAAAAGAUAUUUAUAGGCAUAUAUCAUGGGGCCUUAUCAGUAUGAGAUUAUUGUGCCUAAAUGGACUCCUUAUCAUAUAAAGAGUGCAUUCAUACUAAGAGAAUGUUAAUACUUAAAACGGGUGGAUGGUUCCGUCUAAGAGGAACGAGUGGUCUAUUGAAGCGUUACUUCAAAUGAAGUCAACAAGAGGUCUAUGAUGCAUCUGAUAUUGACACGUGUCUGAGUGACGGAGGGGUAUAGCAACAUUAAAUAUAUGUUUGAGCCUUGAAUUACAUAGUUAAGACUUAGUGGUUUCUGGCAAUGUUUUCAUAAUCGAACCCGUGAUCAAACCGAUCAGACCACCAAUUUUUAAUUUAAUUGAUUCAAUAAAAAAUAAAUUAUAAAUAUAAAAUCCAAUUAUUUAUAAAUUUUGAUAUCUAAUUAUUAAAGUUUUGUAAUUCCACUUUAAGAUUGUAUAUAGCCUAUUGAUUAAAAAUUUAUAAAUCCACCUUUAAAGAAUUUAAAAGUUCCUUGCGAAUAUGAAACUCAUCUCUUUUACUCUUUAGACUUAUAAAUUUCUCUUCCACUUUCUUUUUGUCAUUCCCUUUUCUCAUUUCUUCUAACUAUUCCGUAAAAAUCGGUUUUUUUUUCUAUUCAUUUCUUAUUCUCAAAUACCCAAAUCUCUUUCGUAUCAUUCCAAAUCUCAUGUUUUUCUUUUUCUUUCUUCACAUAAAUAAAAUAUUAUUCUAAUCAAUUUUUUUGUCAAGUUUCUAAACCCUAUUUAAUUGAGUUUUAAUUAGUUCAUAACAAUUCGUUUGUUAUCCAUUUUAAUAAAGAGUGUUGGAUCUUCUGAUCUAUCAAUUUUCAAUCCAAUUAAUUUAAUUAAUCAAUACAAUUCAAUUUCGACAAUAUUAAUUUCUCAUUUCUAGUUGCUAAUAUAAGAAAAUUAAAAUAAAUUAAUUGUUAGGAAAUUUUUAAUUUUUAAGGUAAAUUCAAUUCCUGUUUACUUGGGAGGUUGUCCCAAGUAAUCAAAAUUAUGUUUAAAAUAUUAAAAAUAAUUAAGAAAAAUCAAAAUGAAACAACGUAUGGUGAAAUGAGAAUGGAUAUAUUUAAUAUCUAUAAUGGAAAUAAUAAAUUAUAAAAUUAAAUAUUUAUGAUGGAACGAAAUAGAUAAUAAAAUAAUUAAGAUUUAACAAUAUUUGCUAGGUGUCGUUUCAUUCAUUUUCUUCCCAAUGGAGAGCAAUGUUAUGUUGGCUUUACUUUUUGGACCAACAAUUGAGAAGUCGCUUUUGUUUGGGAUUUUUUUUUUUUUCAGAAAUGGCGCAUGAAAGGGUCGGUGAAAAUGGGUAAAUUGGCUAAAUCAUGUGACAGUAUCGGUAGUCCUUAUUAUUGCAAUUAUGAUAAAAUCAAGUUGUAAUAAAUAAUUGCAGUCACGUGACAUGCAAUAAGGUGUAAUCUUUCUGAUUGUUUUUUUGCAAGUUUUAAAAGUACGAGUUUGACAAUGUUAUCAUUAAUUGCAAAUGCAAUUUUUUAUUUAUAAUAAUCAAAACAAUACGAUUACAGUAAAGUACUAUUUAUAAAUAAAUUGUCUCUGGUGCUCAAUCUUUUAGAAUAUCUUGAAUCUCCAUAAGGGCUAUGGAACAUAUGUAAAACUACAUCAUUUAUGAGUCAUUGUUGCCAAUGUUUCUAUAAUUUUAUUAUUUUUGAGGAAUGUAUCAUAAUGAUCAUUUCUUUUCGCUAGCAAGGAUAUGUUAAAUUCUCUUAAUUAAAGUAGAGGUAGUUUUUUCUGGUUUAUUAUCGCUAAUAGCUGCUAUGACCUUGAUACUAUCAAAAUGAAUGGUAGCAUCAUCGUAUCCUUAUUUUCUAAAUAUGUGUAAGCCAUCCAAUAUUCCCCAAAGCUCAGUAGCUACAACUGAACACUUCCCCAAAAAACGAUUAUUUCUAGAAUCCAAUUUCCCUUCCCAUCACAUAUUACCCCACCUGCAGCGGAAAAACCAGAAAUAAAAUUAACGACACCUUCAGUAUUAAGAAGAAAACCCAUACCUGAUUUCGAACGUUCAGAAGACUAUUGCGGAUCCUUCACCAAGACUUCAUUAUUGACUAAGGAAUAUUGCUUUGCUCAACUGUAAGAAACCUUAAAAAUUUCCUCUAGAUUUAUUGAUUUUCCUUGGAAUUUGAACAGGUUAUGAUUUUUCCAUAUGCGCCAAAGUAUUAUCCCGAAGAAGCAAGCCCAGACCGAACCUCCCGUGUUAUUAUCUAAUUGAUCCGGUAGAUUCGAGAGCAACCAUUCUGAAAUAUUACCUUCAAAGAUCCAUUUAUUUUGAUUGGAGGAAAUUAUUUGAGUCCAAAUAUCCUUCGAACAUGAACAGCCCCUAAAAACUAGUAAAACAUCCUCUGUAUGGUGACCACAAAAAUGACAUGACUCAUCAUGACCAAUUCCCGUUCGGACCCUUUCAGAGUUGGUUGAAAGUCUUUGAUUUAUGAUUAUCCAUAUGAACAUGUGACGGUGUACCAACGGACCUCGUGGAAGGGACAAAAGAAAGAGGGUAUACAUAGUGGAUUUGGCUCCACAGGAAGAUGUCUUGGCCCAUGGGGCUAUUGGUGGGUUUUUGACUCAUAGCGGAUGGAAUUCGACUUUGGAGAGCGUGACAGCGGGGGUGCCCAUGGUUUGUUGGCCUUGCUUUGCUGACCAACAAUUGAACGGUAGGUUUGUGGAGGAAGUGUGGAAAUUAGGAUUAGAUAUGAGGGAUGUGCGUGAAAGAAGAGCUGUGGAGCAAAUGGUGAAUGAUUUAAUGGUGGAAAAAAGGGAGGAGAUUUUGAAAUCAGCUGAUGAAUUUGCUAAAUUGGCUAAAGGAUCUGUGAAUGUUGGUAGGUCUUCGUAUUAUAAUUUGGACUAUCUAAUUGAGGACAUAAGAAUGGUGAAUAAAAAUUGUUAAAAACGUGAAAUUUUGAGAUAGGGACAACAAAAUGAGGGGCCUUUCCCAUCCCCACUUUUUUUAUUAAAUUAUUUCCUAGGUUCCUGCUAAUUUCGAAUUAAACAAUUUGACCCUAAUUUCUUUAAUUACCUCUUACAUCUUUGUCAACUUUUAAAUUAAUAAUCGUAUUUGUUUGCUUUUAUACUAAUAUAUGAUUUUCAAUUAAUAAAAUAAAUUAAAAAUUAGUUUAAAAUAUUAAUAUCUCGUAUUAAUUGAUAAGAGUUACGAUAAUUAUCAAUAUAAAUCGAUAUUGAUUGAAAUUAAUUAAAAUAUAUUAAUUUUUUUUUACUAAAAUUGAACUUAAAUUAUUUGGUACCAAAAUUGUGGGGACUAUUAUCCAAUAAUGUUUUAUCUUGAUUCUGUCCCUGCCCGAAGUAGCUAGUGAAGGGGAAUAAAGAUGUUUCGUAUAGGAAAAUUGCUUUAACGAAAAUGGUGAAUGAAAUUGAUAUGGUUGAAAACAAAGAAGAGAUUGAGAAAUCUGUCGGCGGCCCUUGCUGCAAUUUCGAUUGUUUUAUUAAAGACGUAAAAGGACAUGUUGUAAUUAAUUAACUUGCAGUCACAUGGCAUGCAAUAAAGAUCGAUUUUUUUUUAAAUUAGAUCCAAUUAGGUUAUUAAAUAUUAAUAAGUUUAUAUUUUGAUUAAUUAACUAGAUAUAAAAUAAUCAUUAAACUAUUCAAAAGAUUUUAUUUAAGUUAUUAGCUUUAAGUUUGGUUUACAAGCUUGAAACAACAAUUCGGCGAAUAGUAUGGUAGAUCAGUACCCAUCAAGAAAUAGAAGAACAUAACUUAGAUCCAAGUCGAUCUGACAGUCUGUGUUGGAGAUCAAAGAAGAAAGUUAUUUAGAUUUUGGUUCGUAGAUAUAAAAAGAAAUUGAACCGUACAAGAAAAGGGGAAGAAAAGUUUUCGAUUUGUGCAAGCGAUGGCGAACGGAGAAAACUAUACUGUAAUAUGCCAAUUUGCCCAGCCCAUUUUGUAAAACCAAAUAAAAAAGAAAAGAAAAACAAAAUAUUUAAGUUUAGCCCAAAUGUCCAUUUACACAGCCCAAUUACAAUUAAAAAAAACUAAACCCGAUCCUAAGCAUCUAGCCCAAUAAAUUAAAACCCUAACCCAAAACCUAAUUCGGCCCAACCUAGCCCAAAAUAUUCCCAAACCCUGAAACCCUAGCCUUCAGCAACCAGCAGCAUCGUCGUCAAACCCAGGGCCUCUUCCGCUCUGCUGCGCAUCCGCGCGCGUGCGUCUCCUCCAGUUGGCCUCCGUACACGCCACAUCCACCCUCCGUAUGCAGUACCUGCAAAUAAGAACAGAAAAACAACGCAGCAAGAAAAGAAAAAAAAAUAUUUUUAUUUUUAUUUUGAUUUUUCAGAUUUCAUUUUUUUUUAAGGGGGCUAUAUUAAAAGAGAGAGCCCUUUGUAUUAAAAAAAGAAAAAAAGAAAAGGGAAGAACACAGGCAUAUUGUAUCAAACAUGAAAUCAAUACAAAGAAGAAAAGGUUUUCUUUUUUCCUUUUUCAAUUGGGUUCUUUUUCUUUUCCGAUUGUUCAUCUUUCUACUUAUGUUUUGCUAUUUACCGCACAUACAUACGCGAAGCAAAUAAAAGAAAAAGGAGGGAGUUAGAACACGUACCUGGUGACCGGCCUUGUGCUCUCUCCAUCGCAAUCGGAGUUGUGCAUGGGGUUCGGAAGGCCACUGUCGAUUGAUGUAACAGAAUGGCGCUGGAGGAGGUUUUUUUUUUUAGAGCCUGCUUAUAAAUGACAAAGAGGCUGAUAAUUUAGGGUUUUUGGUGGCCUUUAUGUAGCAUACAAAACGGCACCGUUUGGAGUCUGACCAGUGGUUCCAAAACGGCGCUGUUUAAAGGCCUGUGACUCGCGCGGUGAACCGACCCGGGAAGGAUCCGCACGUCUUCCAACACUUGGGUAUAUUGCGCAAAAGGCCCUUCUGCCCUUGCAUGAUUUUUAAAUCGGUCCUUUUUAUUUUUUUUUAUUUUUUGCUCUGCAUUUUGAUAUGGUGUCAUUUUGGUCCGCGUCACUACGCUGUGUUUCGGGGAAUGGAAUAAUUUCCAAUCUGCCCCCCCUUUGAUUUGGCGAAUUGCAGUUUGGACCCUUUGUGUUUUUUAAACUACAUUUGUGGCCCGUUAAUUCUAUUCUGACUGCAGUUUAGUCCCUCUUGCGUUUUCUAAUCACUUCAUUAUUUUAUUAUUAUUUGCUAUUAUUUUUUAUUAUUGUUAUAAUUAUCAUAUUUGAUUAUUAGUUCUAUUUACCUAUAUAUAUACAUGUGUUACUUUAUUAUUUACUAUUUUUAUUAUAUAUAUACAUAUGUAAUAUAUAUUAUUUAAUUUUAAACUAUAUACACAUAUAUUUUAUACAUAUAUAACUUUCAUUAAAAUUAUUUCUACCUCACAUACAUUAUGUUGUUGGUUUGGUAUUAUUUUCUAUUUAGUAUGUAAUACUUAUUUAGGUUAAGUGUAUAUUAUUUUGUAUGUUAUAUUUUAUAUGUUUUUAACUCUAUUUUUGAAUUUCCUUUUGAAACUCUCACAUAUAUACAUAUAUACAUAUAUAUAUUAUUUGCUAUAAAUUUAUUUUCUCACACGAUUUAUUAAUGAUCAUUCCCAUCUUUUAUGCUAUUUAUUUCUUAAAUUAUUUUUAAAUUUGUAUGUUUUAUUUAUUUUUAUUUAUGUUUAUGUAAAUUGCCUAGUUUCAAUUAGCGUCCUAUUACUUGCCAAUGUUGGUAUACGAUAUAUGGUUGAGAUAAUUAUUGCUAUGCUUGUUUAAAUUUAUUUAUUGACUAUUCAUUAUUCAUUAGUUUACAUUUUAAUCUCGAAUUAUCUUUUCGCGUUGUACGUUAUCACUCCAUCACACUUUAUUCGUUUAAAAGGUUAUGUCUAAUAUCAUUUAAUAUCAAAAACAUUUUUAUUCAAAAAGCUUUCAAAAUAACGCAACACCCGGAAUUUGGGAUCCCCGAAAAGAUUGUGUCCUAACUUAUUGGAUUCUAAUCUUCCUCGGGAUCUAAGAGGCCGAAUAUUUCUUUUUAAUUAAAACAUAAAUAAAAAGCUCAUACUCGGGAAUUCAAUGCGUGGUGUCCUAACGCAUUGGAUAUGACAUAUUGUUUUCUUGAGACGAGGAUUUUUCUAACAAAUGAAAAUAAGGGCAAUAUUCGAUAUUUAGGAAUUUUGUGAAAUCGAAUCCUAACUUACUGGGUUUUGAUUUUCUUAUUUGACCUAAAUAAUCAAAUAUCCUUCUCAAAAUGCACAGGUUCUAAAAGUCAAACUUAAUUUUGAGGAUUUGAAAUGUUGCACUCUAACUUACUGAGUAUGACAAUUUAUUUCCUUGAAGUAAGUGAGACUUAUUAUCCAAUUCAUUUUAUUCAAGAUAAAAGGAUCAUAUUUUAAAAUCUUUUCAAAGUUUUGACACUAAGACAUUAAACAAUCAAUUCGGUACCAAUUUUAGGCGUUACGAGGGUGCUAACCCUUCCUCGUGCGUAACCGACUCCCGAACCUAUUUUCUCAAAAUUCGUAGACCAAAAAAUCAUUUUUAAUGGUGAACCGAUCACACCUCAAUAAAAGAUCGGUGGCGACUCCCAUUUCUAUUUUCAAAGUCGAUCCCUUUUUUUUAAACAUGAAGGUAGUUUCGACAUAUACAAUAACGAUUUUAACUGUUAAGUAACUUAAAUAAAAAUUUCGAAUAAUUUUAUUACUAUUUUAUAACUUUAUGAAUUCGAGUGACAAAUAUGUAAUUCAACUAAUAGUUUUUAUUUAUGGUUUUGAAGUCUAUAUUAUUUUCAUUCAAGCUUUUAUUUAUGGUUUUGAAGGUUUUAUUUGGUGUAAUAUUUUAAUUAUGCUCAACAAUUUCAAUAAUAUUAAUUUACAUUAAUUGCAUGAAAUAAAAAAUUACUUUUAAUGAAAAAUAAAUAAAUAAAAUCAUUAAUAAAUUUACUUUAAAUGGGUGAAUUGAAAAUAUAUAUUAGAAAACAUAAAUAAUAUUAUAACCAUAUUUUCUCUUAAAACUUAAAAAAAUUAAAACAAAAUUAAUUUUCCUAUAUAUAAAUUUUAGCCCCAAUAAAUUAUAAUACAACUUUUAAAUAAACUCUUUAGAUUUUUUUUUAUUUUAACAAUUUGUCAUAUUCGGAAAAUAAAUAUCACGACAAGCACUUUAAAAAAAAGAUAGAAUGUAUUAAUCUCAAAAAGAAAGGGAAAGUCAUUAAGAAUAUAAGAAAGUGCGCCACACAUCCUGUAACACCCCUAAUCCGUAGUCGACGCCGAAACAGGGUUUCAGAGCAUUAUCAGACUUAUAAGUCAAACAAUCACAAAUGACGUAUAUAUUUAUCAUUCGUAUCAAAAAACCAUUCAAAUACAUUUAUACAGUCCCUAAUACGAGCCCUUAAGGCCCCAAAUAGACAUUAGAAGUGAUUCGGGACUAAACUGAGUUCUCUACAAAUUUUUAAGAAAACAUGAAAUUUUUUUCCAAAAACCCUAGGCUCUCAAUAAUAUUGCAAAUUAGCCCCCUAAUUAGCUAGCUUAAGUUACAAAGGUUCCAAAAACACAAAAAUCAACAUAAACAACCACGAAAAUAACUUACAUGCAAGGGACUUUGUGGCUGAAAAUUCAAGCUUUCCUAUGCUCUUAGUUUGCUGAAAUUUUCGGUUGAGAAAUAAGGAGGAAGAUGACCCCUUUGGUUUUAUUUUAUUUAAUUUAACUUUAGUCAUCAAACUACCAACCCUUACCAACUUUGACUUUUCAUGAUUUUUACGCCAUGCACAUUCACUAACUCAAUUAGUGGUCUAAUUUCUCAAUAAGGACCUCUACUUUAAAGUUCUAUAGCUAUUUGACAACUUUAGCUAAUAGAACACAACUUUCACAUUUUAUGCGAUUUAGUCCUAUUUCACAAAUUGAGCAUACAAACGGUAACAUUUCUUAACAAAAUUUUUAUACCAUAAUUCUAACAUACUAUAGACCACAAAAUAAUAUUAAAAUAAAUUUUAUGACCCCGGAUUUGUGGUCCCAAAACUACUAUUUUGAUUUCAUCGAAAAUAAGUCAUUACAACUCUCCCCCCUUAGGAAUUUUCGUCCUCGAAAAUCUUACCGAAAAAUAGGUUAGGGUACUCUUUUCUCAUGGUUUCCUCAGGUUCCCAAGUAGCCUCCUCAAUUCCAUGACGAUGCCAAAGAACUUUUACUAGAGCUAUUCUUUGAUUCUUCAACUCUUUGAUCUCUAGUGCUAAAAUUCUAAUCGGUUCUUCAUGAUACGACAUGUCAGGCUGAAUCUCAACCUUGGUCGGAGAAAUAAUAUGCGAAGGAUCUGAUCGGUACCGUCAUAACAUAGAUACAUGAAACACAUUAUGAAUCUUUUCCAACUAUGACGGUAAGUCAAGUCAAUAAGCCACUUCUCUCAAUAAUCUCGUAUGGUCUGAUAAAACGCAGACUCAACUUUCCUUUACGACAAAAACGGAGAAUUCUCUUCCAAUGCGAUACUUUAAAAAACACUUUAUCUCUAACCUGAAAUUCAAUAUCUUUAUGCUUCAUAUCCGAGUACAAUUUUUGUCUAUCAGAAGAGGCUUUCAAAAUGUCACAAAUCACUUCCACAUUCUCUUCGAUUUCUCGGAUCAAUUCAACUUCGUGUAUCUUUUUCUCACUAAGAUGGGUCCAGUAUAAUGGAGUUUGGCAUUUACAACCAUAUAAAGAUUCAUACGAUGCCAUCUUAAUGCUCGAUUGAAAGUUAUUAUUAUAUGCAAAUUCAACCAACGAUAAAUAGUUUUCCUAAUUACCUUAGAACUCUAAAACAUAGCAACACAGCAUAUCCUCAAGAAUUUGAAUUACUCUCUCAGACUAACCAUCGAUUUUGGGAUGAAAUGCAGUGCUAACAUGCAACCGCGUACCCAAAGCCUCUUGCAAUUCUUCUAAAAUCGUGAUGUAAAUCAUCGAUCUCUAUCUGAAAUAAUGGAUACCGGUACUCCGUGCAAUCUCACAACCUUAGAAAUAUACAACUCGGCUAAUUUGUCCAGAGAGAAGCCCAUACGCAUCGGAAUAAAAUGUGCGGUCUUCGACAACUGAUCAACAACAACCCAGAUAGCAUCUUUCCUUCUGGGAGACAGAGGUAAACCUGAUACAAAAUCCAUUGUAAUUUUAUCCCAUUUCCACUUCGGUAUCAUCACUAGUUGCAGCAGUCCUGAAGGUACAUGAUGUUCGGCUUUGACUUGUUGACAAAUCUAGCAUUUUGAUGCAAACUCUGAAAUGCCACGUUUCAUACCUGAGCACCAGUACAUCUAUUUCAAAUCACCAUACAUUUUAUUGCUCCCCGAAUGAACAGACAAGCUACCACUGUGAGCUUCGUGUAAAAUUCUCUGUAUGAGCUCAGGAUUCUUCGGCACACAAACACUACCUCGAAACAAUAAACAAUCAUCGGCUCCGAUUUGAAAAUCUAAGUUAAUAAUCGACUCGCACUGUGCUCUUUUAGCUUGCAAAUCUUUAUCACAUUUCUGAGCCUCACGAAUUUGCUGUAAAAAUGUCAGUUUAGCUCUUAACUCAGCUAAGAUCGAACCAUCAUCAGAUAAAGUCAAUUACGUGUUCAUCGCUCGUAAAGCAAAUAACGAUUUUCUACUCAAAGCAUCUGCGACUACAUUCGCUUUUCCCGAAUGGUAAUCAAUCACUAGCUCAUAAUCCUUCAACAAUUCGAGCCAUCUUCGCAGUCUCAAAUUUAACUCUUUCUAGGACAUCAAAUAUUUCAAGCUUUUGUCAUCGAUAAAUAUGUGGCACUUCUCAUCGAACAAGUGGUUCCACCAAAUUUUUAAUGCAAACACGAUUGCAACCAACUCCAGAUCGUGAGUCAAAUAAUUAUUCUCGUGCGUCUUUAAUUGUUUGGAAGCAUACGUUAUCACUUUGCCUUCUUACAUUAAAACACAUCCUAAACUGUUCAACAAUGCAUCGCUAAAAAUUACAAACUCUUUUCCCGACUCCAAUUGAACUAAAAUAGGUGCUUCGAUUAAUAGUGCUUUCAACUGAUUGAAACUUUGUUGACAUUUCUCAGACCACUCAAACUUUACAUCUUUCUGUAAUAACCGAGUCAUCGGUGUAACAAUCAUUGAGAAAUCCUUAACAAAUCUUUAAUAAUAGUCCACUAAUCCUAAGAGACUUCUAAGCUUGGAAAUAUUUCGUGGUGGUUUCUAGUCAACAAUCGUUGAAAUCUUGCUCGGAUCAACUCGAAUGUCAUCUGCCGAUACAAUGUGUCCUAAAAAUCUAACUUGUCAGAGCCAAAACUAGCACUUGGUAAAUUUAGCAAAUAGUUGUUUAUCUCACAGAGCCUGUAAUACAAUUCUCAAAUGCUCGGUAUGCUCAUAUUCGUCCCGAGAAUAUAUCAAUAUAUCAUCAAUGAACACAAUAAUAAAUUGGCCCAAAAAUGGUCUAAAUAUAUGAUUUAUCAAAUCCAUAAACACCGCAGAAGCGUUAGUUAAUCCAAAUGGCAUAACAAGGAAUUUAUAAUGCCCGUACCUAGUCUUGAAUGCAGUUUUCAAUACAUCUGAAUCUUUAACCCGCAACUGAUAAUAACCGGAUCGCAAGUCAACCUUUGGAAAUAUUGUUGCUCUUUUCAACUGGUCAAACAAAUCAUCAAUCAUCAGCAAAAGAUACUUAUUCUUAAUCGUAACCUUGUUAAGUUGUUGAUAGUCGAUACAUAAUCUCAUUGAUCCAUAUUUCUUCUUUACAAAUAGAACCGACGCACCCCAAAGCGAGAAACUCGGUUGCACAAAACCUCUGUCCGUUAACUCUUGCAACUGAGUUUUCAACUCUUUCAACUCUGUUGGAGCCAUUCUGUAUGGAGCUAUCGAUAUUGGUAAUGUUCUCAGUACUAACUCAAUAGCAAAUUCAACUUCUCUAAUUGGUGGUAACCUGGGUAAUUCUUCUGGGAACACAUCCAAAUAUUCAUAGACCACUGGCACUGAUUCAAUCUUCGAUUCUAACACUUUAGUAUCCAGUAUUUCACAUACUUCUGUGCUAACAUCGUCGAUAUCACGACAGGUAAACCACUCAAAUCAAUAGAUUCAAUACAGAGAAUCUCACCAUUCUGUCAUUUCAACUCAAUAAUCUUUUGUCUACAGUUCACAAUAGCGUCCUGCAGAGUUAACCAAUCCAAACCCAAAAUCACAACGAAUUCAUCAAACGGUAAAAGCACCAAAUCUGCUGGAAAACUAUAACACCGAGUCAUCAAAGGACAAUUCUUGCAGACCUUAUCAACUAGGACAUACUGACCUAAGGGGUUCGAUACUUUAACCACAAAUUCAGUGGACUUUACAGGUAAACUCUUACUAGACACUAAUUUUGUACAUACGUAAGAAUGGGUUGACCUCAGAUCAAUCAAAGAAGUUACAUCAGUAUUAUAAAGUGAAAAGUACCAGUGAUAACAUCUGGCACUGACGCAUCUUCGCGAGCACGAAUGGCAUAAGCUCUGGCUGGUACUCGUACCUCCGAUCUCACUGCGGUAUCCCUCAUAGCACCUCGACUACCACUCAUAUUUCUCGUGUUUCGAGGUGGUCUCUCUCUAGAAACUGUAUUGCUCGGCCUCACGGUUUGAGCUUUUUCUUUCUCAAACUUCUCAGGGAAAUCUCUAAGGUAGUGGUCGAAGGAACCACACCAGAAACAUACACCGUUCUUUACCCGACAUUUGCCAUAAUGUGGCCUAUUAUAGUGUUUGCACUCGGGUUUAGCAUUUCUAACACUACCCACACUAGCUACAGAUGUAUCCUAGGGUUUAGAACUGGAGUAUCUCGCAUCUCUAUCUUGACUAAAAUGCCCCACAGAAACAGUAGGUCGAUAGUGACGUUUUUUAGAUUUCUUUGACGUCGAUUGAUGAGACUUCCCUAUAAAUCUCUUCCUCUAAUCUCUAGCUUCAAAUUCGACUUUUCUUUUCUUUUUACUAAGUUCCUCGACUUUGCAAGCUCUUUCAACUAAAAUUACAAAUUCUUUCACCUCAAGUAUCCGGACUAAAAUUUUGAUGUCUUCGUUCAACCCAUCUUCAACCGUUUGUACAUAAUUGCUUCCGUGGAAACACAUUCUCAGGCAUACUUACUUAAACGAGUGAACUCUCUUUCAUACUCAGUUAUGGUCAUACAACCCUGCUUUAACUCUAGAAAUUUAUUGUGUUUUUGGUCAAGAAAUCGCUAGCUUAUUUUUUUUUUGAACUAGGUCUGAAAGAAUUCUCACGUGACUCUAUCUCUCGGCACUACGGAUAUUAGGGUAUUCCACCACUGAUAAGCUGAAUCUCUCAGAAAGGACACAACACAUUUAACACAUUCGAUUGGCAUGCAAGAUAGCUCAUCGAAAACCUUGAUUGUAUUCUCUAACCAAAACUCAGCUCUCUCAGGUUCAUUAUCAACUGUAACCCUAAACUCUUCAGCCCCAUAUUUUCUAAUUUUAUCCACAGGCAGUUUGUUCAAACGUACCGGUUCUAAGACUUGAGGAGCCAUGGGAACCAGUUGGGGGUAAGGUGGGGGAGAAGGUUUUUGAGUAGCCAGAUUUAUCUGAACAUACUCAGUGAACCACUCGUUCAUCAGGCUUCCUUAGCCUCUCUUCCACGACUAUCUGACAUGGGUCUAGACCCAGACAAAGCUACCCCUCGAACUAAGGUCGGCGUGUUACUUUCAACAUCAUCAGAAUCUACUCGAUUAGGAUCCAUUGCUAUAUAAAAAAAACACAAUUUAAACUGUUAGGAGAUGUCACACUAUCACAGGUUAAUAAAUGGCAUGUAUAGCUAGACUUACACCCACUACGUUAGUCCUAGAAUCGACUAAAUCGUAACUCUGAUACCAAUAAAUGUAACACCCCUAACCUAUAAUCGAUGUACUUUUAUUAUUCAUUUUAGGAACAUAUCUCAAUGAUCAUAUCUUUUCGUUAGCAAGGAUAUGUUGAAUAGUCCUAAUUAAAGUAGGGUUGGUUUUUUCAGGCUUGUUAUCGCUAAUAGUUGCUACGACCUCGAGACUAUCAGAAUAAAUGAUAACGUCAUCAUAUCCUUAUUUUUUAAGUAUGUGUAAGCCAUUUAAUAUGUCCCAAAGAUGCAGUUACAACCGAACAUUUCUCUAAAAAGCGAUUAUAUCCCAAAAUCCUAUUUCUCUUCCCAUCACAUAUUACUCCACCUACAGCUGAAAAACCAGAGAUAGAAUUAACAACACCUUUAAUAUUAAGAAGAAAACCCAUACUUGAUUCCAAACAUUCAGAAGAUUGCUGCAGAUCCAUCACCAAGACUUCAUUAUUGACUAAGGAAUAUUACUUUGCCCAACUGUAGGAAACCUUAAUAAUUUCCUCUAUAUUCAUUGAUUUUCCUUAGAAGAUGAACAGGUUACAAUUUUUCCAGAUGCGCAAAAGAAUUAUCCCAAAAAAGCAAGCCCAGACUGAAUCUCUUGUGUUAUUAUCUGAUUGGUCCUGUAGAUUCGAGAGCAACCAUUCCGAAAUAUUACCUUCAAAGAACUGUUUAUUUUAAUUGAGGGAAAUGAUUUGAGUUCAAAUAUCCUUCGCACAUGGACAGUCUCUAAGAACAUGUAAAACAUCCUCUGCAUGGUGACCACAAAGAUGACACGACUCAUCAUGACCAAUUCCCCUUUAGACCUUUUCAGAGAAAGUUAAAGGUUUUUACUUUAGGAUUAUCCAAAUGAACUAUCUAACUCUUUGAAGUCCCGAAAUAUUUUUAUCAUUUGUAUCAAAAACCAUUCAAAUACUUUUAUACAGUCCCUAAUAGCCCUCAAGGCCCCAAAUAGACAUUAAAAGUGAUUCGGGACUAAACCGAGUUCUCUACGAAUUUACACCUCAACAUGAUAUAACAAGCAAAUUCAUUCAACCACCUUAAAACAUACCCAAAAGAUCAUUUAUACAUAUUUAGAAACCAAGUUUACCAAAAUAAGCCAAAUCACAUAGCUAUACGUAUAACCAAAACAACAUAAGACAUAUAGGCCACAUUAACCAAAACACCUGUACAUGCCAUUUAACCCAAAAUGUAAAGUCUAAGUACCAAAAUAGAGUUUGAUAGUGCGACGCGAUCUCCGACAAUUUCUGAAUCGAGCGAGCUUCCAAAAUACUAUAAAAUAUGAACAAAUAAAUAGAGUAAGCAAUUAAGCUUAGUAAGUUCGUAAUUCAAAUAAUAAAACUUACCAUAUAACUACAAUUUUAGGUAAAUAACUCGAAACGUAAUUCGAUUCAAUUUGGCCUAAGCCUAUCAUACAACCCAUAAUCAAUUUAAUCAUGUAUUCACAUAAAUCCAAAAAUAAUAUAUGAAUUCAUCAAUUUAUCAAAUUCCCUGUACAUGUAACAUCUAUGCUAUAUAGUCAUAUAUCAAAUAUCAACCAUUUCCAUACAAAUACUUGUACUUGUCAUAUCAGACUUGUAUAAUCCCGUAAUAGUACUAUGCCCAAUAAACCAUCUAAAAUAUCGUAGGACAUGCGGGUGGUACACACGAAGUGUGAACGGUAAACCGUCAAUUCUUAUACAUGUGUGCUCAUACCAAUAAUAAACAUUAAGCUCAUCCGAGCUUAAUAUCAGUAAGCUUUUCCGAGCUGAAUAACUGUAAGCUCUUACGACUUGAGAUUCGGUAAGCUCAUACGAGCUGUGGUGAGUCUGUAACACAUGUAGGGUCUCAACCAAAAUCGGUAACCCUAAUGACAUGACACGUCAUUUGUAUCAUACGAAUUUCUAUAGUUCAAAUGGGGCCCGUAUUUAUAGUACUAUAUUAGUUAUACAUUCCAUAUAUAUACAUCAUAAUUAUUAAAUUCACAUACAUAUAAUUCAAUUAAAUCAUAUAAAUACACAAUGUGAUUAUACGAACUUACCUUGAAUUAAUACAGAGUAAGUCGACCGUUCAAUCCACUACUUUUUCCUUUCCCCGGUUUAAAUCCGAACAUAGGUUUUCUUGAUCUAUAUAAUAUCAAACUUAAUUAAUUUAAUAAUUACUCUAUUCUAGUCCGAUUUCAUAAUAUGGAAAAAUUACCAUUUUGCCCCUAACUUUUGACUUCUUUACAAUUUAGUCCCUAGGCUCCUAAAAAUAAAAUCCAUGCAAUUUCAUCUGCAGACAAGCCUACCCGAUUUUCAUAUAUACCUAUAUCAGCCCAUAUAUUUCAUAAUUUCACACAUUUAAUACAUAAAUUUCACAUUUCUCAUUUUAGUCCCCAAAUGACAAUUUCACUUAAAAUCCUUUAAUAAAAGUUGUUUAUUUAACAAUCAAGAUUCAUUUUCUUUCAUUAAACUUAAAAAAAAACAAGAUGAUCUCAUGGAAAAACCCUAGACUCUCAAUCAUAUUGCAAAUUAGCCCCCUAAUUAGCUAGCUUAAGCUACAAGGGUUCCAAAAACACAAAAAUCAACAAAAACAACCACCAAAAUAACUUAUAUGCAAGGGACUUUGUGGCUGAAAAUUCAAGCUUUCCUAUGCUUUUAGUUUGCUAAAAUUUUCGGUUGAAAAAGAAGGAGGAUGAUGAACCCUUUGGUUUUAUUUUAUUUAAUUUAACUUUAGUCAUCAAAUUACCAACCCUUACCAACUUUGACUUUUCAUGAUUUUUACUCCAUGUACAUCCACUACCUCAAUUAGUGGUCUAAUUACUAAAUAAGGACCUCUACUUUAAAGUUCUAUAGCUAUUUGACACCUUUAGCUAAUAGAACACAACUUUUGCAUUUUAUGCAAUUUAGUCCUAUUUCACAAAUUGAGCAUACAAAUGGCCAAAUUUCUUAACGAAAUUUUUAUACCUUAAUUCUAACAUACUAUAGGUCACAAAAUAAUAUUAAAAUAAAUUUUAUUACCUCGGAUUUGUGAUCCCAAAACUACUGUUCCGAUUUCAUCAAAAACGGGUCGUUACACAUCCAAUCACAUGUCUUUUGGGAAAGGGGUAAUGAUCCCAUAGCAAGUGGUAUCACAACAAUCCUUGACUGCCCAAUUUUACAAUAAGCAUCUCAGAAAGUGGGAUGACAUAGUGAAUCAACUGUGACACAAUAGCUUGUGACUAGGACGUCACGAGAUUGAAUGGGAGAGAAUGCCACACCAAACACUUUAAAGUAGGCAAGAUGCAAUAAUUCCACAUUGGAAUGGAAAUGGAAAAAAAAAGGUCAUCGAGAAUAGGUACAUGGGCAUAGCUAAAGGGGCUAACAGGGGCCUUAAUCCCCCUAAAUGAAAUUUUUUUCAUGUAGGUCUUUUAAAAUUUUUAAAAUUUUAACUUAUAAGAGAUAAAAUUAUACUUUAACCCCCUAAAAUGAUAAAAUUUUGAUUUAAUCUUUUAAAAAUUAUAAAAAUAUAAACUAUUAAAAAUAAAAAAUAAUUUAUUUUUAUCAUUAUAAAAAAUACAAGUUAAUUUUAGACAUGAAAAAGUUUUCUAACUUCACUCUUGGAUAGAUAAGAGCCUAAUUGGUUUCCUAAAAAUAUGAUAAAUAUAUCAUUUCUUUCUUAACUUAUAAAUUAAUACAUUCUCCACCUUAUCCAAAGACAUCUUUUGGCCAUUAAAUAGCUUCCAAAUUGUCGAUUCUUAAGCACAUAAAACUCAAAAAGCCCCUCAAAACAGAUCAUCCAAUUAGAUGGAGGAGAAGGAUCGAUCCUCUCAAUCCCGUCCUCCACAUGUCCUCAUCUUCCCCCUCCCAUUACAAGGCCAUAUAAACUCCAUGAUUAAGCUAGCUGAACUGCUAGCUAUCGCCGGCUUCAAGCUCACUUUCCACAACUCCCACCACAACCAUGAACGCUUGGUCAAGUUCAACAAUAUUGCUGCCCAUUUUGAAAGAUACCCAGGGUUCGAAUUCAAGACCAUAACCGAUGGUCUCCCUCUUGAUCAUCCUAGGUCAGGGAGCUGGUUCCUUGAUAUGUUUGAAGAAACCAUGGAACCUAAGAUGAAGCAAAGUUUGAGAGAGGUACUUGUGAAUAGCAGCCCACCAGUAGAUUGCGUAAUUGCAGAUGGGUUUUUAGGCUUUGCUCUUGAUGUUGCAAAGGAGGUUGGAAUCCCCAUUUUUUUUUCAUACCAGCAGUUCUUGUUGUUUCAGGGUUUCUUAUUCUAUCCCUGAUAUAAUCCAAGCUGGGGAGCUUCCCAUCAAUGGUAAAUCCACUUCUUUCUUAUCAACUUUGUUUAUUGUACCAUGUUUAGCACUGUUUUUAACUUAGAAUAACACAAAACCUUAAGUCGAAAUUAUUUGACAAGCAUGUUGAAGAAAUUAACGAGAAAGUCAUUUGGAAUAUUCCUGUUAAUCAGGCGAGUUGAUUUGGUUUAAUUAGGAUUAAUUCGAAAUUUAAAAUUUUAAAAUCAUUUCAAGUUUGAAUGAUUUUAAGUUUCAACGGGUUCUUGUCAUUUAGAUUUACUAAUUUAACUUUUAAAUUAGAAUUAUUUUUGGUUAUUUUGUUUUCGGGUCACUUUAGGUUAGCUAGCUGGGUUUUUUUGUGUCGAUUUUCAAGUUGAAUCAUUUCAGAAUUGUGUUCAUUCUGGUCUAAUACUUAAGUUUGGACCAUUUUGGGUAACUUGUUCCCAUGGUUUUUAAGUUCGAGUUGUUUGAAGUUGUGAUCAUGUUUGAGCUUUGAUCAUUUCGAAUUUGAGUUGUUAAAUUUCUAUGAUUAAAUAAAUUUGAAUCUGAUAUGAGUUUCAAUUAAUUGGGUUUGUGAUCAUUGACACUAGUAAAUGGGUUUUUGUUAAACAAUUGAAGGAAGUGAAGACAUGGACCGGCUAAUAACGACAGUGCCAGGCAUGGAAACUUAUCUUCGAUGUCGAGAUCUUCCUACUUUUUGUCGAAAACUUGACAUUGAAGAUUCAAUUAUGAAGCUAGUCGUAAAACAGACACGAAAGAGCCUUCAAGCCGAUGCCUUGAUACUCAACACCACCGAAGAGCUCGAUGGGCCUAUACUAUCUCAAAUACGCACCAAAUGCCCUCGUGUCUAUGCCGUUGGACCCUUACAUACUCAAUUAAACACUAGACUCAAUGUAAAACAUGGAGAGUCAUAUGAUCACAUCUCCAAUACACUUUGGGAAGUGGAUAAAAGCUGCAUCUUUUGGCUCAAUAAGCAACCGAAUCGAUCUGUUAUCUAUGUAAGUUUUGGUAGCAUUACGAGCAUGUCAAGGGAGCAACUUGUUGAGCUUUGGUAUGGACUUCUUAACAGUACAACGAAGUUCUUGCUUGUUGUAAGGCCAAAUUCCGUGAUUGGAAAAGAUGGUGAAGGGGAGGAUGUUGUAAUGGAGCUUAUGGAGAAGAGUAAGGAUCGAGGUUACAUUGUAAAUUGGGCACCACAAGAGGCAGUCUUGAACCACCCGGCCAUUGGCGGGUUCUUUACGCAUAAUGGAUGGAACUCGACUUUAGAGAGCGUUGUCGCAGGGGUGCCUAUGAUUUGCUGGCCUCAGUUUGCUGACCAACACGUGAAUAGUAGGGUUGUGAGUGUGGUGUGGAAAAUAGGGUUGGAUAUGAAGGAUGUAUGUGAUAGAAAGAUAGUGGAGAAAAUGGUAAAUGAUGUGAUGGUGGAUCGAAAGGAGGAGUUUGCAAAAUCCGCAUCUGAAAUGGCUAAGGUAACCAAUCAAAGUGUUAAUGUUGGUGGGUCUUCUUAUAGUAAUUUGGACUGUUUAGUUGAAGAUAUUAGAAUAAUGAGCUUGAAAAAACUCACAAAAUGAGCUUUGAACCACCCAGCCGUUGGCGGGUUCUCUUCAUUUUAAUUUUUUUUUAUUGCAAUAUCUCUUUAAACAAAGUAAUUGAAUAGCAGUAAAACUUUUCAAAAUAUCCUUACAUGAUUGAAUAUCUUGAUCAAUUACAAUCACCAAAUUUUUUUUCUUAUUAACCUUAAAAAGAUGUACAACAAUAGUUACUUAAAUCCUAUCAAAAUAUGCCAAUAAAAUAGGUAAAUUACAAACAACUCAAUUGCAAAUUGAGUUGUGACUAACUGAGUAAUUGACAAAUGAUGCAAGUCCUUCAGACUAAUGGAUGUGAUUAGUUCACAUUAUCUCAAAGCUCAACAAUAGUGUCAACGGCCAAACAAAUCAAAUCAAGAUUCAAUCAAAGACAAUAUUCGAGUAUUAAUUUUUUCGAGGAAAGGGGGAUGAUAUAUGUACGGAUGGGAUGAAAUUUAUUAAAUUUCAUUCACCAAAGCUGUCAACUUCCAAGUUUAGGAAAUCAACAAACUUCCAACGCCUUUUUUGAUGCGAUCCAGGCAUAUCGGGAUUGAGAUUCUUCAUGGCGUUCGAAAUUUAUCUAUCUUGGAUUUGUUUGCGUUUUAGAUUAUGUCAAAAUCUAAGUUUCUUUCCUAACGUCUAGAACCCUAAGUCAAAUCCGCGACUUAAACAAACUUUACGAUACACUUCCACAUUCAUCCGCCUCAACCUUUAUCAAUGACACUGACAGUCUCACCCUUUGACACUAACUGUAAUAGCCCGAUUUUAGGCUUAGUCGGAACAGUGGUUUCGGGACCACAAAUCCGACGAAAAAAAAUGUAAUGGCUUGAAUUUUCAGAGGUGUCGGAACGGUGAUUCGAGAUCACUAAAUUCGACAAAUGGGUAGAAAAUAUUAUUAAUUUAGUAAGUAUAAGUUAAAUAUGAAGUUAGGAAAAUUUUUGAAAUAGUAAAUAGUGCACUAGAAAUAAAUAUUAAAAUAAUUAGAAUCGAAAUGAGGUAUCAAGACCUCGGGGAUUUUAAACUGAGCCAUAAAUAUUUUUAUAAAUAUUUAUGGAGUGUUAAAAAGUUAGUAUUAAAGUUUCGUUAAGAAAUUUUAAAGUUCCGAUAAUUAAUUGAACAAAAAGGACUAAAUUGUAACAAAUGCAAAAUUUUGGGAAAUGAUUAAAUAGCUUAAAUGAUAAAAGGAAGAGGGCUUAAAAAGCAAAUAGACCCAAGGUCUAUUUGGGCUGGACGGCAGAGGCAUGAAAUCAGCAAGAAAGUAAGGAGAAUUAAGGGCAAAAUUGGAAAAUUGCAAAAUUUGCUUAAUAAAGUUAGGACCCAAGUGGAAUUAUCUAGAUUUCUCUUCAUUUUUCUGAAUUCUCAUCAGCUAAAACACCAUGGAAGGGCUUCUUCAAGCUGGUUCUUCAUAUUUUUAUUACAAGUAAGUUCAAUUCUUGACUAUUUCUUGAAAUUUUUGUAUUUUUAUGACUUUUACAACUAGGCCCACUUGUUAAAUCCAUUAGUUUUUGAUUUUAUGAAAGAAGUUGAAAGUUGAUAUGAAUAUGUGCUGGAAGUAUAUGAUGAUUUAGCAUGAAAUUAGAGCUUUAAAUUGUUCAUAUGCUGAUUUUAUUGAAAGAAUUGAAUAGAAAGUGAAUGUUUGGGACCUAAUAGUAAAAGAGUUUGAAGAUAGAGUUAUAUGUGGAAAUUCUGAAUUUCAAUAGUUGUGUAACAACUUAUAAUGUCUAGUAAAGUACUAAUUGAGAAAAUUAGAUUAAUUGAGGGGUUAAUUGAGAAAGGACCGAAUUGUAUAAACUGUGAAAUUUGGGGCAAAAUGGAAAUCAACAUUUUGCACUAAAGCAGUUUUGGACAGCAGCAGUAGUGUAACUUUGAAAAAUCACCAAAAAUUGUAGAGAUUGAAUUAGAGGAUGAAUAAAAUAUGAAAUUAAAGCUUAUUGAGUCUAGUUUCUUAUAAAAGAAAUGAUGUGAGCAAUGGAAUUGUAAAUCAUGAGAUAUAAUAGAUUUUGUGAGACAAGGUCAGAAUGAAUUCGGGUUCCCCUGUUCUGACUUUGGAAAAUCAUUAAAAAUUGUACAGAAAUGAUUAUGAGUUAUAGUUUAUAUGGUUAGAAUCCUUAAUGAGUCUAUUUUUAGAAUAAACAAGCUAAAACAUCAUCCAAAUUCUGUACAAUGAGAUAAUUAAUUUUUAGUGAAGAGUGGUCGGAACUGUCAGACAGCGAAACAGGGGAAACUUUAAAGAAUAAACUGUACUAUUUGGCUGAACCAAAAAUUAUGAAAAUUUUAUGGUAUGAAGAUAUGUGAGUCUAGUUUCAGGGAAAAUUAACGGAUCUUAAUUUGGAGCUCUGUAGCUCCGGAUAAAAAUAAUUUAGUGACUCUGACUCGGAUAAACAGCUUUGAAUAUACAUGUUAGUGAAUAUUGAAAUUAUGGUUAAUGUUGUUUAAGUGUGUUAUACACAUUAAGGAUGUGGAAUGGAGAGGAGGAGGAGGAAAAUUGGGAAAUAUAUGAAUGAUUCGUGUAUAAAUGAUCAUAUGUUUGAUUAUAACUCAUAAACGAUGAAAUAUGAAUGAUGCUUAUUUUUGUGCAUUAUUGGUCAUGGUUUAAGCUCAUGUGUGAAAAUAAAGUUUCAUAGUAUGUGUGUAUGGUAUAUUCAGUAUAUGAUUUGGCAUGAAAUAAUACCAUGAAUGGUUUAUGAAUUAACACAUGUUGGUAAGCCUGAUAUAUGAAUAAAUGAUCAAAUUGAGCGGAACGCCGGAUUUGAGUACUUCUGAUCAAGUGAUAAAGUGAUAAGUGGUAGCUUUAGCUACACUUAUCUGAUCAAGUGACAAGUGGAGAGUGAUAAGUAAUAGCUUCGGCUAUACUUAUCUGAUCAAGUGAUAAAGUGAUAAGUGAUAGCUUCGGCUAUACUUAUCUGAUCAAGUGACAAAGUGAUAAGUGAUAGCUUCAGCUACACUUAUCUGAUCAAGUGACAAGUGGAAAGUGAUAAGUGAUAGCUUCGGCUACACUUAUCUGAUCAAGUGACAAGUGAAAAGUGAUAAGUGAUAGCUUCGGCUAUACUUAUCUGAUCAAGAGACAAAGUGAUAAGUGAUAGUUUUAGCUACACUUAUCUGAUCAAGAGACAAAGUGAUAAGUGGCUACACUUAUCUGAUCAAGAAACAAAGUGAUAAGUGGCUACACUUAUCUGAUCAAGAAACAAAGUGAUAGGUGGCUACACUUAUCUGAUCAGGGACAAGUGAUAAGUGAUCAUACGUAAGACCAUAGUUAUACUAUGGCAAAGUGAAAGUGAAGUACUCAAUUUUCCGUGACCGUUCCCUAAUUUGAUUAAGGAUGGUAAGUGACAAAUGGGCCCAAAAGAAUUAAAGUAAAUGGAUAAGUGGUAGUGUAUUUAUAUCAGGACGAUGUUGUUAUUCAAACUAAAGUGAUAUUUUCAUUGCUAAAUUGAGAAUUUCAUAAAUGUGUUAUUGAAUGGUAUAAUCAAUAAACAUUGAGUUAAAUGGUAAAUACGUAUUAGUUUUGAAUUUGAUGUCAUUGAAUUGUACGUGAAUUAAAUGGAAAUUUCUAAUGAUAUGAUUUAAAUUAUGAGCAUGAGAAAUUGCGAAUUGAAUGAAAUGGAAAUGAAGCAUUAAAUUGCAUGAGUAUGUAUCGGGUCUCGCAGGCCCUAAUUAUUAUGAUUAUAAUAUUUUGAGGAUAUAUUGUGAAAAGUUAUAGAAACAUGUUAAUUAUUUUUGAAAGUUUUAAUUUUGAUGAAAUUUUAUAACUCGGUUAAAUACGUUUACAAGUGUAUGUGUUUUGGUAAUGCCUCGUACCCUAUUCCGGCGUUGGAUACGGGUAAGGGGUGUUACACUAACAACUAGAGUAUUAUCUUCAUAAAAUGAGCUAACAUAAAGAAGUAGCAAGUAGCAAACAUUAUUAAUAAAUACUUAACCGUAAUAAGCAUGCAAAAGGAGAACUCCGCUUCGAUGCUAGCAUCAAUACAUCCCCCCAAUAAACACAAUAGAACGGGAGCGGGCUUUUAUUUCUUUUCUUAAAAUGUGAAUGCAUGGUAAAGAUGGUUUUUUUUUUUUUGCAUUAUAGGUAUGAAGUGGUUAUAAUUAUUAUUUUCUUUGCUCCACCCUACUCAUUAUAUAAAGUUAUUAUUUUACCCUAUAUAUUUGUUGAUACAACAUACAACAAGGGAGGAAGAUAAGGAGGAGGUCAAGAUGGUGCAAUGGAGGCCAAUUCACCUAAAGAGAUUGAGAGUCGAAACAAGAACAAAAUGACAGACUAACCAAGAAGACAAUUGCUCGGUAACUCUAGAGUGCUAAAAAAAGGAUCUUUUUGCAUCAUUCCUUAGAAUAUUUUCUCUUGUCCACUGAUAUGACAUGGCCAGGUAGACAUUCAAUCCCGCAAAAUGUGUAAAGGAUAUUUAUAGGCAUACAUCAUGGGACCUUAUCAGUAUGAGAUUAUUGUGUCUAAAUGGACUCUUUAUCAUAUAAAGAGUGCAUUCAUACUAAGAGAAUGUUAAUACUUAAAACGGGUGGAUGGUUCCAUCUAAGAGGAACGAGUGGUCUAUUGAAGCGUUACUUCAAAUGAAGUCAACAACAGGCCUAUGAUGCAUCUGAUAUUGACACGUGCCCGAGUGACGGAGGGGUAUAGCAACAUUAUAAGAGUAAAAAUAUAAAUAUUGUUUGAGCCUUGAAUUACAUAGUUAAGACUUAGUGAUUUUGGCAAUGUUUUCAUAACCGAACCCGUGAUCAAACCGAUCAAACCGCCAAUUUUUAAUUUAAUUGAUUCAGUCGAUUAAAUCAAUUGGUUCAAUAAAAAAUAAAUUAUAAAUAUAAAAUCCAAUUAUUUAUAAAUUUCGAAAUCUCAUUAUUAAAGUUUUGUGUAAUUCCACUUUAAGAUUAUAUAUAGCCCAUUGAUUAAAAAUUUAUAAAUCCACCUUUAAAGAAUUUAAAAGUUCUUUGCGAAUAUGCAACUCAUCUCUUUUACUCUUUAGACUUAUAAAUUUCUCUUCCACUUUCUUUUUGUCAUUCCCUCUUCUCAUUUAUUCUAACUAUUCCUUAAAAAUCGGUUUUUUUUCUAUUCAUUUCUUCUUCUCAAAUACCCAAAUCUCUUUCGUAUCAUUCCAAAUCUCAUGUUUUUCUUUUUCUUUCUUUACAUAAAUAAAAUAUUAUUCUAAUCGAUUUUUUUGUCUAAACCCUAUUUAAUUGAGUUUUAAUUAAUUCAUAACAGUUCGUUUGUUAUCCAUUUUAAUAAAGAGUGUUGCUAUCAAUUUUCAAUCCAAUUAAUUCAAUUAAUCAAUACAAUUCAAUUUCGACAAUAUUAAUUUCUAUUUUUCUAGUUGCUAAUAUAAGAAAAUUAAGAUAAAUUAAUUACUAGGGAAUUUUUAAUUUUUAAGGUAAAUUCAAUUCCUAUUUACUUGGGAGGUUGUUCCAAGUAAUCAAAAUUAUGUUUAAAAUAUUAAAAAUAAUUAAGAAAAAUCAAAAUGAAACAACGUAUGGUAAAAUGAGAAUGGAUAUAUUUAAUAUCUAUAAUGGAAAUAAUAAAUUAUAAAAUUAUAUAUUUAUGAUGGAACGAAAUAGAUAAAAAAAUAAUUAAGAUUUAACAAUAUUUGCUAGGUGUUGUUACAUUUUCUUCCCAAUGGAGAGCAAUGUUAUGUUGCCUUUACUUUUUGGACCAAUAUUUAUGAUCUUUUUCAUCAUUCCUUAUAAUAUUUCCUCUUGUACACUGGUAUGACAUGGCCAGAUAAACAUUCAAUCCCACUAAAUGUGUAAAGGGUAUUUAUAGGCGUAUAUCAUGAGACCUUAUCAGUAUAAAAUUAUUGUGCCUAAAUGAACUCUUUAUCAUAUAAAAAGUGUGUUCAUACUAGGAGAAUGUUAAUACUUAAAACGGGUGGAUGGCUCCCUCUAAGAGGAACGGGUGAUCUGUUGAAACGUUACUUCAAAUGAAGUCAACAGGAGGUCUACGAUGCAGCUGGUAUUAACAUGUGUUUGAGAAACGAAGAGGUAUAGCAACACUAAAAGAGUAAAAAUAUAAAAAUAUGUUUAAACCUUGAAUUAUUUAGUUUAGACUUAGUUAUUUCUGACAAUGUUUUUAUAAUUGAACCCGUGAUCAAACCGAUCAGACCACCAAUUUUUAAUUCAGUUGGUCCAAUUAAUUGGAUCAAUCGGUUCAAUAAAAAAUAAAUUAUAAAUAUAAAAUCUAAUUUCCUUUUUUAUAAAUUUUGAAAUCUCAAAGUUUUGUAAGUCCACUUUAAGACUAUAUAUAGCCCAUUGAUUGAAAAUCUGUAAAUCCACUUUUAAAGAAUUUAAAAGUUCCUUGCGAAUAUGCAACUCAUCUCUUUUACCCUUUAGACUUGUAAACUUCUCUUCCACUUCCUUUUUGCCAUUCCCUCUUCUCAUUUAUUCUAACUAUUUCUUAAAUGAUCGGUUUUUUUCUAUUCAUUUCUUCUUCUCAAAUACUCAAAUCUCUUUGGUAUCAUUUCAAAUCUCGGAUUGUUCUUCUUUUACCACCAAAUCUUAGAGGCAAAUCUGAUUGUAACAUGGUUCACACGAUAGGACUCAAAAAUAAAAUAAAAAUUGAUAAAAAAUUAAUUAAAAACAUAAAAAUAUAAUACUAGAUAAAAUAUUAGUUUAAUCGAUUUUUUUCAGGUUUCUAAAUCCCGUUUAAUUGGGUUUUAAUUGGUUCAUAACACUUGGUUCAUAACAGUUCGCUUGUUAUCUAUUUUAAUAAGAAGUGUUGGAUCGUCAAAUCUAUUAAUUUUCAAUCCAAACAAUUUAACUAAAUCAAUACAAUUCGAUUUUGACAACAUUAAUUUCUCAUUGCUAGUUACUAAUAUACGAAAAUUAAGAUAAAUUAAUUGCUAGAGAAUUUUUCCUUUUUACUUGGGAGGGUUGUCCCAAGUUUCAACAAUAUUUGCUAGGUUUUGUUACAUUUUCAUCCCAAUGGAGAGCAAUGUUAUGUUGGCUUUACUUUUCGGACCAACAAUUGAGAAGUCGAUUUUGUUUGGGAUUUUGUUUUUUUUUUUUUUUUUCAGAAAUGAUGCAUGAAAGGGUCGGCGAAAAUGGGUAAAUUGGCUAAAUCAUGUGACAGUGUCAGUCAGUGGUCCUUAUUAUUGCAACUAUGAUAAAAUCAUGUUGUAAUAAAUAAUUGUAGUCACGUGACAUGCAAUAAGAUGGAAUCUUUCUGAUUUCUUUUUGCAAGUUUUAAAGUACGAGUUUGACAAUGUUGUCAAUAAUUGCAGGCUGAUUUGAUGCAAAUGCAAUUUUUUUUAUAAUAAUCAAAACAAUAAAUAAAUUGUGUCUAGUGCUCUCAUCUUUUAGAAUAUCUUAAUCUCCAUGACAGCUAUCAAACAUAUAUAAAAUUUCAUUAUUCACGAGGGUUAUUUUUGUUAAUCUGUCUGCACUUUUAUUAUUCAUUAUAGAACAUAUCUCAAUGAUCAUAUCUUUUUUUUAGCAAGGAUAUGUUGAAUCAUCCUAAUUAAAGUAGGGUUAGUUUUUUAAGACUUGUUAUCGCUAAUAAUUAUUACGAUCUCGAAAUUAUUAGAAUAAAUGAUAAUCUCAUCAUAUUUUUAAUUUUUUAGUAUGUGUAAACUAUUUAAUAUGUCCCAAAGUUUAGCAGCCACAACCGAACAUUUCUCCAAAAAACGAUUAUAGCCCAAAAUCUAAUUUCUCUUCCCAUCACAUAUUACUCCACCUACAGCUGAAAAAUCAGAAAUAGAAUUAACAGCACCUUCAAUAUUAAGAAGAAAACCCAUAGCUGCAGAUCCAUCACCAAGACUUCAUUAUUUGUUGGCCUUGCUUUGGUGACCAACAAUUGAACAGUAGGUUUGUGGCCGAAGUCUGGAAAUUAAUUAGGAUUAGAUAUGAAGGAUGUGUGUGAUAGGAGAGUUGUGGAGCAAAUGGUGAAUGAUUUUUUUUGAUCAAAAAAUGGUGAAUGAUUUAAUGGUGGAAAAAAGGGAGGAGAUUUUGAAAUCAGCUGAUGAAUUUGCUAAAUUGGCUAAAGGAUCUGUGAAUGUCGGUAGGUCUUCGUAUUAUAAUUUGGACUGUCUAAUUGAGGACAUAAGAAUGAUGAAUAAAAAUUGUUAAAAAAGUGAAAUUUUGAGAUAGGGACAACAAAAUGAGGGGCCUUUCCCAUCCCCACUUUUUUUAUUAAAUUAUUUCCUAGGUUCCUGCUAAUUUCGAAUUAAACAAUUUGACCCUAAUUCUUUAAUUACCUCUUACAUCUUUGUCAACUUUUAAAUUAAUAAUCAUAUUUGUUUGCUUUUAUACUAAUAUAUGAUUUUCAAUUGAUAAGAUAAAAAUAUUAAAAAUUAAUUUAAAUUACUAAUAUCUCGUAUUAAUUGAUACGAGUUAUGAUAAUUAUCAAUAUAAAUCGAUAUUAAUUAAAACAUAUUAAAUUAUUUUAUUAAAAUUGAACUUAAAUUAUUUGGUAUCAAAAUGGUGGGGACUAUUAUCCUCUAAUGUUUUAUCUUGAUUCUGCCCUGCCCGAAGUAGCUAGUGAAGGGGAAUAAAGAUGUUUCGUAUAGGAAAAUUGCUUUAACGAAAAUGGUGAAUGAAAUUGAUGGUUGAAAACAAAGAAGAGAUUGAGAAAUCUGUCAGCGGCCUUGCUGCAAUUUCGAUUGUUUUAUUAAAGACAUAAAAGAACAUGUUGUAAUUAAUUAACUUGCAGUCACAUGGCAUGCAAUAAAGAUGGAUUUUUUUUUUAAAAUUAGAUCUAAGGUUAUUAAAUAUUAAUAAGUUUAUAUUUUAAUUAAUUAUUUAGAUAUAAAAUAAUUAUUAAUUCAAAAGAUUUUAUUUAAGUCAUUAAAUUUAAGUUUGGUUUACAAGCUUCAAACAACAAUUCGACGAAUAGUAUGGUAAAUCAGUACCCAUCAAGAAAUAGAAGAAUAUAACUUAGAUCCAAGUCGAUCUGACAGUCAGUGUUGGAGAUCGAAGAAGAAAAUUAGUUGGAUUUUAGUUCAUAAAUAUGAAAAGAAAUUGAACCGUACAAGAAAAGGAGAAAAACAGUUUUCGAUUUGUGCAAGCGAUGCAAAUGGAGAAAACUAUACAAUAACGAUUUUAACUGUUAACUAACUUAAAUAAAAACUUCGAAUAAUUUUAUUACUAUUUUACAACUUUAUGAAUUCGAGUGACCAAUAUGUAAUUUAACUAGUAGUUUUUAAUUAUGGUUUUGAAGCCUAUAUUAUUUUCAUUCAAGCUUUUGUUUAUUGUUUUGAAGGUUUUAUUUGGUGUAAUAUUUUAAUUAUGCUCAACAAUUUCAAUAAUAUUAAUUUACAUUAAUUGCAUGAAAUAAAAAUUACUUUUAAUGAAAAAUAAAUAAAUAAAAUCAUUAAUUAAUUUACUUUAAAUGGGUGAAUUGAAAAAAAUAUAUUAGAAAAUAAAAAUAAUAUUAUAACCAUAUUUUUUCUUAAAACUUAAAAAAAUUAAAACAAAAUUAAUUUUCUUAUAUUUAAAUUUUAUCCCCAAUAAAUUAUAAUACAACUUUUAAAUAAACUCUUUAGAUUUUUUUUAUUUUACCAAUUUGUCAUAUUCAGAAAAUAAAUAUCACGACAAGUACUUUAAAAAAAAGAUAGAAUGUAUUAAUCUCAAAAAGAAAUGAAAAGUCAUUAAGAAUAUAAGCAAGUGUGCCACACAUCCUGUAACACCCCUAAUCCGUAGUCGACGCCGGAACAAGGUUACAGAGCAUUAUCGGACUUAUAAAUCAAACAAUCACACAUGACAUAUAUAUUUAUCAUUCGUAUCAAAAACCAUUCAAAUACAUUUAUACAGUCCCUAAUACGAGCCCUCAAGGCCCUAAAUAGACAUUAGAAGUGAUUUGGGACUAAACUGAGUUUGGCAUUUACAACCAUACAAAGCUUCAUACGGUGCCAUCUUAAUGCUUGAUUGAAAGCUAUUAUUGUACGCAAAUUCAACCAACGAUAAAUAGUUUUCCCAAUUACCUUGGAACUCUAGAACACAGCAACACAGCAUAUCCUCAAGAAUUUGAAUUACUCUCUCAGACUGACCAUCGAUUUUGGGAUGAAAUGCAGUGCUAAAAUGCAACCGCGUACCCAAAGCCUCUUGCAAUUUCUUCUAAAACCAUAAUAUAAAUUUGAGAGCAACCAUUCCGAAAUAUUACCUUCAAAGAACUGUUUAUUUUGAUUGGGGGAAAUGAUUUGAGUUCAAAUAUCCUUCGUACAUGGACAGUCCCUAAGAACAUGUAAAACAUCCUUUGUAUGAUGACCACAAAGGUGACACGACUCAGCAUGACAAAUUCCCUUUCAGACUUUUUCAGAGAAAGUUAAAAGUCUUUACUUUAGGAUUAUCCAGAUGAAUUGUCUAACUCUUUGAAGGCCCAAAAUAUUUUUACCAUUCGUAUCAAAAACCAUUCAAAUACAUUUAUACAGUCCCUAAUUGCCCUCAAGGCCCCAAAUAGACAUUAAAAGUGGUUCGAAACUAAACCGAGUUCUCUACGAAUUUUUAAGAAAACAUGAAAAAAAAUUUAAAGUGUAGGGGUCACAUGGCAGUGGGGAUAGGGGACAUGCCCGUGUGGCUAUAGGACACUCCCGUGCUUCAGGCCGUGUCUGAUCCCAUGUAACUCUCUAACUUAGGUUAUGCGGCCAAACCACACGUCCGUGUGGUAGGCUAUGUACCUUCGAAAUGGCCUCACACGCCCGUGUGCCAGGCCGUAUGUUAAGUCGUGUGAAAACUAGAGGGUAUACUGACUUAUGACACACAGCCAAACCACGCGCCCAUAUGCUAAGCCGUGUGAGGCUACUGACUUGAUUUCAAAAGAAACAUUAGGGGACACACGGCCGUGUCACCUGGCCGUGUGUCACACACGGCUGAGACACACACUCGUGUCUCCGCCCGUGUGGACAAAAAUAGGCUAUUUUCCAAGCCAUAUUCCUCACCCACAUUAGUACCAACCUAUACACAUCAAUUGACACACAACCAUGGCAUAAAUAGGUACUCAAGGCCAACCAAUAUCAAGUUUAUAAUAUGAACAUUUACACCACAACAUGAUAUAACAAACAAAUUCAUUCAUCCACCUUAAAACAUACCCAAAAGAUCAUUUAUACAUAUUUACAAACAAAGUUUACCAAAAUAAGCCAAAUCACAUAGCUAUACGUAUAACCAAAACAACAUAAGAGAUAUAGGCCACAUUAACCAAGACACUUAUACAUGUCAUUCAACCCAAAAUGUAAAGUCUAAGUACCAAAAUAAAGUUUGAUAGUGCAACGUGAUCUCCGACGAUUUCUGAAUCGAGCGAGCUUCCAAAAUACUAUAAAACAUGAUCAAAUAAACAGAGUAAGCAAUUAAGCUUAGUAAGUUCGUAAUUCAAAGAAUAAAACUUACCAUAUAACUAAAAUUUUAGGUAAAUAACUCCAAACGUAAUUUGAUUCAGUUUGGCCUAAGCCUAUCAUACAACCCAUAAUCAAGUUAAUCAUGUAUUCACAUAAAUCUGAAAAUCAUAUAUGAAUUCAUCAAUUUAUCAAAUUCCCUGUACAUGUAACAUCUAGUCAUAUGUCAAAUAUCAACCAUUUCCAUGUAAAUACUUGUACUUGUCAUAUCGGACUUGUAUAAUCCCAUAAUAAUACUAUGCCCAUUGAACCAUCUAAAAUAUCGUAGGAUACGCGGGUGGUGCACACGAAGUGUACUGAAUGGUAAACCGUCAAUUCUAAUACAUGUGUGCUCAUACGAGCGAUAAACAAUAAGCUCAUCCGAGCUUAAUAUCAGUAAAUUCUUCUAAGCUGAAUAACAGUAAGGUCAUCGAGGAUAGGUACAUGGACGUAGUUAAAGGGGCUGACAGCGCCUUAAUCCCCCUAAAUGAAAUUUUUUUCAUGUAGGUCUUUUAAAAUUUUUAAAAUUUUAAAUUAUAAGAGAUAAAAUUACACUUUAACCCCCUAAAAUGAUAAAAUUUUGAUUUAAUCUUUUAAAAAUUAUAAAAAUAUAAACUAUUAAAAAUAAUGAAACUAUAUUUUUAUCAUUAUAAGAAUUACAAAUUAAUUUUAGACAUGAAAAAGUUUUCUACUCUUGGAUAGAUAAGAGCCUAAUUGGUUUCCUAAAAAUAUGAUAAAUAUAUCAUUUAUUUCUUAACUUAUAAAUUAAUACAUUCUCCACCUUAACCAAAGACAUCUUUUGGCCAUUAAAUAGCUUCCAAAUUGUCGAUUCUUAAGCACAUAAAACUCAAAAAGCCCCUCAAAACAGAUCAUCCAAUUAGAUGGAGGAGCAGGAUCGAUCCUCUCAAUCCCGUCCUCCACAUGUCCUCAUCUUCCCUCUCCCAUUACAAGGCCAUAUAAACACCAUGAUUAAUCUAGCUGAACUGCUAGCUAUCGCCGGCUUCAAGCUCACUUUCCUCAACUCCCACCACAACCAUAAACGCUUGGUCAAGUUCAACAAUAUUGCUGCCCAUUUUGAAAGAUACCCAGGGUUCGAAUUCAAGACCAUAACCGAUGGUCUCCCUCUUGAUCAUCCUAGGUCAGGGAACUGGUUCCUUGAUAUGUUUGAAGAUACCAUGGAACCUAAGAUGAAGCAAAGUUUGAGAGAGGUACUUGUGAAUAGUAGCCCACCAGUAGAUUGCAUAAUUGCGGAUUGGUUUUUAGGCUUUGCUCUUGAUGUUGCAAAGGAGGUUGGAAUCCCCAUUAUUUUUUUUUGUACCAGCAGUCCUUGUUGUUUCUGGGUUUAUUACUCUAUCCCUGAUAUAAUCCAAGCUGGGGAGCUUCCUAUCAAUGGUAAAUCCACUUCUUUCUCAUCAACUUUGUUUAUUGUAGCAUGUUUAAGUCGAAAUCAUUUGACAAGCAUGUUGAAGAAAUUAACGAGAAAGACAUUUGGAAUAUUCCUGUUAAUUAGGGGAGUUGAUUUGGUUUAAGUUGGAUUAAUUUGGAAUUUAAAAUUUUUAAAUCAUUUCAUGUUUGAAUGAUUUUUGAGAUUCAAUGGGUUCUUGUCACUUAGAUUUACUAAUUUAACUUUUAAAUUCGAAUUAUUUUGGUUAUUUUGUUUCCGGGUCACUUUAGGUUAGCUAGCUGGGUAUUUUUGUGUCGAUUUUCAAGUUGAAUCAUUUUAGGAUUGUUUUCAUUCUGGUUUAUUACUUAAGUUUGGACCACUUUGGGUGACUUGUACCCGUUGUUUUUAAGUUCAGUAGUUCGAAGUUGUGAUCAUAUUUGAGCUUACAUCAUUUCGAAUUUAAGUUGUUACAUUUCUAUGAUUAAAUAAAUUUGAAUUUGAUAUGAGUUUCAAUUAAUUGGGUUUGUGAUAAUUGACACUAGUAAAUGGGUUUUUGUUAAACAAUUGAAGGAAGUGAAGACAUGGACCGGCUAAUAACGACAGUGCCAGGCAUGGAAACUUAUCUUCGAUGUCGAGAUCUUCCUACCUUUUGUCGAAAACUUGACAUUGAAGAUUCAAUUAUGAAGCUAAUCGUAAAACAGACAAGAAAGAGCCUUCAAGCCGAUGCCUUGAUACUCAACACCGCCGAAGAGCUCGAUGGGCCUAUACUGUCUCAAAUACGCACCAAAUGCUCUCGUGUCUAUGCCGUUGGACCCUUACAUGCUCAAUUAAACACUAGACUCAAUGCAAAACAUGGAGAGUCAUAUGAUCACAUAUCGAAUACACUUUGGGAAGUGGAUAAAAGCUGCAUCUUUUGGCUCAAUAAGCAACCGAAUCGAUCUGUUAUCUAUGUAAGUUUUGGUAGCAUUGCGAGCAUGUCAAGGGAGCAACUUGUUGAGCUUUGGUAUGGACUUCUUAACAGUAAAACGAAGUUCUUGCUUGUUGUAAGGCCAAAUUCCGUGAUUGGAAAAGAUGGUGAAGGGGAGGAUGUUGUAAUGGAGCUUAUGGAGAAGAGUAAGGAUCGAGGUUACAUUGUAAAUUGGGCACCACAAGAGGCAGUCUUGAACCACCCGGCCAUUGGCGGGUUCUUUACGCAUAAUGGAUGGAACUCGACUUUAGAGAGCGUUGUCGCAGGGGUGCCUAUGAUUUGCUGGCCUCAGUUUGCUGACCAACACGUGAAUAGUAGGGUUGUGAGUGUGGUGUGGAAAAUAGGGUUGGAUAUGAAGGAUGUAUGUGAUAGAAAGAUAGUGGAGAAAAUGGUAAAUGAUGUGAUGGUGGAUCGAAAGGAGGAGUUUGCAAAAUCCGCAUCUGAAAUGGCUAAGGUAACCAAUCAAAGUGUUAAUGUUGGUGGGUCUUCUUAUAGUAAUUUGGACUGUUUAGUUGAAGAUAUUAGAAUAAUGAGCUGGAAAAAACUCACAAAAUGAGCUUUGAACCACCCAGCCGUUGGCGGGUUCUCUUCAUUUUAAAUUUUUUUAUUGCAAUAUCUCUUUAAACAAAGUAAUUGAAUAGCAGUAAAACUUUUCAAAAUAUCCUUACAUGAUUGAAUAUCUUGAUCAAUUACAAUCACCAAUUUUUUUUAUUAUUAACCUUAAAAAGAUGUACAACAAUAGUUACUUAAAUCCUAUCAAAAUAUGCCAAUAAAAUAGGUAAAUUACAAACAACUCAAUUGCAAAUUGAGUUGUGACUAACUGAGUAAUUGACAAAUGAUGUAAGCCCCAAGACCCAAGAACCAGUUUCAGACUAAUGGAUGUGAUGAGAUCACAUUAUCUCAAAGCUCAACAAUAGUGUCAACAGCCAAACAAAUCAAAUCAAGAUUCAAUUAAAGACAAUAUUCGAGUAAGAAUUUUUUUCGAGGAAAGGGGGAUGAUAUAUGUACAGAUGGGAUGAAAUUUAUUAAAUUUCAUUCACCAAAGCUGUCAACUUUCAAGUUUAGGAAAUCAACAUACUUGCAACGCCUUUUUUGAUGCGAUCCAGGCAUAUCUAGGUUGAGAUUCUUCAUGGCGUUCGAAAUUUAUCUAUUUUGGAUUUGAUUGCAUUUCAGAUUAUGUCAAAAUCUAAGUUUCUUUCCUAACGUCUAGAACCUUAAGUCUAAUUCGCGACUUAAACAAACUUUACGAUACACUUCCAUAUUCAUCCGCCUCAACCUUUAUCAAUGACACUAACAUUCUCACCCUUUGACACUAACAACUAGAGUAUUAUCUUCAUAAAAUGAGCUAACAUAAAGAAGUAACAAGUAUCAAACAUUAUGAAUAAAUACUUAACAGUAAUAAGCAUGCAAAAGGAGAAGUCCCCUUCGAUGGUAGCAUCAAUACAUCCCCCCAAUAAACACAAUAGAACGGGAGCGGGCUUUUAUUUCUUUUCUUAAAAUGUGAAUGCAUGGUUUUUUUUUUUUUGCAUUAUAGGUAUGAAGUGGUUUUAAUAAUUAUUUUUUUUGCUCCACCCUACUCAUUAUAUAAAGUUAUUAUUUUACCCUACAUAUUUGUUGAUACAACAUACAACAAGGGAGGAAGAUAAGGAGGAGGUCAAGAUGGUGUAAUGGAGGCCAAUUCACCUAAAGAGGUUGAGAGUCGAAACAAGAACAAAAUGACAGACUAACCAAGAAGACAAUUGCUCAGUAACUCUAGAGUGCUAAUAAAAAGGAUCUUUUUGCAUCAUUCCUUAGAAUAUUUUUCUCUUGCCCACUGAUAUGACAUGGCUAGAUAAACAUUCAAUCCCACAAAAUAUGUAAAGGAUAUUUAUAGGCGUAUAUCAUGGGACCUGGGGCCUUAUCAGUAUGAGAUUAUUGUGCCUAAAUGGACUCCUUAUCAUAUAAAGAGUGCAUUCAUACUAAGAGAAUGUUAAUUCUUAAAACGGGUGAAUGGUUCCAUCUAAGAGGAACGAGUGGUCUAUUGAAGCGUUACUUCAAAUGAAGUCAACAAGAGGUCUAUGAUGCAUCUGAUAUUGACACGUGUCCGAGUGACGGAGGGGUAUAGCAAGAUUAAAAGAGUGAAAAUAUAAAUAUAUGUUUGAGCCUUGAAUUACAUAGUUAAGACUUAGUGGUUUCUGGCAAUGUUUUCAUAAUCGAACCUGUGAUCAAACCGAUCAGACCACCAAUUUGUAAUUUAUUUGAUUCAAUCGAUUAAAUCAAUUGAUUCAAUAAAAAAUAAAUUAUAAAUAUAAAAUUCAAUUAUUUAUAAAUUUUGAAAUCUCAUUAUUAAAGUUUUGUAAUUCCACUUUAAGAUUGUAUAUAGCCUAUUGAUUAAAAAUUUAUAAAUCCACCUUUAAAGAAUUUAAAAGUUCCUUGCGAAUAUGCAACUCAUCUCUUUUACUUUUUAGACUUAUAAAUUUCUCUUCCACUUUCUUUUUGUCAUUCCCUUUUCUCAUUUGUUCUAACUAUUCCGUAAAAAUCGGUUUUUUUCUAUUCAUUGCUUCUUCUCAAAUACCCAAAUCUCUUUCGUAUCAUUCCAAAUCUCAUGUUUUGCUUUUUCUUUCUUUGCAUAAAUAAAAUAUUAUUCUAAUCGAUUUUUUAUUCAAGUUUCUAAACCCUAUUUAAUUGAGUUUUAAUUGGUUCAUAAUGUUAGAUUUGUUGAAAGGUCAACAAAGGUAGGAAGCAACUUGUUAAAAAGGUUGAGCAAGUUGCACCGAAUGUUGAAAAGUUGAAUGGGAUAAUUGCAAUUUUGGUCCCUAAUUUUUUAGGCCAUUUGCAAGUUAGUCCCUGAACUUCAACUAUAAAUAGGCCUUUUCAUUUUUCAUUUCAACGAUCCCAACCAAUCUUUCUCUCUUAGUUUUCUCUCUUCUCCCAUUUGAGAAUUCUUAAGGAAUUCUAUUUGUUUGUAAUAUUUUGGAGAUAGUAAAGUUAUCAUCUGGUGUUAGUGCCCGAGGACGUAGGUAUAAUUUACCGAACCUCGUUAAAACUCUUGUGUUCUUUUUUUUCCUAUUUUUCUUUCAAUAUUUGAGGGUAUAAUAGUAGUAUUUAAUUGUGCUAUUAAAUUACUAUAGAAGGGAUAUUCUGACUAAGGAAAGACUUGGUAUUUAAGAGAUCAUUGUGAUCCACCUCUCUUCCUUGGGAAUUGAACUUUGUGUGAUUUUUUAGUACGAUAAUUUACACGCUUCCGACCCUAUUGGAACAACAAGUGGUAUCAGAGCCGAAGGUUAAUCGUAGUAUGCUCUGUGGUUGCAGUUUAAACUGAUCUUCCACAUCAGAAAAGUUUUCCUUAGGUAUAUUGAAAGAUUAUGGAGAAAACGGUCGGUGUAGGAGCUUCAACAUCGUCCAUGUGGACAAGACCGACAAUUGCAAAUGCAAGAUUGGCCGUGGAGAUCUUUGAUGGCACGGGCCAUUUUGGUAUGUGGCAAAGUGAGGUUCUAGAUGCCCUUUUUCAGCAGGGUCUAGACAUUGCCAUUGAUGAAGAGAAACCAGAUGAUGUACAGGAGAAAGAUUGGAAGGCGAUCAAUCGGUUGGCAUGUGGCACAAUUCGAUCAUGCCUUUCUCGAGAGCAGAGGUAUGCUUUUUCAAAGGAGACUUCUGCAAAUAAGUUGUGGGUGGCACUUGAAGAAAAAUUUUUGAAGAAAAACAGUCAAAAUAAGCUCCACUUGAAGAAAAGACUGUUUCGCUUCACAUACGUCCCAAGUACCACAAUGAAUUAUCACAUCACCAAAUUUAAUCAGUUAGUCACUGAUUUGCUGAAUAUGGAUGAGACAUUCAAAGAUGAAGAUUUGGCUUUGAUGCUGUUGGGGUCACUUCCUGAGGAGUUUGAGUUCCUAGAAACUACUCUACUUCAUGGCAGGAGUGAUAUAUCUCUGAGCGAAGUCUGUGCGGCCUUAUACAGUUAUGAACAGAGAAAGAAGGACAAACAGAAAAACUCAAUCAGAGAUACAGAAGCUUUAGUAGUCCGAGGUCGUUCAUACACUCGGAAGAAAACUCAAAAGGGGAGAUCAAAGUCAAAGUCCAGACUCGGGAAAGAUGAAUGUGCUUUUUGUCAUGAGAAAGGCCACUGGAAGAAAAAUUGUCCAAAGCUGAAGAAUAAGGGAAAAGCUGCUGUAGAUGCUUGUGUUGCUAAGCAUGAUACUAGUGACUCUGAACUAUCACUGGUUGCAUCAUCAUCGUCGUUCCAUUCAGAUGAGUGGAUAUUAGAUUCGGGUUGUACCUAUCAUAUGUCCCCUAACCGGGAGUGGUUCUCUGAUUUAGUAGAACUAAAUGGAGGAGUUGUUUAUAUGGGCAAUGACAAUGCCUGUAAAACUGUUGGGAUAGGUUCAAUCCAAUUAAAGAAUAAAGAUGGAUCAACCAGAGUUCUGACUGAUGUUCGGUACGUGCCCAGUUUGAAGAAAAAUCUCAUCUCAUUGGGAGCCUUGGAAUCCAAUGGUUCAGUUGUUACUAUGAGAGAUGGGGUUUUGAAAGUGACAUCUGGCGCACUUGUGAUAUUGAAGGGCAUCAGGAAAAAUAACUUGUAUUACUACCAAGGUAGUACAGUUAUUGGAGCAGUCGCUGCAGCUUCCGGUAACAAAGACUUGGACUCAAUGCAGUUGUGGCAUAUGAAGUUGGGACAUGCCAGCGAAAAAUCCUUGCAAAUUCUGGCAAAGCAAGGAUUGUUGAAAGGUGCAAAGGCUUGCAAAUUAAAAUUUUGUGAGCAUUGUGUUCUGGGAAAGCAAAAGAGAGUGAAAUUCGGCACUGCUAUCCAUAAUACAAAAGGUAUUUUGGAAUAUAUUCACUCAGAUGUGUGGGGGCCUUCCAAAACACCUUCGUUGGGAGGAAAACACUACUUUGUUACUUUUGUUGAUGACUUUUCCAGAAGAGUUUGGGUGUAUACCAUGAAAACUAAAGAUGAAAUGCUUGGAGUUUUUCUUAAAUGGAAAACUAUGAUCGAAAACCAGACUGGCAAGAAAAUCAAGCGGCUUAGGACGGACAAUGGAGGGGAAUAUAAAAGUGAUCCGUUCUUCGAUGUGUGCCAAGAGUAUGGUAUUGUUCGACACUUCAUAGUUAGGGAUACACCACAACAGAAUGGAGUGGCAGAGCGUAUGAAUCGAACAUUGCUGGAGAAAGUUCGAUGUAUGUUGUCCAAUGCUGGGUUGGGCAAGCAAUUUUGGGCUGAGGCUGUGACAUACGCUGGCCAUCUUGUUAAUCGUUUGCCAUCAUCUGCAUUAGAAAGAAAAACUCCUAUGGAGGUAUGGUCUGGAAAACCGGCUACAGAUUAUGAUUCCUUACAUGUGUUUGGAACCACUGCAUAUUACCAUGUGAAGGAGUCAAAGUUAGAUCCGAGGGCAAAGAAAGCUCUCUUUAUGGGAAUCACUUCUGGAGUGAAGGGAUUUCGUCUUUGGUGCUUAAGCACAAAAAAAUGAUCUAUAGCAGAGAUGUUACCUUUGAUGAAUCUGCCACAUUGAAAAAGGUAGCAGAUAAAGAUAUUCAGACGAGCAAUACUCCACAGCAGGUGGAGUGUACUCCAAAACAGGUGGAGUUUGAGCAGAUGGGGAUUUGCCCAGUUAAUAAGUCUAAUUCUCCAGCCACAAUGGAGGAAUUAGAGGUUGAAGAGGUUCUGACCCAAGAACCACUAAGUACACCAGAACCAGUUGCAGUUGCAAGGCCACGGAGAGAAAUUCGUAAACCUGCUCGAUUUACUGAUAUGGUGGCCUACGCCCUUCCCGUUGUUGAUGAUAUUCCUAUCACUUAUCAAGAAGCAAUGCAAAGCUUAGAAAGUGAUAAAUGGAAAAGCGCCAUGGAUGAAGAAAUGCAGUCUCUCCUGAAGAACAAUACUUGGGAGUUGGCGCAAUUACCGAAAGGUAAAAGGGCAAUCGGAUGCAAGUGGGUAUUCGCAAAGAAAGAUGGAUCUCCUAGCAAGAAGGAUAUUCGCUACAAGGCAAGAUUGGUAGCUAAAGGCUACGCUCAGAAGGAGGGAAUUGACUACAAUGAUGUAUUUUCCCCUGUUGUGAAGCAUUCCUCCAUUAGAAUUUUGUUGGCCUUGGUAGCACAGUUGAAUUUGGAGCUAGCUCAACUUGAUGUUAAAACGGCUUUCUUGCAUGGUGAGUUAGAAGAGGAGAUCUAUAUGACUCAGCCAGAAGGAUACACAGAUGCUGGUGGUAGAAAUUGGGUUUGUAAGCUUAACAAAUCGCUAUAUGGAUUGAAGCAAUCCCCGAGGCACUGGUACAAGCGAUUUGAUAGCUUUAUGAGAAGGGAGAAGUACACAAGAAGCAAAUAUGACAAUUGUGUAUAUUUGCAGAAGCUGCAUGACGGAUCUUUCAUUUAUCUACUCUUGUAUGUUGAUGAUAUGUUAAUCGCUUCGAAUAGCCAAAAUGAGAUAGAUAAACUGAAGGCUCAGUUGAAUCAAGAGUUCGAGAUGAAAGAUCUAGGUGAGGCCAAGAAGAUUCUCGGCAUGGAGAUAAGUAGAGAUAGACAGAGAGGCAAGCUUUGUUUGAAUCAGAAGCAAUAUCUGAAAAAGGUAUUACAAUGUUUUGGUGUAAAUGAAAACACAAAACAUGUAAGUACCCCACUUGCUUCUCAUUUGAAACUUAGUGCUCAAUUAUCUCCGAAAACUGAAGAAGAAAGAGAAUAUAUGGCAAAAGUCCCAUAUGCUAAUGCAGUUGGGAGUUUGAUGUAUGCGAUGGUGUGUACGAGGCCUGACAUUUCACAAGCUGUUGGAGUUGUGAGCAGGUAUAUGCAUGAUCCUGGAAAAGGACAUUGGCAAGCUGUGAAAUGGAUUCUACGGUAUCUUCGAAAAACCGUAGAUGUUGGUUUAAUUUUUGAACAGGAUGAAGCACUUGGUCAGUUUGUAGUUGGAUAUGUUGAUUCCGACUUUGCUGGUGAUUUAGAUAAACGUCGUUCAACUACGGGGUAUCUGUUUACUCUUGCGAAAGCCCCAGUGAGUUGGAAGUCUACCUUACAGUCUACAGUAGCUGUGUCUACUACAGAGGCAGAAUAUAUGGCAGUUACAGAAGCUGUUAAGGAGGCUAUUUGGCUUAAUGGAUUGUUGAAAGACUUAGGAGUUGUUCAAAGUCACAUAAGUUUAUAUUGUGACAGUCAGAGCGCUAUUCAUUUAGCGAAAAAUCAAGUCUAUCAUUCAAGAACCAAGCAUAUCGACGUAAGAUAUCACUUUGUGCGGGAAGUCUUUGAAAAAAGGAAAAAUUCUACUUCAGAAGAUUCCGACAGCAGAUAAUCCCGCAGAUAUGAUGACCAAGGUGGUAACAACAAUCAAGUUUAAUCAUUGUUUGAACUUGAUUAACAUCCUGAGAAUUUGAGCACCUUUAGGUGUAUGGCGCUCGAGAGCGCAUUUGGAGGCACUACAAAAGAUAACUUUAUCGAAUUUGGGGAGUUGAAGGAAGUGUGUGAAGAUGUGAUUAUCCUAAUCAAAUCUUCAAGGUGGAGAUUGUUGAAAGGUCAACAAAGGUAGGAAGCAACUUGUUAAAAAGGUUGAGCAAGUUGCACCGAAUGUUGAAAAGUUGAAUGGGAUAAUUGCAAUUUUGGUCCCUAAUUUUUUAGGCCAUUUGCAAGUUAGUCCCUGAACUUCAACUAUAAAUAGGCCUUUUCAUUUUUCAUUUCAACGAUCCCAACCAAUCUUUCUCUCUUAGUUUUCUCUCUUCUCCCAUUUGAGAAUUCUUAAGGAAUUCUAUUUGUUUGUAAUAUUUUGGAGAUAGUAAAGUUAUCAUCUGGUGUUAGUGCCCGAGGACGUAGGUAUAAUUUACCGAACCUCGUUAAAACUCUUGUGUUCUUUUUUUUCCUAUUUUUCUUUCAAUAUUUGAGGGUAUAAUAGUAGUAUUUAAUUGUGCUAUUAAAUUACUAUAGAAGGGAUAUUCUGACUAAGGAAAGACUUGGUAUUUAAGAGAUCAUUGUGAUCCACCUCUCUUCCUUGGGAAUUGAACUUUGUGUGAUUUUUUAGUACGAUAAUUUACACGCUUCCGACCCUAUUGGAACAACAAGAUUCUAUAUCAAACAUAAAAUCUUGAAUACUGUUAGAUUCUAUAUCAAAGAUAAAAUCUUGAAUACAAAGAAGAAAACAAUACAACUCAAAAACCUAUCUUUCUAGGUGCAUAAUGAUGAACUAUAUAAAUGAAGCCGAUAACUGUAUAUAACUGCUAACAGUUAUUAGCUACUAACAGCAGCAACAAUCUUCUAACAGUUACAACUGAAAGCAACAGACUUUAACAGACUGAAGUUAAUGCGACUUUAACAGACUGAAGUUAAUGCUUAACUCAGUUACACUCUAACAUUCUCCUCAUUUUCUUUUUUUCUUGAAAAUUCGAGAGCCUCAUUGAGCGUGACAACUCGAAGUGCUUUGCGAAAAACCUCAAACUGCUUGGGUGUAAUUGGUUUUGUAAGAACAUCUGCAAUUUGUCCCGAUGAUGGAACAAAAUUUACUUGCAAAUCUCCGGUGAGGAUCUUCUCCCGAAUAAAAUGGUGGUCAAUUUCUACAUGUUUCAUUCGUGCAUGGUGGGUGGGGUUUGCGGCUAUUGCAACUGUUGACGUAUUAUCGCACCAGACUACAGGUAUCGUCUGUGACACACCAAUCUCAUCAACUAAUUGUUUAACCCACAAGAGCUCGGACACACAGUUGGCGAGACUUCUGUAUUCUGCUUCCGAGGAUGAUCUGGACACCACACUUUGUUUCUUAGAACACCAUGCAACAGGGUUUGACCCAAGAUAUACGACAUAGCCAGUGGUGGACCGUCGAUCUUCAACAGAUGAAGCCCAGUCUGCAUCUGAGUACCCAACGACCGCAAUAUUUCCUUUUGUGAAAAACAACCCAUGAUCACUGGUUCCAAUAAGAUAUCGUAACACACGUUUGACUGCCCUCCAAUGAGUCUCACUUGGGCAAUUCAUAUACUGGCUCAACUUGUUAACACAAAAGGACAGUUCUGGUCGAGUGAUGCACAGAUAUUGGAGCAUCCCUACUACACUUCGAUAUAAGGGAGCCUCAAAAAACACAGGACUGCCAUCUGAUAUAGUUAGCUUUGGAGUACCUACCAUAGGUGUAGGAACAGUUGCAGCUCCUAUCAUACCAGUUUUGGUGAGGAUUUCUAACACGUAUUUUUUCUGAUUAAGUAGCAUCCCAUUCGGCACACGCUUGACUUCAAUACCUAAGAAAAAAUUCAACUGUCCCAUGUCCUUUAGAGCAAAACGACUAUGAAGCUGUCGAACUAUACUGUCCACUUCUAUAUCCAAACUACUCGUAAUCACAAUAUCAUCUACAUACACGAUAAGCAGUAUCACACUUCCUGAUGAUGAGCGAAUAAACAAAGAAGUAUCAGCCUUGGAAGUUUUAAAGCCAAGAUGAGUAACUAAAUACUGUUUAAGUGUAUGAAACCAUGCUCUGGGAGCUUAACGCAAGCCAUAAAGAGCCUUGUUUAGCCUGCAUACAAGCUGCUGUCCAUUUUCACCAGACAUCUCAAAGCCAGGUGGCUGCUCCAUAUAGAUCUCUUCUGUCAAGUCACCGUUCAGAAAAGCAUUAUUGACAUCUACCUGCCUUAACGUCCAUCCUCUCAUAACCGCAACAGCAAGAAUGACUCGGAUGGUUGUGGCUCGGACCACUGGGCUAAACGUGUCACAAAAAUCAACUUCAGUAUUCUGAGAGAAACCUUUUGCCACUAACCGAGCUUUAUACCUGUCUACAGUUCCAUCAGCUUUUUUCUUUACCUUGAACAACCAUUUGCAACCCACAGCACGACGAUUAUCAGGAAUAGGGCACAAAGUCCAGGUUUUGUUGUUAUGAAGUGCCUGGAGCUCGUUGUGAACUGCGACCUGCCAAUGUUCACUCUUCAUUGCUUCAUGGAUGUCCACAGGUGUAUCACUUGAUGAACAGACUGUUGUGGCUAGGUAAGCUUUAGGUUUAAAUAUACCUGCUUUACUACGUGUGACCAUGGUAUGAGUAUUGGGUUGAGUAAUGGCUUGAACAGCAACAGGUGAAUUACAUCUAGACGAUGAACCUUGUAAGGAAGCUCCAGGUGUACAAGGGACAGAUGGGAUGGGUGUAGACUCUAGAGAAUGAUAUGAUGGGUUAGGUAGAGUAGGAGCUGUAGAGUUAGAAACAAUAUGAGUGGUAUGAGUUGUGGUUGAUGAGACACGUGAUGAAGAACGUGGGAGUAUGACAAGCAACUUGGAGCUAGGUUUUAAUGAGUCUAUGGUGGUGGGGUCAGGCUUGUGAGGUGUGUUUUUAAAAGGAAAUGUAGUCUCACAAAAAGACACAUGUCGAGACACAUACACUUUGCCAUUAGCAUCUUGACACCUAAACCCUUUAUGGAGAGGAGAAUAACCUAAGAAUGUGCAGGGACUGGAACGAAAUUGUAGUUUAUGACUGUUGUAUGGCCGAAGAUUUGGAAAGCAUAAGCACCCAAAAACUCGAAGGAAGGAAUAGUCUGGCAUAACCUGAAACAGUUUUUCAUAAGGUGACACAUUACCUAGAGGUGAGGAAGGUAGUCUGUUUAUCAAGUAUACAGAACUGGUAAAAGCAUCAUUCCAGUAGGAUAAUGGCAUAGCAGCAUGGGCUAACAUGGACAAACCAACUUCAACAAUCUGUCUAUGUUUUCUUUCAACUAACCCGUUUUGUUUCGAGCUAUAAGGACAUGAUACUCUCUGCUGAAUGCCUUGUUGAGCCAGAGAAUUCCUUAAGGCCUGAAAUUCGCCACCUCCAUCGGUUUGUAAAGCAAGUAACUUGCAACCAAGAGAUCGUUCUGCUUGUUUAUGAAAAAGCGGGAACACAGUCAGCACUUCAGAUUUUUUCUUUAAAAAAUAAACCCAUGUGUACCUAGUACACGCAUCAGUAAACGCUACAUAAUAACGAAAACCAUUAGAAAGAAUCGGGGCAGGACCCCAAACAUCUGCGAUUAUCAACUGUAAUGGUUUAGAAUACACAGAAGUAGCAUUAGAAAAUGGCAGCUUGCAUUCUUUGCCUAAGUGACAAGCAAUACACGAAACAGAAUCAGUAGCUGAGCUAAAGCCAAUAUUACAUCGUCGUAAUGCCUUCUUAAGCGUAGCAGUACAUGGAUGACCAAGCCUAGAAUGCCAUAGGCUGAGGGGAAGGAGUUUAACACCAGCACAACAGUGAAACUUAGUAGAUACAUCAACUGGAUGAGACGAGCCAGCUGAGUCUAGCUUGUACAGCCCACCAUGCACAGACCCUCGGAGAAGAACCUCAUUGGUUUGAAAAUCUCGAACACGGCACUGUGUAGGCAAAAACUCAAACAUCACUCUAUUAUCUUUAGUAAACUUAGACACCGAUAACAAAUUUUUGGUUAUCCCAGGCACACAUAGCAGAGACUUCAGAAACAGUGAACGUGAUCGAGUACGAAGAGAAGACUGACCAGUUGACCUGAUAGAUAGCGCAUGCCCAUUACCCAUAUACACCUUACCUGAGCCAUUGUACGGUGAACUGUCACUCAAAGUAUUAGGGGAAUUGGUGAGAUGAUGCGAUGCGCCUGAGUCUGGAUACCACGCAUUAUCUGCCACCGUGUCAGGUGUAGCAAUAAGAGCCUGUGAUGGCAUGGACGAUGGCCCUGGAGCAGUUGUGCUGAUAUGCUGCAUGGGACUAGUAGAAACAGGAUUAGACCACAACGGAGUAGGCGUGGGAGAGACAUACCAUUGCUGUUGUGGAUAGGCAGGCAUCCAGGGCUGAGGCGAAACACCAUUGCCUACCAUGCACACAUUUGCCUGAGGGGUGGGAGGUGGUCUAUAGUUUGUACUUUUGUAGGUGGCAUCGCAACGGUAAUAACACCGGUCAACAAGAUGACCAGCCUUCCCACAUAGCUGACACUGAAACCGGGAGCCUGAAGAACGCCCUCGUCCACGACCACGAGAUCCUGAUGAGGGUCGAUAUGCUGGUAAUGAGGGAUUAUCGUCAGUAGAACCAUUAGGUUGAUGUGUAACCAUGUUGGCAGAACUUGGAACAUCAUGAGCAACUAACUGCUGACGUGCUUCAGCAUCGAGUAACAUUAUAGUAACACUCUGAACAUCAUAAGGGAUUGGACUGGCAGUGAUGAUUGUGAGCACUGAUUCAUAUUCAGAGGAUAAGCCAUUGAGAAUGGCUGUAACAUGCUCUCUGUCACUGAUCGUUUCUCCACAGCUAGCAAGGCUAUCACAGUAGCUUUUAAUUUUCAUUAAAAAUUCCUUCAUGGACAAAUCAGCCUUACGCUGUGAAUGCAAUGCCCUCCUAUAGAACAUUAACUGAGAUGUAGUUUUGUUGCCAAACAAUCGAACAAGCGCAUUCCAAAUCUGAAGACUCGUAUCAAGGCCAAUAAGAUGAGGAAGAAUCGUAGGACUCACCGAUGAUAACAACCAUGACGCAAGAGCACAAUCUUGCUGUUCAAAACGAGCAAACUCCGGAUUAUCUUGCGAGCCACUAUCAUUAUCAAGAAGGAACUGAGGAGGAGGAACAAACUGAGGAUCAAGAAACCUCUGAAGUUUAUACGUUUUUACCGAUAACAGAACCUGCUGACGCCACAACAAGUAAUUAUGAUCAUCAAGAAGUACACUGAUCUUCUUGGUAGAGAAAAACCGACUGUCAAUCAUUUCAUCUGGUAGAACAGAUGCCAUUGUUGGUGUAAGAGACUGAACUGCAGAAGGGCUGGAAGUGGAAGUCAGAAAGACUAACUCCGGAACGAACCUACUUCUGAUACCAUGUUAGAUUCUAUAUCAAAGAUAAAAUCUUGAAUACUGUUAGAUCCUAUAUCAAAGAUAAAAUCUUGAAUACAAAGAAGAAAACAAUACAACUCAAAAACCUAUCUUUCUAGGUGCAUAAUGAUGAACUAUAUAAAGAGACUUAUGAAGCUGAUAACUGUAUAUAACUGCUAACAGUUAUUAGCUACUAACAGCAGCAACAAUCUUCUAACAGUUACAACUGAAAGCAACAGACUUUAACAGACUGAAGUUAAUGCGACUUUAACAGACUGAAGUUAAUGCUUAACUCAGUUAUACUCUAACACAUAACAGUUCGUUUAUUAUGUAUUUUAAUAAAAGAGUGUUGGAUCGUCAGAUCUACUAAUUUUCAAUCCAAUCAAUUUAAUUAAUCAACACAAUUCAAUUUCAACAAUAUUAAUUUAUAAUUUCUAGUUGCUAAUAUAAGAAAAUUAAGAUAAAUUAAUUGUUAGGAAAUUUUUAAUUUUUAAGGUAAAUUCAAUUCCUAUUUACUUGGGAGGUUAUCCCAAGUAAUCAAAAUUAUGUGUAAAAUAUUAAAAAUAAUUAAGAAAAAUCAAAAUGAAACAACGUAUGGUAAAAUGAGAAUGGAUAUAUUUAAUAUCUAUAAUGGAAAUAAUAAAUUAUAAAAUUAAAUAUUCAUGAUGGAACGAAAUAGAUAAUAAAAUAAUUAAGAUUUAACAAUAUUUGCUAGGUGUUGUUACAUUUUCUUCCCAGUGGAGAGCAAUGUUAUGUUGCCUUUACUUUUUGGACCAACAAUUGAGAAGUCGCUUUUGUUUGGGAUUUUCUUUUUCCAGAAAUGGUGCAUGAAAGGGUCUGUGAAAAUGGGAAAAUUGGCUAAAUCAUGUGACAGUGUCGGUGGCCCUUAUUUUUGCAAUUAUGAUAAAAUCAUGUUGUAAUAAACAAUUGCAGUCACGUGACAUGCAAUAAGGUGUAAUCUUUCUGUUUUUUUUUUUUUUAUUGCAAGUUUUAAAAGUACGAGUUUGACAUACGAUUACAGUAAAGUAUUUAUAAAUAAAUUGUCUUUUGUGCUCAAUCUUUUAGAAUAUCUUGAAUCUCCGUAAGGGCUAUGGAACGUAUGUAAAACUUCGUCAUUUAAGAGUCAUUGUUCCUAAUGCGUCUAUAAUUUUAUUAUUCUUUUUAGGAAUAUAUCUUAAUGACCAUUUCUUUUCGUUGUUAAAUUCUCUUAAUUAAAGUAGAGGUAGUUUUUUCAGGCUUAUUACCUCUAAUAGCUGCUAUGAUUUUAAUAAUAUCAAAAUGAAUGGUAACAUCAUCGUAUCCUUGUUUUCUAAGUAUGUGUAAGCCGUCCAAUAUGUCUCAAAGCUCAGCAGUUACAACUAAACACUUCUUCAAAAAGUGAUUAUUUCUAGAAUCCAAUUUCCCUUCCCAUCACAUAUUAUCCCACCUGCAGCGGAAAAAUUAGAAAUAAAAUUAACGACACCUUCAGUAUUAUGAAGAAAACCCAUACCUGAUUUCGAACUUUCAAAAGACUAUUGCGGAUCCUUCACCAAGACUUUAUUAUUGACUAAAGAAUAUUGCUUUGCUCAACUGUAAGAAACCUUAAUAAUUUCCUCUAGAUUCAUUGAUUUUCCUUGAAAGAUAACAAGUUACGAUUUUUCCAGAUACGCAAAAGUAUUAUCCCAAAGAAGCAAGCUCAGACCGAAUCUCUCGUAUUAUUAUCUGAUUCUAAAAUAUUACUUUCAAAGAUCCAUUUAUUUUGAUUGGAGGAAAUUAUUUUAGUCCAAAUAUCCUUCGAACGUGAACAGCCCCUAAAAACUAGUAAAACAUCCUCUGUAUGGUGACCACAAAAAUGACAUGACUCAUCAUGACCAAUUCCCGUUCGGACCCUUUCAGAUUUGGUUAAAAGUCUUUGAUAUAGGAUUAUCCAGAUGAACAUGCGACGGUGUACCAACGGAGCUCGUGGAAGAGACAAAAGAAAGAGGGUACAUAGUGGAUUGGGCGCCACAGGAAGAUGUCUUGGCCCAUGGGGCAAUCGGUGGGUUUUUGACUCUUAGCGGAUGGAAUUCGACUUUGGAGAACGUGACAGCGGGGGUGCCUUGCUUUGCUGACCAACAAUUGAACAGUGGUUUGUGGAGGAAGUAUGGAAAUUAGGAUUAGAUAUGAAGGAUGUGUGUGAUAGAAGUGGAGCAAAUGGUGAAUGAUUUAAUGGUGGAAAAAGGGGAGGAGAUUUUGAAAUCAGCUGAUGAAUUUGCUAAAUUGGCUAAAGGAUCUGUGAAUGUUGGUAGGUCUUCGUAUUAUAAUUUGGACUGUCUAAUUGAGGACAUAAGAAUGAUGAAUAAAAAUUGUUAAAAAAGUGAAAUUUUGAGAUCGGGACAACAAAAUGAGGGGCCUUUCCCAUCCCCACUUUUUUUAUUAAAUUAUUUCCUAGGUUCCUGCUAAUUUCGAAUUAAACAAUUUGACCCUAAUUUCUUUAAUUACCUCUUACAUCUUUGUCAACUUUUAAAUUAAUAAUCGUAUUUGUUUGCUUUUAUACUAAUAUAUGAUUUUCAAUUGAUAAGAUAAAAAUAUUAAAAAUUAAUUUAAAUUACUAAUAUCUCGUAUUAAUUGAUACGAGUGAUGAUAAUUAUUAAUAUAAAUCGAUAUUGAUUGAAAUUAAUUAAAACAUAUUAAUUUUUUUAUUAAAAUUGAACUUAAAUUAUUUGGUAUCAAAAUGGUGGGGACUAUUAUCCUUAAUGUUUUAUCUUGAUUCUGUCCUUGCCCGAAGUAGCUAGUGAAGGGGAGUAAAGAUGUUUCGUAUAGGAAAAUUGCUUUAACGAAAAUGGUGAAUGAAAUUGAUGGUUGAAAACAAAGAAGAGAUUGAGAAAUCAGUCGGCGGCCCUUGCUGCAAUUUCGAUUGUUUUAUUAAAAACAUAAAAGAACAUGUUGUAAUUAAUUAACUUGCAGUCACAUGGCAUGCAAUAAAGAUGGAUUUUUUUUAUAUAAAUUAGAUACAAGGUUAUUAAAUAUUAAUAAAUUUAUAUUUUGAUUAAUUAACUAGAUAUAAAAUAAUUACUAAAUUAUUUAAAAGAUUUUAUUUAAGUCAUUAGCUUUAAGUUUGGUUUACAAGCUUCAAACAACAAUUCGACGAAUAAUAUGGUAGAUCAGUAUCCAUUAAGAAAUAGAAGAAUAUAACUUAGAACCAAGUCGACCUGACAAUCAGUGUUGGAAAUCGAAGAAAAAAGUUAUUUGGAUUUUGGUUUGUAAAUAUGAAAAGAAAUUGAACCGUAAAAGAGAAGGGGAAGAAAAGUUUUCAAUUUGUACAAGCGAUGCGAACGGAAAAAACUAUACAAUAACGAUUUUAACUGUUAAGUAACUUAAAUAAAAACUUCGAAUAAUAUUAUUACUAUUUUAUAACUUUAUAAAUUCGAGUGACCAAUAUAUAAUUUAACUAGUAGUUUUUAUUUAUGGUUUUGAAGCCUACAUUAUUUUCAUUCAAGCUUUUGUUCAUUGUUUUGAAGGUUUUAUUUGGUGUAAUAUUUUAAUUAUGCUCAACAAUUUCAAUAAUAUUAUUUACAUUAAUUGCAUGAAAUAAAAAAUUACUUUUAAUGAAAAAUAAAUAAAUAAAAUCGUUCAUUAAUUUAGGUGAGUUGAAAAUAUGUAUUAGAAAACAAAAAUAAUAUUAUAACCAUAUUUUCUCUUAAAACUUAAAAAAAAUUAAAACAAAAUUAAUUUACCUAUAUAUAAAUUUUAGCCCCAAUAAAUUAUAAUACAACUUUUAAAUAAAUUCUUUAGAUUUUUUUUUUAACAAUUUGUCAUAUUCAGAAAAUAAAUAUCACAUCAAGCACUUUAAAAAAAAAGAUAGAAUGUAAUAAUCUAAAAAAGAAAGGGAAAGUUAUUAAGAAUAUAAGCAAGUGCGCCACACAUCCAAUCACAUGUCUUUUACGAAAAGAGUAAUGAAACCAUAACAAGUGGUAUCAAAGCAAUCCUUGACUGUCCAAUUUCACAAUAAGCAUCUCAAAAAGUGGGAUGACAUAGUGGAUCAACUGUGACACAGUAGCUUAUAACUAAGACGUCACGAGAUUAAAUGGGAGAAAAUGUCCCACCAAACACUUUAAAUUAAAGUAGGCAAGAUGCAAUAAUUCCACAUUGGAAUGGAUGUGGAAAAUAAGGUCAUCGAGGAUAGGUACAUGGGCGUAGCUAGAGGAGCUGAAAAGGGCCUUAAUUCCCCUAAAUUGAACUUUUUUUCGUGUAGGUCUUUUAAAUUUUUAAAUUAUAAGAGAUAAUAUUACAUUUUAACCCCAUAAAAAUGAUAAAAUUUUAAUUUAAUUUUUAAAAAUUAUAAAAAUAUAAACUAUUAAAAAUAAUAAAAUUAUAUUUUUAUUAUUAUAAAAAUUAUAAUUUAAUUUCAGGCAUGCUUUACCCUUGGAUAGAUAAGAGCCUAACUGGUUUCCUAAGAACGAUAAAUAUAUCAUUUAUUUCUUAACUUAUAAAUUAAUAUAAUGGUGAAAUUAGACAACAUUCUCCGCCCUAUCCAAAGACAUCUUUUGGCCACUAAAUAGCUUCCAAAUUGUCGACUCUUAAGCACAUAAAACUCAAAAAGCCCCUCAAAACAGAUCCUCCAAUUAGAUGGAGCAGGAUCGAUCCUCUCAAUCCCGUCCUCCACAUGUCCUCGUCUUCCCCCUCCCAAUACAAGGCCAUAUAAACUCCAUGAUUAAGCUGGCUGAACUGCUAGCUAUCGCUGGCUUCAAGCUCACUUUCCUCAACUCCCACCACAACCAUGAACGCUUGGUCAAGUUCAACAAUAUUGCUGCCCAUUUUGAAAGAUACUCAGGGUUCCAAUUCAAGACCAUAACCGAUGGUCUCCCUCUUGAUCAUCCUAGGUCAGGGAACUGGUUCCUUGAUAUGUUUGAAGAUACCAUGGAACCUAAGAUGAAGGAAAGUUUGAGAGAGGUACUUGUGAAUAGUAGCCCGCCAGUGGAUUGCAUAAUUGGAGAUGGGUUUUUAGGCUUUGCUCUUGAUGUUGCAAAGGAGCUUGGAAUCCCCAUUAUUUUUUUUCGUACCAGCAGUCCUUGUUGUUUCUGGGUGUAUUAUUCUAUACCUGAUAUAAUCCAAGCUGGGGAGCUUCCUAUCAAUGGUAAAUCCACUUCUUUUUCAUCAACUUUGUUUAUUGUACCAUGUUUAGCACUGUUUUUAAUUUAGAAUAACACAAACCCUUAAGUCGAAAUGAUUUGACAAGCAUGUUGCAGAAAUUAACGAGAAAGACAUUUGGAAUAUUACUGUUAAUUAGGCGAGUUGAUUUGGUUUAAGUUGGAUUAAUUCGGAAUUUAAAAAUUUUAAAUCAUUUGAUGUUCGAUUGAUUUUGAAUUUUAAUUUUUGAAAGAGGUUUGGAUUGUUUCGGAUUCAAAUCACUUUGGGUUCUUGUCAUUUAGAUUUACCAAUUUGACUUUUAAAUUCAAGUUAUUUUGAAUCAUUCUAUUUACAGGUCACUUUAGGAUAAUUAGUUGGGUUUUUGUGUCCAUUUAUUUUAGGUUUGAGUCAUUCUGAUUACAAAUCAUUCCAGAUUGAUGGGUUUUUUAAGUUGAGUCAUUUCAGGAUUUUUUUUCAUUUAGGUUUAAUACUUAAGUUUGGACCACUUUGGUAACUUGUUCCUGUUGUUUUUAAGUUCGAGUCUUUCGAAGUUGCGAUCAUAUUUGGGUUUAGAUCAUUUCAAGUUUGAGUUGUUAAAUUUCUAUAAUUAAAUAAAUUUGAAUCUGAUAUGAGUUUGAAUUAAUUGGGUUUGUGGUCAUUGACACUAGUAAAUGGGUUUUUGUUAAACAAUUGAAGGAAGUGAAGACAUGGACCGGCUAAUAACGACAGUGCCAGGCAUGGAAACUUAUCUUCGAUGUCGAGAUCUGUUGCGCGGAAGCGUGUGAAAGAGUAAAAUUAUUGUACUGAAAAAUCACACUAAGUUCAAUUCCCAGGAAAGAGAGGUGGAUCACGAGGAUCGCUUACAUACCAGAUCUUUCCUAGCCAGAAUAUCCCUCUAUCGUAAUUUAAUAGCACAAUAAAUCACUACAAUGACACUUGCAAAAUAUGCAGAACAAAAAAUAAAGAACACUAGAAUUUUAAUGAGGUUCAGCAAAUUUUGCCUACGUCCUCGGGCACUACCAAAUAUAUUUCACUCCAAAAAUACAAGCGAAAGUUUACAAAUAAGGAGAGAGAACAAUUGCCUUAAGUAGAGAAUGGCAAGUGUGGGAUGAAGAAAGUAAGAGAUGGUUAGGCCUAUUUAUAGUUGAGGUUUAAGGAUCAACUUGCAAUGUCCCUAUACAAUUAGGGACCAAAAUUGCAAUUAUCCCAUGCCAACUUUUAACCCAACUUGCCAACCAAUCUUACUUUCUACUUUCGGUGCCAACUUUCUGCCACUAUUCAUCUUUGAAAAGUCAAAGAUUGUAGGUAUCCAAUAAUCUCCACCUUGAAGAUUUGAUUAGGAUAAUCUUAUCUUCACACAAUUCUUUCUUCCUUUGACAACAAUACUUGAUAGUGCCUUCUUCAACUGUUAAACUUGCAGGAUAUUGAUCAAGUUCAAACAAUGUUCGAACUUGGUUGUUGUUACCACCUUGGUCAUCAUAUCUGCGGGAUUAUCUGCAGUCUUGAUCUUCUGAAGACAAAUUUUCCCUUCUUCAAUAAUUUCCCGCACAAAAUGGAAUCGUACGUCGAUAUGUUUUGUACGUGCAUGAUAGACUUGAUUCUUUGCUAAAUGAAUAGCACUUUGACUAUCACAAUACACGUUAAUAUGCUCCUGAACCAACCCCAAGGUUUUAGCCAUACCUUGUAACCAAAUAGCCUCCUUUACAGCCUCUGUUACAGCCAUGUAUUCGGCUUCUGUGGUUGACAAUGCAACUGUAGACUGUAGUGUAGACUUCCAACUUAUUGGUCCUCCAGCAAGUGUAAACACAUAACCGGUGGUUGAUCUUCGCUUGUCCAAAUCACUGGCAUAGUCAGAAUCAACGUACCCAAUAACACCUUUACCAAGUGUAUUAUCCUGCUUGAACAGUAAUCCAACAUCCACGGUCUUCUGAAUAUACCGUAGAAUCCAUUUCACAGCUUGCCAAUGUCUUUUUCCAGGAUUAUGCAUAUACCUGCUCACUAUACUAACUGCCUGUGAAAUGUCGGGUCUUGUACACACCAUUGCAUACAUCAAGCUACCCACUGCAUUAGAAUACGGAACUUGCAACAUGUAUUCUCGUUCCGUAUUCGUCGAAGGAGAUAGUUGUGCAGAAAGCUUGAAAUGAGAAGCCAACGGGGUACUUACAGGUUUGGUUUGCUUGUUCAUGCCAAACUGCUGUAGUACUUUCUUCAAAUACUGCUUCUGAGACAAGCUAACUCUGCCAUGAGCUCUAUCUCUACAUAUUUCCAUGCCAAGAAUCUUCUUAGCUUCACCUAGAUCUUUCAUCUCAAACUCGAGAUUGAGUUGAGUCUUCAAUCUCUCAAUCUCAACUUUGCUCUUAGAUGCUAUCAGCAUAUCAUCAACAUAUAAGAGCAAGUAUAUGAAAGUUCCUUCUUGUAGCUUCUGAAAAUAUACGCAAUGAUCAAAUUUACUUCUUGUGUACCUUUGCCCUUUCAUGAACUGAUCAAAUCGCUUGUACCACUGCCUCGGAGAUUGUUUCAAUCCAUAAAGCGACUUUGUCAAUUUGCAAACCCAAUUUUCUUUAUCAGCAACAUUGAAUCCAUCAGGCUGAGUCAUAUAGAUUUCCUCUUCCAAAUCACCGUGUAAAAAUGCUGCCUUCACAUCAAGCUGAACUAGUUCAAGAUCGUAUUGCGCAACCAAGGCUAGCAAAAUUCGAAUAGAUGAAUGCUUCACAACUGGAGAAAACACUUCAUUGUAGUCUAUUCCUUCUUUCUGAGCGUAACCCUUUGCUACCAAUCUAGCCUUGUAUCGAAUUUCAUUUUUACCAGGAAAUCCUUCCUUCUUUGCAUAUACCCAUUUGCAUCCAAUUGCCUUCUUUCCCUUGGGCAGUCUCACCAACUCCCAAGUCCUAUUUUUAUGAAGAGACUGCAUUUCUUCAUUCAUAGCUUGCUUCCACUUUACACCAUCAGAGUUACUUAUUGCUUCUGUGUAAGUGGAAGGAACAUCAUCAUCUGUAAUUGGAAGUGCAUAGGCCACCAUAUCAUCAAAGCGAGCAGGCUUACGAAUCUCUCUUCUUGGCCUCCUAUAUGCAAUUGAAUCUUGCUGCUGUAGAAGUUCUUGGGUCGAAACUUCUUCAUCAUUUGUUCUUUCAAUAUUAGCUGGAUCAUCAUUAACCUUUUCAAACUCCACCUGCUGCAAAGUACUACUGGUUUUGUCAUCCUUUUGUGAAUCCUCGUUCUUCAUCAUGGUUGAUUCAUCAAAAGUUACAUCUCUACUGAAAACAAUCUUCCUUGUAUCAGGACACCAGAGACGGUAUCCUUUUACACCACCAGUUAUACCCAUGAAUAAUGCUUUCUUUGCUCUUGGGUCUAACUUAGAUUCUUUUACAUGAUAAUAUGCAGUGGAACCAAAAACAUGUAAAGAAUCAUAAUCAGUAGCAGGUUUACCAGUCCACAUCUCCAUAGGAGUUUUUCCAUUUAUUGCAGCUGAUGGCAAUCGGUUAAUUAGAUGGCACGCAUAUGUAACUGCCUCAGCCCAAAAUUCCUUGCCCAAUCCAGCAUUGGACAACAUACAUCGAACUUUCUCCAGUAUAGUCCGAUUCAUGCGUUCUGCCACCCCAUUCUACUGUGGUGUAUCUCGAACAGUGAAGUGUCGCACAAUGCCUUCAUCUUGACAUACUUGUAGAAAUGGAUCAUUUUUGUACUCAGUACCAUUAUCUGAUCGAAGUCGUUUGACCUUUCGACCUGUCUGAGUCUCCACCAUAUUCUUCCACUUCAGAAAUGCAUCCAAAACUUCAUUUUUUCUUUUCAUUAGAUACACCCAUACUUUUCUUGAAUAAUCAUCAAGAAAAGUGACAAAAUAGUGCAUACCUCCCAAAGAAGCCACUUUGGUAGGUCCCCACACAUCACUGUGAACAUAGUCUAGAAUUCCUUUCGUAUUGUGAAUUGCUGAACCAAAUUUUACCCUCGUCUGCUUGCCCAGAACACAAUGUUCACAGAAUUCCAAUUUGCAAGAAUUUGCACCUUUCAACAAGCCUUGCUUCGCCAAAGUCUGCAAAGCUUUUUCACCAGCAUGUCCCAAUCGCAUAUGCCAUAAUCUGGUAGCCUCUGAAUCUACAUCUUUUGUAGAAACUGUUGAUGUUGAUCCAAUAACUGUACUUCCAUUUAAAAAAUACAAGUUAUUUCUUCUUGUGCCUUUCAUCACCGUCAGUUGCCCAGCUACUACUUUUAGUAAUCCAUCUCUCAAAGUGAUUGUGAGCCCUUUAGAUUCUAGGGCACCUAAUGAGAUGAGAUUUUUCUUCAGGCUAGGUACGUAGCGAACAUCUGUCAAGACUUGGAUUGAGCCGUCGUGAUUCUUCAAUUGGACUGUACCCACUCCCAUUGUCUUACAAGCACUAUCAUUGCCCAUAAGAACAAUUCCACCUUCUAGCUCUUUAAGACUAGAAAACCAGUCCUUAUUAGGACACAUAUGGUAAGUACAUCCUGAAUUCAAAAUCCACUCAUCCGUUUGACAUGCCAUUGCCAUGCCAACCAAGCUAAAGUCUGACUCCUCAUCAUGCUCCGCUACACAUGCAUUAGAAAUAGCCUUGCCCUUUUGUAGCUUAGGACAAUUCUUUUUUCAAUGCCCUUUUUCACGGCAAAAGGCACAUUCAUCUUUGGCGGGUCUCCCUUUGGACUUUCCCCUUCUACCAGAUUUGCUGCUGUGUGAACGACCUCUUACUGUUAAGACUUCUGCGGUUGUAUCUCUGUGAUCUCUUUUAUCUUUCUUUCGAGUCUCAGGUCUAUACAAUGCACUACAGACUGCAUCAAAUGUGAUCGUGUCCUUCCCAUGAAGCAAUGUGGUGGUAAGAUGAUCAUAUUCAUCAGGAAGGGAAUUCAACAACAAUAAUGCCUUGUCUUCAUCUUCAAAUUUCUCAUCCAAAUUUAGCAAGUCUGCUAAAAUUUUAUUGAAUGAGUUCACAUGGUCAUUCAUCGACAUACCGGGUGCAUACGUGAAUUGAUAAAGUUUCUUUUUCAUAUAAAGCCUAUUUUCAAGACUUUUCGUUAGAAACUUUUCUUCCAGUGUAUCCCAUAACUUCUUCGCUGAUGUCUCCCUCAUGACAGAGUACUUCUGCUCUUUGGCCAAACAUAGGCGGAUUGUACCACACGCCUGUCUAUUGAUCUUGGCCCACUCCUUGUCAUCCAUCUUGUCAGGUUUUUCUUCAAGGGCUAUAUCUAGCUCUUGCUGACAUAAGACAUCCAGGAUCUCACAUUGCCACAUACCAAAAUUAUUGGUACCGUCAAAUUUCUCUACUUCAAAUUUUGCAUUUGUCACAGUAGUCCUUGCUGAUGACGAUGCUGCUGCCAUUUUUCUCCUCAAUCCCAACUACUGUAUACGUGAAUAGUACCGUAUACGUGAAUAGUGCCGUAUACGUGAAUAGUGCCGUAUACGUGAAUAGUACCGUAAACGGUCGUAUUCCCCAAGUACGAACCUGGCUCUGGUACCAAUUGUUGCGCGGAAGCGUGUGAAAGAGUAAAAUUAUUGUACUGAAAAAUCACACUAAGUUCAAUUCCCAGGAAAGAGAGGUGGAUCACGAGGAUCGCUUACAUACCAGAUCUUUCCUAGCCAGAAUAUCCCUCUAUCGUAAUUUAAUAGCACAAUAAAUCACUACAAUGACACUUGCAAAAUAUGCAGAACAAAAAAUAAAGAACACUAGAAUUUUAAUGAGGUUCAGCAAAUUUUGCCUACGUCCUCGGGCACUACCAAAUAUAUUUCACUCCAAAAAUACAAGCGAAAGUUUACAAAUAAGGAGAGAGAACAAUUGCCUUAAGUAGAGAAUGGCAAGUGUGGGAUGAAGAAAGUAAGAGAUGGUUAGGCCUAUUUAUAGUUGAGGUUUAAGGAUCAACUUGCAAUGUCCCUAUACAAUUAGGGACCAAAAUUGCAAUUAUCCUAUGCCAACUUUUAACCCAACUUGCCAACCAAUCUUACUUUCUACUUUCGGUGCCUUUCGGUGCCAACUUUCUGCCACUAUUCAUCUUUGAAAAGUCAAAGAUUGUAGGUAUCCAAUAAGAUCUUCCUACUUUUUCUCGAAGACUGGACAUUGAAGAUUCAAUUAUCAAGCUAGUCGUAAAACAGACACGAAAGAGCCUUCAAGCCGAUGCCUUGAUACUCAACACCGCCGAAGAGCUCGAUGGGCCUAUACUAUCUCAAAUACGCACCAAAUGCCCUCGUGUCUAUGCCGUUGGACCCUUACAUGCUCAAUUAAACACUAGACUCAAUGCAAAACAUGGAGAGUCAUAUGAUCACAUCUCGAAUACACUUUGGGAAGUGGAUAAAAGCUGCAUCUUUUGGCUCAAUAAGCAACCGAAUCGAUCUGUUAUCUAUGUAAGUUUUGGUAGCAUUACGAGCACGUCAAGGGAGCAAAUUUUAGAGCUUUGGUAUGGACUUCUUAACAGUAAAACGAAGUUCUUGCUUGUUGUAAGGCCAAAUUCCGUGAUUGGAAAAGAUGGUGAAGGGGAGGAUGUUGUAAUGGAGCUUAUGGAGAAGAGUAAGGAUCGAGGUUACAUUGUAAAUUGGGCACCACAAGAGGCAGUCUUGAACCACCCAGCCAUUGGCGGGUUCUUUACGCAUAAUGGAUGGAACUCGACUUUAGAGAGCGUUGUCGCAGGGGUGCCUAUGAUUUGCUGGCCUCAGUUUGCUGACCAACACGUGAAUUGUAGGGUUGUGAGUGAGGUGUGGAAAAUAGGGUUGGAUAUGAAGGAUGUAUGUGAUAGCAAGAUAGUGGAGAAAAUGGUAAAUGAUGUGAUGGUGGAUCGAAAGGAGGAGUUUGCAAAAUCCGCAUCUGAAAUUGCUAAGGUAACCAAUCAAUGUGUUAAUGUUGGUGGGUCUUCUUAUAGUAAUUUGGACCGUUUAAUUGAAGAUAUUAGAAUAAUGAGCUUGAAAACUCACAAAAAAUGAUAGUUUCUUAAGGACAACUCCCCUUCGAUAGUAGCAUCAAUACAUCCCCCGGUAAACAGAAUAGAAUGGGAGCUGACUUUAAUUUUUAUUUUUUUCUUAAAAAGUGGAUGCAUUAUAAGAUGGAUUUUUUUUUUUUUACUAUGAGUAUGAAGCGGUUAUAAUAAUUAUUUUUCUUGUUCCGCCCUACUCAUUAUAUAAAGUUACCAUUUUACCCUAUAUAUUUGUUGAUACAAUGUACAACAAAAUAAGGAGGAGAUCAAGAUGGUACAAUGGAGGCCGAUUCACCUAAAGAGGUCAAGAGCCGAAACAAGAGCAAGAAGAUAGGCUGACCAAGAAGAUAAUUGCUCAGAGUAACUCUAGGGUGCUAAAAGAAUGAUCUUUUUGCAUCAUUCCUUAGAAUAUUUCCUCUUGUCCACUGGUAUGACAUGGCCAGAUAAACAUUCAAUCUCGCUAAAUGUGUGAAGGGUAUUUAUAGGCAUAUGUCAUGAGAUCUUAUCAGUAUGAUAUUACUGUGCUUAAAUGGACUCCUUAUCAUAUAAAAAGUGUGUUCAUACUAGGAGAAUGUUAAUACUUAAAACAGGUGGAUGGCUCCCUCCGAGAGGAACAGGUGGUCUGUCGAAACGUUACUUCAAAUGAAGUCAAUAGGAGGUCUACGAUGCAUCUGGUAUUGACAUGUGUUAGAGUAACGGAGAGGUAUAGUAACAUUAAAAGAGUAAAAAUAUAAAAAUAUGUUUAAACCUUGAAUUACUUAGUUCAGACAUAGUGAUUUCUGACAAUGUUUUCAUAAUUGAACCAGUGAUCAAAUCGAUCAGACAACCGAUUCCUAAUUCAAUUGGUCUAAUUAAUUGGAUUAAUCGGUUCAAUAAAAAAUAAAUUAUCAAUAUAAAAUCAAAUUUUUUUAUAAAUUUUGAAAUCUCAAAGUUUUGUAAUUCCACUUUAAGACUAUAUAUAGCCCAUUGAUUGAAAAUUUGUAAAUCCACUUUUAAAGAAUUUAGAAGUUCCCUGCAAAUAUGCAACUCAUCUCUUUUACUCUUUAGACUUGUAAACUUCUCUUCCACUUCCUUUCAUUCCCUCUUCUCAUUUAUUCUAACUAUUUCUUAAAAGAUCGGUUUUUUUCUGUUCAUUUCUUCUUCUCAAAUACUCAAAUCUCUUUGGUAUCAUUUCAAAUCUCGGAUUGUUCUUCUUUUACCACCAAAUCUUAGAGGCAAAUCUGGUUGUAACAUGGUUCACAAGAUGGGACUCAAAAAUAAAAUAAAAUUUGAUAAAAAAAUUAAUUAAAAACAUAAAAAUAUAAUACUAAAUAAAAUAUUGGUUUAAUCGAUUUUUUUAGGUUUCUAAGUCCCGUUUAAUUGGGUUUUAAUUGGUCCAUAACAGCUCGCUUGUUAUCCAUUUUAAUAAGGAGUGUUGGAUCAUCAAAUCUAUUAAUUUUCAAUACAAUCAAUUUAACUAAUCAAUACAAUUCGAUUUCGAUAACAUUAAUUUUUGAUUUCUAGUUGCUAAUAUAAGAAAAUUAAGAUAAAUUAAUUGUUAGAGAAUUUUUCCUUUUUACUUGGGAAGGUUGUCCCAAGUAAUCAAAAUUAUGUUUCAAUUUAUUUUAAAGAAAUAUGUUUAAAAUAUUAAAAAUAAUUAAGAAAAAUCAAAAUGAAACAAUCGUAUGGUAAAAUGAGAAUGGAUACAUUUAAUAAAUUAUAAAAUUAAAUAUUUAUGAUGGAACGAAAUAGAUAAUAAAAUAAUUAAGAUUUAACAAUAUUUGCUAAGUGUUGUUACAUUUUCAUCCCAAUGAAGAGCAAUGUUAUGUUGGCUUUACUUUUUGGACCAGCAAUUGAGAAGUUUUUUUUUCAGAAGUGGUACAUGAAAGUGUCAGUGAAAAUGGGUAAAUUGGCGGGUUUUUUAUAAAAAUAUUAUAAAAAAUAAAAAUUUACCAAAAUAUUAUAACUUUUUUUAUUUACCAAAAUAUUACUUUUCUUAUUAUUUACUAAAAUAUAUCCAAAAAAAAACCUACAAAAGCCUGCAAAAAGCUGAAAAAAGCAGAAAAAAUCUCGGUUAGGCUGGCGGCACCAAUGGUGCCAAAGGACUGAAAUGUGACCAUCUGCAGUUUUAAGGACCUCACAUGAAAUUUACCAUUUUUAAUUUUGAAAGUGAAUUACUGCUGCUGUGCGUGGUGCGCACUAAAAUUGAAAUGUGGCUAAUUGUCUUCUAAGCCCUCCUUAUUUAUUAAUUUCUUUUUAUUCCCCUUCAACUCACUUUUUUAUUUAAUAACUCUAUUUUAAUUUAAUAAAAUAUUCUCAUUUAAUAACUCUAUUUUAAUUUAAUAAACUAUUCUCAUUUAAUAAUUCUAUUUUAAUUUAAUAAAAUAUUCUCAUUUAAUAACUCUAUUUUAAUUUAAUAAACUAUUCUCAUUUAACAACUCUAUUUUAAUUUAAUAAACUAUUCUCAUUUAAUAAAUCUAUUUUAAUUUAAUAAAAUAUUUUCAUUUAAUAACUCUAUUUUAAUUUAAUAAAAUAUUCUCAUUUAAUAACUCUAUUUUAAUUUAAUAGUUUAUUAAAUUAAAAUAGAGUUAUUAAAUGAGAAUAGUUUAUUAAAUUAAAAUAGAGUUAUUACUUAAUUAGAAUUCUAAGUAUAUUAAUUAUCACUUAACUAAUAUUAGAUUUAAUUAAAAAAUUAAUAGAAAUACAUGCAUGCCUUAUUGAAAAACCAAAAGUAAUAAUAAAACUAAUCACCCAUAAAUGUAACCCAAAUAGAAAAAAUAAAUUAUAAUUAUAAACUAUUCUCAUCAAAUUUAGUAAAUUUUUUAAAUAAAUUAUUCUCAUCAAAUUACCAAAAUAAUACAUAAAAUGCGAAUUAGUUUAUACUUUUUUAAAUAGAUUUACUUUAGGUAAAAUAUAUUUCCUUUAAUAAUAAAAUAAAGGGCUUUUAUGAGUAAAAAUCAUAGAUUAAGAGCUUAUUUAACUACAAAAAUAGAUUGAGGGCUAGUUUAUUAAAUAAAAAAGUGAGUUGAAGGAGAAUAAAAAGAAAAUAAUAAAUAAUGAGGGCUUAGAAGGUAAUUAGCCAUAUUUUAAUUUUAGUGCGUACCACACAGCAGCAAUUCACUUUCAAAAUUAAAAAUAAUAAAUUUCCAUAUUAGGUCCUUGAAACUACAGAUGAUCACAUUUCAGUCCUUUGGCACCAUUGGUGCUGCCAAUGCCAUUGGCCUAACCCAGAUUUUUCAGCUUUUUUUUAGCUUUUUGCAAGUUUUUUGUUUUUUUUUUUAUUUUUUGUUUUUUUAUAUAUUUUGGUAAAUAAUAAAAAAUAAUAUUUUGGUAAUUUUUUAUUUUUUUAUAAUAUUUUUAUAAAAAACCCGUAAAUUGGCUGAAUCAUGUAACAGUGUCGGUGGUCCUUAUUAUUGCAAUUCUGAUAAAAUCAUGUUGUAAUAAAUAAUUGCAGUCACGUGACAUGCAAUAAGAUGGAAUCUUUCUGAUUUCUUUUUGCAAGUUUUAAAUGUUGUCAUUAAUUGCAGGCUGAUUUGAUGCAAAUGCAAUUUUUUUUAUUUAUAAUAAUCAAAACAAUAAGAUUAUAGUAAAGUAUUUAUGAAUAAUUAGAAUAUCUUAAUCUCCAUGACGGCUAUCAAACAUAUAUAAAAUUUAAUCAUCUGAGAGGGUUAUUUUUGUUAAUACGUCUGCAAUUUUAUUAUUCGUUUUAGGAACAUAUCUGAAUGAUCAUAUCUUUUCGUUGGCAAGGAUAUGUCGAAUCAUCCUAAUUAAAGUAAGGUUAGUUUUUUCAGGAUUAUUAUCGCUAAUAGCUGCUACAAUUUUGAGACUAUUAGAAUGAAUGGUGACCUCAUCAUAUCCUUGUUUUUUAAGCAUGUGUAAGUGUCAUGGGUUGCGCGUCGGUGCUCGCAACUAUGACAAACUGGUGCGAUCCAUCGUGUUCGAGGGAGGUCAUUUAGCCCAACCAAACUGGCCCGGUGAUUGGAGAGAUUAAAAGCCCAUCUCAAGAGCCGAUAGAAAUGGGAAGUGUUCUAGAAGAUAUAAUUAUGGAAUCUUAGAGUUCUAUUUGUAUAUAGCUGGUUAUGUAAGCUUAGAGUUCUAAUUGUAUUCAGCUUUUAAUUAUAGCUAUUGAUAUACUGUGAGGCUCAACUAUAAAUAGAGACCUCUUUGCUCAUUGUAUAUUCAUUGAGUUAUUAAUAAGAAUUUUGAGAGUAUUCAAUCAAACUUUUCUCUCAAGUGUUCUUGCUUUUGUUCAUCUUUCAAGGCUCGUUCUUACUUCGUUCUUCUGUUGUUCUUCGUGAAAAUCUUAAGGGAAUUCUAUUGAAUCCUUUAUUGUUGCGAGUGAAGUUGACUUGGGCGUUUUUGCUGCUGAAUCUUUUUUUUUUGUUGCAAGUUAGGCUGACUUAGGCGUUUUAAGCAGAGAAACUACCUAAGGCCGCACGGAUCGCGUAGGAAAACUCUAAGUCCGUGACAGUUGGUAUCCGAGCUAAGGUUCGAAGCCACCGUUGAAAGAUGUCAAAAGAAGUUGAGGGAAUGGAGACCCGUGGGAGGGCUAGGAAAGCCAGUCGCUCAAGGAACAUAUUGUCAGCUUUAGAAGAUCGCGUCAUCACUUUCGAGAGUUCAAUGGGGGAUAUCAAGGAGAGGGUUGAAGAUGUUGAUGAUAGGCUCCAUGAUGGACUGCAGUCCAUGCAGGAGCAGCUUAAAGAGUAUGUGACGGAUAAUAUGAAACAGUUGACUGGUAGAGAUGAUGCCAUUGAGGCUAUGGUGGUGGCCUUGAAGGGAGAGAUUGCGGAGCUCAAGGGUGAACUCACAAUCUACAAGGUUGCCUUGGGCAAUGGUGGGUUAGCGGCUGCCGCACCCAAGCCCAAUAUUGAUGUUCCCAAGCCCAAAGAGUUUAAGGGAACAAGGUCCGCAAGAGAUGUGGAUAACUUUUUGUGGGGAAUCGAGCAAUACUUCUGUGCCAAAGGCAUCAUGGAGGAUGUCACUAAGGUAACUACUGCUGCGAUGUAUUUAUCUAACGUUGUUUUGUUGUGGUGGCGUCGUAGAUCCACUGAUGUGAGACGUGGUGGGUCUAAAAUCGAAACAUGGGAGGAGUUUCGAUGUGGGUUCAAAGCACAGUUUUACCCAGAGUAUGCCGAGGAUGAGGCUCGGGCAAGGUUGCGUCGGCUUGCGCAACAAGGCACUGUGAGGGAGUAUGUACAGGAGUUUAGCGAGCUUAUGCUCCAAAUCUCAGAUAUGGGGGAGAAAGAGGCAUUCUUUUCCUUUAUGGACGGAUUAAAACCGUGGGCGAAGAAAGAGUUGCAGUGCCGAGGAGUUCAAGAACUCACCAAGGCUAUGUCAGUAGCAGAAUCACUUGCUGAAUUUGGUGGGAGGAAAGACAAUUCCAAUUCUUCUAAACCCAGAUUAAAGGGUAAUAGUGGGGGAGAUAAAGAAAGGCCCACUAGGAACGGCGAUGGUAAGAAACCUUGGGACAAGAGAAAGAGUGGGCCUAUAAGGUGCUUCCACUGUGAGGGUCUACAUAUGAUCAAGGACUGUCCAAAGAAGGCCGCUCUCAAGGCUAUGGAAGCAAAGGGGGAGUCCGAUGUGGAGGAUAACAACCUUGGAUCGAUACUAGGGGGUGUCGAAGAUAGAAUGAGCCAUGGUUUGAUGUUUGUAGACAUCAUUGUGGCCGGCAGAAAAUUGAAUGCGCUCGUUGACACAGGCGUUUCUGAUUUAUUCAUGUUUGAGGAGGCUGCUUGUAAACUGGGCCUCAAGAUAGAUAAUGAAGGGGGUCGGAUCAAAACAGUGAACUCGGAAAGUGUUCCAAUCAAGGGGGUUGCAAAGGGAGUGGAUCUUCAACUCGGCAAUUGGUCAGGGAAGGUAUCCAUUAAGGUAAUACCCCUUGAUGACUAUGAUUUUGUGGUGGGACUAAGCUUCCUUGAUCAGGUUAAAGCUCUUAUUGCCCCUUCGAGCAAUUACAUGGUGAUUUCAGAUGCGAAACAUCAAUGCAUGGUGAAAGUGACAAGGAAGAGAAGCUUUGAGGGAAAAACACUAUCAGCAAUUCAGUUUGCUAAAGGUGUACGGAGAAAUGAAGUCUCAUAUUUAGCCACCUUGAAGAUUGAAGAGACCGUUGAGCCUGUUAGUGAGACCCCGAAAGAAGUGGGACAAUUGCUACAAUCAUUUCAAGAUGUAAUGCCUGCUCAGUUGCCAAAAAGUUUGCCACCCAAGAGGGAGGUGGACCACAAAAUCGAGUUAGUAUCCAAUGUGGUGCCGCCAGCAAGGGCCCCCUAUCGUAUGUCUCCGCCAGAAUUAGAAGAGUUGCGGAAACAAUUGAAGGAACUUUUGGAUGCGGGAUUCAUUAGACCAUCUAAAUCCCCAUAUGGUGCGCCAGUGUUGUUCCAAAAGAAACACGAUGGGUCCUUGAGAAUGUGCAUCGAUUAUCGAGCUCUAAACAAGAUCACCGUGAAGAAUAGGUAUCCUAUUCCUCUUAUCGCAGAUUUGUUCGAUCAGCUUGGUAGUGCAAUAUGGUUUACCAAGUUAGAUUUGAGAUAGGGGUAUCAUCAAGUUCGGAUAGUCGAGGGAGACGAACCAAAGACAGCUUGUGUGACACGGUAUGGUUCGUAUGAGUUCCUUGUGAUGUCUUUCGGACUCACGAAUGCUCCAGCUACAUUCUGCACCCUAAUGAAUAAGGUACUUCAACCCUUUCUUGAUCGUUUUGUGGUUGUUUACCUUGACGAUAUUGUGGUCUAUAGCAAGUCGCUUGAAGAGCACGUAAGACACUUGAGGGAGGUGUUUCAGACUUUGAGGGAAAAUGAGCUGUUCGUCAAGGAGGAGAAAUGCUCAUUUGCCCAACAAGAGGUGUCAUUCUUAGGCCACAUUGUGGGAAGCGGUAAGAUCCGAAUGGAUAAAAAUAAGAUUCGAGCCAUUUCAGAGUGGGAGCCUCCAACCAAGGUAACAGAGUUGAGAUCUUUCCUUGGAUUGGCAAAUUACUAAUGCCGCUUUGUCGAAGGCUACUCCAAAAUUACCACUCCCUUGACGGACAUGUUGAAGAAUGGGAAGGUAUGGGAUUGGAAUCCAGAAUGUGAGAACGCCUUCAACCAAUUGAAGCAAGAAAUGACGAGAGAGCCCGUACUUGUCUUGCCGGAUUUUACGAAGCCUUACGAGAUACGUACGGAUGCAUCAGAUUAUGCUAUUGGGGGAGUACUGAUGCAAGAUGGACACCCAAUUUCUUUCGAGAGUCGAAAGCUUAACGAGACGGAACGUAGAUAUACGGUCCAAGAGAAAGAGAUGACUGCGGUAAUACACUACUUACGCACAUGGAGACAUUAUUUAUUGGGUUCCAGGUUCGUGGUCCUUACCGACAAUGUUGCCAAUAGUUACUUUCUAACCCAGAAAAAGUUGUCUCCCAAGCAGGCUCGUUGGCAGGUUUUACUAGCAGAGUUUGAUUUCACAAUGGAAUAUAAACCAGGAAGUGCCAACAAUGUUGCUGAUGCACUUAGUCGAAAGAUGGAAUUCGCAGCAAUCAGUCAACCUGAUGGCUCUUUGUUGGAACACAUUCGAGAUGAAUUGUCCCAUGAUCCUACGGCCAAAAAUUUGAUUGAGCUUGCCAAGGAGGGAAAAACAAGAAGAUUUUGGCUUGAUGGGGAGCUAGUAUACACUCAUGGACACCGCCUCUAUGUGCCCCAUUAUGGGAAACUCCGUAAGGAAGUCAUGAAGGAAUGUCAUGACUCGAAAUGGGCAAGCCAUCCAGGGAUGCAUCGCACUUUGGCCUUUUUGGAGGAUCGUUAUUAUUGGCCUCACAUGGGUGCUGAUGUAGAAACCUAUGUGAAAACUUGUCUAGUGUGCCAACAAGACAAGGUUGAGUUAAAGACUCCAACCGGCUUGCUUCAACCCUUGCCAGUCCCAGAAAGGCCAUGGGAGAGUUUAUCCAUGGAUUUUAUUAUUGGUUUGCCUAAGUCUGACGGGUUUGCUAGUAUUCUUGUUGUGGUGGAUAGGUUUUCAAAGUAUGCGACUUUUAUUCCGGCGACCAAAGAGUGCCCUACUGAGGAAGCAGCUCGAUUAUUCCUUAGACACGUGGUGAAAUAUUGGGGAGUGCCACUAUCUAUUAUCAGCGAUCGAGAUGGUCGAUUUACUGGUCGGUUUUGGAUGGAGUUGUUCAAGUCAAUGGGCUCAGAUUUUAACUUCUCCACAAGCAUGCAUCCACAAACCGAUGGGCAAACUGAACGAGUAAAUGCACUGUUGGAGACGUAUCUUCGGCACUAUGUGAGUGCCACACAAAGGGAUUGGCCAAAGUUGCUGGAUGUGGCCCAAUUUUCAUAUAACUUGCAGCGAAGUGGGGCCACGAAUCAAAGUCCAUUUGAAAUAGUGACGGGUCAACAGCCACUCACACCCAACGCUGUUGUGACCCAUUACACAGGACCAAAUCCGGCAGCCUAUAGAUUCGCAAAAGAUUGGCAAGAGAAGAAUGACUUGGCCAGAACUUGUUUACACAAGGCAAGUAAGCGUAGCAAGAAGUGGGCCGAUCAGAACCGAAGAGAUGUACAAUUUCAAGUGGGUGACUCAGUCCUUGCUAAACUACACUUGAUUUUACGAUAUACUGGUUUGCACAAGGGUCUUGUGCGAAGGUAUGAAGGGCCGUUUAAAGUUGUGAAGAGAGUGGGCAAGGUGGCCUACAAGCUGGAGUUGCCACCAAAACUUAAAGUACACCCAGUCUUCUAUGUAAGCAUGCUUAAGCCGUUUCAUGAGGAUCAAGAAGAUCCAAAUUGAGGCAAGUCCGAAUGAGCACCGAUGGGGGUAAAAGUCUCGUAUAAUCGUGAAGUAGAAAACAUUGAGGCAGAUCGGGUAAUUAGACGAAAGUACCACCGACCACAGCAUGAGUACUUAGUUCGAUGGAAGGGACUUCCUGAUAGCGAAGCAAGUUGGGAACCUGCCGAGGCAUUGUGGCAGUUCCAAGGGAAGAUUGACCAGUUCCAUAAGGAGGAUGCGACGAGGGCGUCGCUAGAACAAGUGGGGGAGAAUGUCAUGGGUUGCGCGUCGGUGCUCGCAACCAUGACAAACUGGUGCGAUCCAUCGUGUUCGAGGGAGGUCAUUUAGCCCAACCAAACUGGCCCAACCAAACUGGCCCGGUGAUUGGAGAGAUUAAAAGCCCAUCUCAAGAGCCGAUAGAAAUGGGAAGUGUUCUAGAAGAUAUAAUUAUGGAAUCUUAGAGUUCUAUUUGUAUAUAGCUGGUUAUGUAAGCUUAGAGUUCUAAUUGUAUUCAGCUUUUAAUUAUAGCUAUUGAUAUACUGUGAGUCUCAACUAUAAAUAGAGACAUCUUUGCUCAUUGUAUAUUCAUUGAGUUAUUAAUAAGAAUUUUGAGAGUAUUCACUCAAACUUUUCUCUCAAGUGUUCUUGCUUUUGUUCAUCUUUCAAGGCUCGUUCUUACUUCGUUCUUCUGCUGUUCUUCGUGAAAAUCUUAAGGGAAUUCUAUUGAAUCCUUUAUUGUUGCGAGUGAAGUUGACUUGGGCGUUUUUGCUGCUGAAUCUUUUUUUUGUUGCAAGUUAGGCUGACUUAGGCGUUUUAAGCAGAGAAACUGCCUAAGGCCGCACGGAUCGCGUGGGAAAACUCUAAGUCCGUGACAUAAGACAUUUAAUAUGUCCCAAAGCUCAGCAGCUACAACCGAACACUUUUUCAAAAAGUGAUUAUAACCCAAAAUCCAAUUUCUCUUCCCAUCAUAUAUUACUCCACUUGCAGCGGAAAAACUAAAAACAGAAUUAACAACACCUUUAAUAUUAAGAAGAAAACCCAUACCUGAUUCCAAACGAUCAAAAGAUUAUUGCAGAUCCAUCACCAAGACUUCAUUAUUGACUGAGUAAUAUUGCUUUGCCCAACUGUAGGAAACCUUAAUAAUUUCUUUCGGAUUCAUUGAUUUUCCUUGGAAAUAAACAGGUUACGAUUUUUCCAGAUGCGCCAAAGUAUUAUCCUGAAGAAGCAAGCCCAGACUGAAUCUCUCAUGUUUUUAUCUGAUUGGCCCUAUAAAUUCGAGAGCAAUCAUUCCGAAAUAUUACCUUCAAAGAACUGUUUAUUUUGAUUAGGGGAAAUUAUUUGAGUCCGAAUAUCCUUCGCACAUGGACAGUUCCUAAGAACAUGUAAAACAUCCUUUGUAUAGUGACCACAAAGAUGACACGACUCAUGAUGACUAAUUCCCCUUCAGACCUUUUCAAAGUUAGUUAAAAGUCUUUGCUUUAGGAUUAUCCAGAUGAGCUAUCUAACUCUUAGAGGGUCUGAAAUUCUCCAAACUGUUUUCCAAGUGUCAUCCUUUAGAUUCCGAGACUCCUCCUUUAGUAUCUAAUAUGCGCUUUUAACUGAGAAGACAUCAGUAGUAGUUUCAGACCAAGAAAGAGUAUCUGCCCCUGCUGACUCUAUGGGAGGUGGAAUGCUAAUGAUACGUUGGAUGACUUUUUCUGGCAACAAUACCCGAAAUAAGUCAAGGUUCCAUGUACCAUUUUCCAUUACCAUCUCACACACUUUACAAUCAUAAUAGAUAUUCACGUGACUUGGGACAUGAUUAAUUAAAGGUCUCACGUUAUGUACCCAAACAUCCUCCCAGCAACGAAUGGUUCGUCCAUUACCCACUAACUAAAUCAUAUUAUUACACAGUAGAGGCCAAAACUUGGCCACAGAUUUCCACAUAAAGGAGCAUCUAUGUCUCAUGAUAUAAUCCGGCAUAGUCUCAUUAAUUCCAUACUUUUCUCUGUGAACCCUAACCUAUAAAGCUUUAGUCUUGGUGAUAAGACUAUAAUCAAUUUUCAUCAUGAAGGUUUUAUUUUGAGUGCACAGACAAUGAAACCCAAGACCUUCAUGAGAUCUAGGUUGGCAAAUAGAAUCCCACCCAACUAAAGUCAAUUUUCUUUUUCCAUUAAAAGCACCACAGCUGAAUUGCCUUGCCAUUUCUUCUAUUAAAUCACAAAUACCCUUCAGAAACAAAAUAGAUUGCAUGAGAUAGCUCAGAAUAGUCAACAGAACCGUUUGUGCUAAAAUGACCUUCCCUGCAAAGGAAAGCUUUUUAGUGCCCCAGCUAGAUAAGCGAUUACGAACUCUUUCCACCAAGAAAUCCAAAGUGUUUUUUGUAACUCUUUGAUGAAAAAGAGGGACUCCCAAAUAAUGCCUCAUAUCAUUAACUUCUUGGAAACUAAAGAUACUAUUAAAUCCCCUCUUUAAAUAUUCCUUAACACCAGCAGAGUAAGAGACAUUAGUCUUCCUAGCAUUGACCUUAUGACCAGAAAGCUCACAAAAGUUAUCCAGAAAAUUUUUAAGAAAACCACUGUGCUCCAAAGUGUUUUUUGUAACUCUUUGAUAAAAAAGGGGCAACCUUGAGGAAUUCCUCUUACAGGCUUGAAUUUGAAAGUUAGAGCUUCGUUCCACAAAACCUGCAUGGUAGACGUCGAAAUAACAUUCAUAAUAACCUAAAUAAAAUAAGAAGGAAUACAUGCUGCAUGGAGUGAAGCUUUCACGAAGUCCAACGUAUACGAUCAUAAGCUUUCUCCAAAUCAAUCUUGACAACAAUCCAUUGGAGAUUCUUCUUAGUUUUCAUAGAGUGUAAGACUUCCUGUGCAGUGAUUACAUUAUCAAUGAUAUUUCUCCCCGCUAUAAAUCUCGCUUACUCUUAACCAAUGAUCUUCAGAAAUAUGCUUUUAAACCUGUUUGCAAUAACCUUCAUAACCAACUUAUAGUAAAGAUUAAUGGGUCUGAACUGCGAGAAAUUUUUAGGAUUUGGAAUUUUGGGGAUUAAGACAAUACGAGUGUUAUUGUAUUUUGAGUCUAUAAUUCCACCUUCAAAAAUCUUCCUCACCCACUCACAGAUAGCUCCUCCUAUAUUAUCCCAUUGAGUCUGAAAGAACAAUUAUCCCACUGAGUUUAAAAUAACAACACGUGAAAACCAUCACUUCCUGAAGCCUUUAGUUAAGCCAUAUUAAAAAGGGUCAUCUUGAUUUCUUCAUUAGAAAUAGCCCUCCCAAGGAAAUCAAUAUCCUCUUAGUUAAUAUUCGGAAAGCCACUUAAAGGUAAAUUCCCUACCAGGCCAAGAGCCUCUCCAUAAAGAUUCUGAAAGAAUUUAAUUACUUAUGUUUUAAGGACAACAGGUUCAAAGAUCCACUCCCCAUCUGAAUUACAUAAAGUAGUAAUUCUAUUGAAAUUUCUUCUCUAAAUUGUACGUUUGUGAAAAUACUUGGUGUUAUGAUCCUCCAGUUUUAACCACUCGCAUCUCAAUUUUUGUUUCCAAAGUAUCUCCUCAUGAUAAAGAAUUUUUUCAGUCUUCUAUCGGACCUCCAAUUUACACUAGGCCAGAAAAUUAGUACCAGACAGGUCCAUCACUCGUUGUAAAUUAGAGCUUAUGGGUUAACUAAAUUUUUUGGUGAUCAAAUUAAAUUCUGUGGAGGUGAGUAACCAAGCAGUUUGGAAAGGACUCCGUCCAAGCUUCAUUACCCAAAGCCCUAUCCAGUCUCUCAAAAAGAUUACCCCAAUGCCAAGUUUAAUGAGGGCCCUAAAAGCCCAGAUCAAGAAGUUGAUCCUUAUCUAUAAAAUCACCAAAAAAUGAGUAUCUGCAUCCAUUUAAAUGAACGCCUUUUUUUCUUCCAAAGAGAGAAUGGCAUUAAAAUAACCAAUGGCCAGCCAAGGAUAGUGCCCACACGGAAUAGAAAGACUUAAAUCUCUCCACAAUACUUUCUUUUUCUGUCUAUCAAGACUGUCAUAAACAAAGACAACAAAUAUCGAUUGGGAUUGGAGAAAAGAACAAAUACGGGCCAAAAUAAAUUGAGGGUGAUUACCAAUCACCUAUAGAUCAAUCGAAUUUUUCCAACCUAACCAAAUACCAUCAGAAAAGCCAAUCGCUUCCACUCAAUUGGAUUUUUCAAAACCCAAUUUAGCAAUGAUAGCAUCGGCUUUAGCCCCACUAUCUCUAGGCUCAAGAAGGCUAACAAUAUUCAACUUAUAAUGACUAUUAUAUUCACAGAAGAUUCGUAGGAAUUUAUCAUUCGCACACCCCUACACGUUCCAUGAUAGAAUAGAAAAAGUCAUAAAAAAAUUUUAAAAAGGGAAAAAUAAUUUACCUUACUGACGAAUGGUUACAAAAUUAUCCAGUAGCUCUCCUUCUUUAAACGACGCGUCUUUAACCAUUUGCAUCUUGCCCACUCCUCCAUAGAUAAGUUGCUUCGUCCCUUCCCUACGAACCACCAAAUAAAGCCCUCUCUGACCUUCUUUUUCCUUUAGGUUGUACAUAUACUAUAAUAAUGAAACAUCAGGCCAUAUCCCUUUACCCACAUUUGAUUAUGAAUCCAAUUAUCAACCACCAAGAGCUCCCAACUAGAUAUCUGGGUGCCAACAGUAAGAAUUCAGCAAGUUCAUGACAAACUGGUGAAGAGGCAAGAGAAACUAUGCCUCUAACAAAUACAACGACAAAUAGAAUCUUGGAAUUCCCCCUUCGUAGUUUGGCCUAAAUAUAAAGCUCAAAUAAUGCUUCUUAUCCAAAAUGCUAAAUCCAUAUUUAUGAUCCCUUUGAAUAAGCCCUCUGCUACUUAACACCCUUUGCAUUUUCCGCUCUAUAGUAAUACACCUAUACUCUCCACGUGCAACCAUCUCAUCUACAAAGUUCUACUCUUCAAGGAUUUGCCCUUUAUUACUCAAAGUCGUUGCAAUUCCCCUAGGAACCAUUGUCGUUGCCUUAUUUUCGACGGUGGAAAACCUACCCCUACCCUUUUGCGAUGAAACUCUACCCACUCUUCCUUCUCUCCUUGCAAGUCUAGCCAUGUUUAACUUGUCGAAAAGGCGAAAAUGACGAUGAAAAGUUAACAUUUUCAAAUUGCAACCACCUAAAAGGAACUCCAAAUAGCAUACUAGCAAGAAAACUUUGAAACGCCAAAAUGACAAAAGUAAUUUCAAGGAAGACAGCAAACCAGAUUUAUAGAACUCUUUAGCAUACUUAAACGCACCGCUUUGAGAAAAGUAGCCAUAACCAUGGCAUCUAGCCACUUAUGUAGUGUCAAAUGCUCCAUAUCAUGGCCACUUUUCUUCAAAAACUAUGCAUUUAUGACAGUUACUCUAGAAUAACUUUAGUGCUUCUUUGUCUUCUCCGAUAGAGUAAGUUAUUUCCCACCAUCUGUUGCUCAAUUAAAAUAAUGUCUCACGAAAAGCUACUUUGUAACCUUCCAUUCGACUUAGGAGGGCAAUUGUUAUACUUCUUCGCCAUUCAAACGCGUGUCAGCAUUAGAAGUAGCGUUGACAUCACUAAUGACCCCGUCUGAAACUGUGCCUUGACGGACUACCCGCUUGGAUUAAGGUAGUACUAACAUCUUGUGCCCUUGACCACCCGUUCUCAACACUCUUGGGUAAGGCCAUCCAGCCCCUUCAAAAAGGACCAGUCACCCGCUUUUUAAGUCCUCAAUAGUGAAUAUGGUCCUCAAUAGUGAAUAUGGUCAUGUGGGAACCACUUGAGUUUAACAACCUCGAACUAAUUAAAGUAAUAAUGGAAUGGACCCCACGAUAUACAUCAUUCACACAUUGUAUGAAGAUAACUUUCCUCAUAACAAUCUACUACGUCACAUUAAUGGAUAAGGACCUACUCAUAUUUCAAAUAGGCCUAAUUUUUUUUGUCCAAGCUCACUGCCAGUCUUAAUAUUAUUGUUGAACCUUCCUAAUUCUGGAGGAUCUUCGAGCUAGGACAAAUAAUUUGGCUCUUGAACAUGUAUAUUUGAUACUUAUUAUAUGAUUUAUAUAUACAAAGAUAAAUAUAAAGCCUUAAUUGAUAAAAAGAAAAAAACUUAAUAGUUUGAUUUAAUAUUUUAGAUUUCACUCAAAAAUCAUAUUGUCAAAACUCAAUCUACUAAGCUAGUAUAAGACACUCUUCAACAAUUUUUUUUUUAAUUUUAGUUCUUUUACGAGUAAUAUAUAACCUAAUAAAUAAAUUAGGAAAGAACACUUACUAGUAAAAGGAGCAUGCUUUACAAUUUAAAAGAAAAAAAAAAGUCGUGGCAUUGUUUUGUUAUGGGACACAGAUGGGGCAUUGGUUGGGGGCAGAGGAUUUUCAUCCCAAUUUCCCAUGUAUAAUUUUGUAUUUCAUACCAUCAAUAAUUGAAUAAAUUUAUUUAAUUAAAUAAUGUAGUUGAUUUGAAUAAUUUUCACUCAAUCUACUCGAUGGAAUACUCACAUCUACCUUAUCCAUGGCCUAGAAGACAUCGUUUGGCCAUUAUCUAGCUCUCAAAACCUUUGUUCUUGAGCUCAUAAAUCUCAAAAAGCCCCUCAAACAGAUCCUGAAAUUAGAUGGAAAAGGAUCGGUCCUCACAAGCUCCUCCUCCACAUGUUCUCAUCUUCCCUUUCCCAUUACAAGGCCAUAUAAUCUCUAUGAUUAAGCUAGCUGAACUGCUGGCCCUCGCCGGCUUCAAGCUCACUUUCCUCAACUCCCACUACAACCAUGAACGCUUGGUCAAGUUCAACAACAUUGCUGCCCACUUUGAAAGAUACCAGGGGUUCGAAUUCAAGACCAUAACCGAUGGUCUCCCUCUUGAUCAUCCCCGGUCUGGGAAUUGGUUCCUUGAUAUGUACGAAGAGGCCCUGGAAUUGAAAAUGAAGCCAGGUUUGAGAGAGAUGCUUGAAAAUAUCAGCCCACCAGUGGAUUGCAUAAUUGCAGAUGGGUUUUCAGGCUUUGCUCUUGAUGUUGCAAAGGAGCUUGAAAUCCCCAUUAUUUAUUUUCGUACCAGCAGUCCUUUUAGUUUCUGGGUUUAUUAUUCCAUCCCUGAUAUAAUCCAAGCUGGGGAGCUUCCUAUCAAAGGUAAAUUAACUUCUUUUUUAUAACUUUGUUUUCGUUUCAACCAUGUUUAGAACAGUUUUUAGUUCUGUGGAGGACAUUCGCUCCAUCAUGAGAAGUGAGAAGUUAUUGAAAUGUCAUUCACUGAGAAUCAACCAGACCCCCAACAAUUGAUAGUACUGUUCUCGUCAUCCGUGGAUAGCCAUGUACGGCUCAUAAAAGAGGACACUUCCUAAAUUAAACUUUUAAUUUUAUUUAUUAUAUAUCAUGACACUAGUAACUAGGUUUUUGUUAAACUAUUGAAGGAAGUGAAGACAUGAACCGGUUGUUAACAACAGUGCCAGGCAUGGAAACUUAUCUCCGUUGUCGAGAUCUUCCUAGUUUUUGUCGAGAAACUGAUAUUGAAGAUUCAAUUAUCAAACUUUAUGUAAAACAAACACGAAAGAGCCCUCAAGCUGAUGCCUUGAUACUCAACACCGCCGAAGAGCUCGAUGGGCCUAUACUAUCUCAAAUACGCACCAAAUGCCCUCGCGUCUAUGCCAUUGGACCCUUACAUGCUCAAUUAAACACUAGACUCAAGGCAAAACAUGGAGAAUCAUAUGAUCACUUCUCGAACACCCUUUGGGAAGUGGAUAAAAGCUGCAUCUUUUGGCUAGAUAAGCAACCAAAUCGAUCUGUUAUCUAUGUAAGUUUUGGUAGCAUUACGAGCACGUCAAGGGAGCAACUUGUAGAGCUUUGGUAUGGACUUCUUAACAGUAAAACGAAGUUCUUGCUUGUCGUAAGGCCGAAUUCUGUGAUUGGAAAAGAUGGUGAAGGGGAGGAUGUUGUAGUGGAGCUUAUGGAGAAGAGUAAGGAUCAAGGUUACAUAGUAAAUUGGGCACCACAAGAGGCGGUCUUGAACCACCCAGCCGUUGGCGGGUUCUUUACGCAUAAUGGAUGGAACUCGACUUUGGAGAGCAUCGUGGCGGGGGUGCCUAUGAUUUGCUGGCCUUACUUUGCUGACCAACAAUUGAAUAGUAGGGUUGUGAGUGAGGUAUGGAAAAUAGGGUUGGAUAUGAAGGAUGUAUGUGAUAGAAAGAUAGUGGAGAAAAUGGUGAAUGAUGUGAUGGUGGAUCAAAAGGAGGAGUUCGUACAAUCGGCAGCCGAAAUGGCUAAGGUAACGAAUCAAAGUGUUAAUGUUGGUGGGUCUUCUAAUAGUAAUUUGGAUCAUUUAAUUGAAGAUAUUAGAAUAAUGAGCUUGAAAACCCCAAAAACUAAGUUUUUAAGGAAUGAAUCUAUCUCAAUAUGAAGAAGUUACAUUAACUGCUAAAAUUUUGCUGGUACGAAAAAAAUGAGAGAUCGUCAGUUUAGUUUCUUUGAUUGUAGUAUUUCUUUAAAUAAAAUAACUGAAAUUUAUUAAAAAUCUUUAAAAUAUCCAUGCUUGAUUGAAUAUAGUCACCAAUUAUAAUAAAGAAAUCUAUUGUUUACCCUUAAAAAGAUGUGCAAAAAUAGUUGCUUAUAUUCCAAUAAAAAGGUUACAAUUUAGACUGAACCAUUUAAAAGUUUUUAUUUAAAUUACUAGAUAAUUAAAAUUUCGGAAGUUCUCUUUUACCUUCUCUUUUACAGUUUAAUUUUUUUAUAUAAAAUAACUUUAGACGUCACGAAUCUGAGAAUCAAAAUUUAAGCAACAUUUUUCUUCGAUCUCCGACACUGAUCGUCAGAUUGAAUUGGGUCUAAAAUAUUUUUAAAUUGUUGCUUGGAGCUCACUUGUGGAGCUCUUCCUAUUCUGUUUCUUUCUUUCUUUUAUUUCAUUUUAUUUUAUUUACUUUAUGCUAUAAUAAUAUAAUAUAUAAUAAUUAAUAUAAAUAUCUUUUACUACACAUGUCAUAUUCAUAACCAUACAUUUGUCUUAAUCUAACUAAUUUAUCAAAUAAAAAUCUCAUAAUAUAAUUGUUUAAUUAAUAAUUAUCUUUUACUUAAUUUCCAAGUAAAUAAAUAUAAUGCACUUGUAUUUUAUUUUUACCAUACACUUGAAAAAAUCUUAAUUUAUUAUUAAUCAAAAAUCUUAUACUAAUUAUUUAAUUAUUAAAUAUCUUUUAAUUUAAAAAUAACUAAUAAUAAAUAAUAAUAUCUUAUACUUAAUUAAUAAGCAAAUUAAAUCUAUAAACUACAAAUAUAUACAUACUUUAAUUACACAUGUAUUAUUUUAUCAUAUCCAUACAUUUGGCAUAUUUUGAUUUAUUUAAUAAUAUAAUAUCAUUAUUGUUGACACCAUUUUUGGAUGAAAACGGGGUCGACUUAGAUUUUGAAAAUAAAACGAAAAAUGGGAGUCGCCACCAAUCUUUUUUGAUGAGGUGUGAUCGGGUCACCUCGAAAAGUGGUUGUUUUUAAUAAAUGAUUUAAUUUUAUGAAAACAACGAUUUUGGUCUACGAAAUUCAGAAAAAUGAGUUCGGGAGUCGGUUACGCACGAGGAAGGGUUAGCACCCUCGAUACGCCCAAAAUUGGUACCUAGUUGAUUUCUUAAUGUCUUGGUGUCGAAAAUUAAAAAACUCAAAAAGAAUUUAAAAUACGAUCCCUCCUUAUAUUGUUAUUUUAAAAUUACUCAAAUAAAUCAAAAUGGAAAAUGCUUCCUUAUCUCGAAGUAACAAGAUGUCACGUCCAGUAAGUUAGGAUACAACACAUCGUAUUUUCGAGAGUAAGCUUGCCUUUAUUUUUUUGUUUAAACCUCAUUUAUUUCAAUUUUCAAAGGAUGUUCGAUUAUUUAGGAACAACGCGAGAAAAAUCGAAGCUCAGUAAGUUAGGGCACGAUUUUCUCGAAUUUUCUAAAUACGGAAUAUUGCCUUUAUCAUUGAAAGUUUAAAAAGGUAUUUGGCCAUUUGGUCGAACGAGGAAUCGAAACCCAGCACGUUAGGGCACGUUUUCUCGAACUUUCCAAAUGCGAAAUAUUGCCUUAAUUUAAAACUUUACCUUUUUUGAAUAAUUGCGAGUACAAUACUCGAACGAGAUGCAUUUGUUUUAUUUAGGACAAAAUACAAUGAUUUAUUAUUGGAAUGUACAAAAUCGAGCGUAGCUUUGAAGUGAUGAAAUGAAAUUAAAUGAUAACGGAACAUGACAUAACAAUUUAUGAAUAAAAUGAUACAUCAAUGCAUGACAAAUAUACACGGAUACAAAUAAGCAAAUUAUAGUACGCACAAUGACAAUGAACACAUAAUACAUCUAAUUUAAAUACCAACAUAACUAAUCAAAGGAAAAUAAAACAAAAUAUAAUAUAUAUAUAAAUAUAUAUACAACAAUCUAAAGUAAAUAGUAAUCCAAGAUGAAUGAUUUAUAAGAACAAUAAAUAAUAAAAGGUUCGAAUAACCAAUAUACAAGAAAACUUAAAAUAAAUGAAUAUAAAAAAAUUUAAAAUAAAUAAUAUUAUAUAUAUAAGAAAAAAAGUAUAAACAACUAAAAAAAUGUACAUACAUACGAAAAUUUAAAAGAAAAGAAAAGAAAAGAAAAGAUAUAUAUAUAAUAGUUUACAAUAAAUAAUAAAUAAAAACUUAAACAAACAAAGAUAAAAGAGUUUUUGUUUUUUUUAAAUAACAAUAAUAAACAAAUAAAUUGAAUGGACCCAGGACCAAAUUGAAAUUAAAACGAAAUUAAAUGACAUAAUUGAAAAAUAAAAAAGGACAGUCGGGGCCUGAUCUAAACGCGCGCAGAGAUACAGGGUCAAAAGGGAAAUAUUCCCAUGCCAUCUGAAACGGCAUCGUUUCAGGGUAUAUCUGUGCAUGGUCUAUGAACCAAACUGAAGCGUAAGCAAAACUUAAGGCCAAAAUUGAAAAUUAAAAGGAACUACAUUGAAUGCGCCUAAAAGAUGAAGGGACUUAUUUCGCAAAUAUCCCCUUUAGGGAAAACGCGCGGAUCCCCCCUGACGGGUCGGGUCGCGCACACGGAUGGCCCUAUACGGCGCCGUUUUGGGGCCACUGAAACAGGCCCUAAACGACGCCGUUUUGCAUCACUUAUAAAAAACAAUUUUUUUGUUUUGAAACCCAUUCUGCCAUUCAAAAGAAAAAAAAUAAAAGAAACUCUCUCAUAUACUCUCAACUCCUCCCUUCUUUCAAACGCCGAUCAUGGGAUUCCGGCCGAUUGCCGUCGUGUAGCACCACCGUGCACGGUGGCCGGCAUAGCACAAAAGAGGCGUUUCGGUAUCACUUCGAGGCACCCACGAAGGUCAAACACCCUUGGCCCGAAAGCCAAUAAAAAAGGACUCCCAAACCCACCUUUCAAGGCCGAUUCCGACGACGGAGAGAUCUCCGACGACGCGGCCGACGGUGUUUCAGGUAAGUUUCUUCCCUUCUCUUUUUAUUUGUUUUCGCAAAUAAAUAAAAAAAUAAAAAAAAAAACUAGAUCUAAAAAAAACACAAAAAAAACGAAAUAUCACCUUCUCUGAUUCAAAAUCUAUCUUUUUAUUACUAUGGUGUCCCCCCAUUUACAAUGACCAUAGGGCUUUUAUAUAGCCCAAAAUCCAAAGAAAAAAAAAUACAAAGAAUUUCAUUUUUGGACAAAGAAUUUCAUUUUUGGUGUUUUUCUUUGCUGUCCUUUUUUGUCUUCUUUUGCAGGCAUAGAGUGGUGGAGGCAAGUGGGUGUGCUGGUGGCAGACAACUGGUAGUGGCGGGCUAAGGUGGGGCGGCGGCUAGAGGCUUGGGGAGCUGCUAGGGUUUCCUCUCUUUUUUUUUGAAAAUAUUUAGUGGGCUGGACUUAGGGUUUUAGUCUGUUGGGCUAAAUUGGGUUUGGUUAGGGUUGGUUUAAGUUGGGCCAAAAUUGGGCCUUUACAAUUAUAAUUUAAUUAUAAUUAUAUUCCCUUUAUGCUGCCUCGACUAUGCUAAAUGGCUUAAUUGCCCUUUUAGCCCUUUUUACUUUCUUUUAAUCUAUAAUUAGACUUUCACUCUUUAAUCAAUUUGAUCCUUUUUCCUAAUUAUUCUUAAUUAGACUAAAUUCACCUAAUUAAUACCUAACUAAGCACUCAACUAAACUCAUAAUUACUUCUAAUAAUUAUUUAUGACUCGGUUUACUAGGACAGAGGCCCGAUAAUGUACUUUUUCGGUACCCACGAAUUUUGGGUCCUUACAUAAAGAGAACUCCUCUUCAAUAGUAGCACCAAUACACUCCCCUCAAUAAACUUGUGUAAUUUGGCUUCAAUUUCUUUAAUUAGAGUAUCUCUUUAAACAAUUAAGUGAAUCAUACUAAUAACUCUUUAAAAUUAUCAUUGACUAAAUAUAAUGACUAAUAAAUCAUGAGAAUUAAGUGAGAUGGUAAGAGUUUUUCUUACAUUAAUUAGUGGUCGAGAGUUCGAUCCUCGCCCUGGGUAGAAAACUAUUUUAAAACUUGUUUGUCAGCAUCUAUCAUUUAAUGGGCCUAAAAAAUGCAUAGAAUUAAUUACUGAAUUCACUCCAAUAAAUAUAUAUUUACGAAUAAAUAUUUGCUAAUAAAUCAAAAGGUUAAUUGUGAUGAUGUCAACAUUGAAGGGUCAAAUUAGUAAUAGUAUUGUUUUUAUCCAUAAGUUCCUACUUUUUGACCUAAAUUUCUCCAACCCGUGUCCUAACAGACAUUGUUGACCAUUCAACAGCAGCCCCCCAAAACAUUGAUCUUUAAAGCACUUAAAAACUCAAAAUCCCCGUCAAAAAACCAAUCCUGUAAUUUACAUGGAAAUGGAUUCUCCUUCACAAUCUCGUCCUCCACAUGUUGUCAUCUUCCCUCUCCCAUUACAAGGCCAUAUAAACUCCAUGAUUAAGCUAGCUGAACUAUUAGCCCUCGCCGGUUUCAAGCUCACUUUCCUCAAUUCCCACCAUAACCAUGAACGCCUGAUCAAGUUCACCAACAUUGUUGCCUAUUUUAAAAGAUACCCAGGGUUCGAACUCAAGACCAUAACCGAUGGUCUUCCUCUUGAUCAUCCCAGAUCAGGGAAUUGGUUCCUUGAGACGUAUGAAGAAGCCAUUAUAAUGAAAAUCAAGCAGAGGUUUAGAGAGAUGUUGAUGAAUAGCAAUCCACCGGUGGAUUGUGUAAUUGCAGAUGGGUUUUCUGGGUUUGCCAUUGAUGUUGCGAAUGAGCUUGGGAUCCCCAUCAUUGGUUUUCGUACCAGCAGUCCUCGUAGUUUCUGGGUUUAUUAUUCUAUUACUGAUAUAAUCAAAGCUGGGGAGCUUCCUAUCAGAGGUAAAAUCAACCUUCUUUUUUAUCAAAUUUGUUUUCAUUUCAAUGAUGUUUACUACUGUUUCUAAUCUAGAAUUGUAGGAACUCUAAUUAGUAAGAAUGGCAUGGUAAUCAAUUGGAUAAUUUGGGUCACUCUUGGUUGGAUUAAUUUGUAUUUUAAGAUUGUUGAUUCGUUUCGAAUUUGGAUAUUUUAAUUUGGGUUAUUUUGAGUUGUGAUUUAGAUUUUGAGUCAUUCGGGUUUAACUCUUAAGCUCAUGUUCAUUGUUGAUUUCAAAUCCAAAUCAUUCUGGAUUUUCAGUAAGGUUUUUCGAGUUGGGUCUGUUUUGGUUUUUCUUCAUAUAGAUUUAAUUUUUGAUUUCAAUUAUUUUUAAUUUGAGAAAUAUAAGGUUUGAUUUAUUCAGGUUUACAGUAAGAUUUUUUAGGUUGGGUCUAGUUCUUGUCUACGCUGGAAUGAUUGAUCUCCUAAAACAAGUUUUAAAUGUAAAUUUCUAUACAUAAACUUGCUUAGGUUGAUGGGUUUUUGUUAAAAUAUGGAAGGAAGUGAAGACAUGGACAGGUUGAUAACAACAGUGCCAGGCAUGGAAACUUAUCUUCGAUGUCGAGAUCUUCCUAGUUUUUGUCGAAAAUCGGACAUUGAAGAUUCAACUGUUCAACUUAUUGUUAAACAAACACGAAAAAGCACUGAAGCCGACGCCUUGAUAUUCAACACCACUGACGAGCUCGACGGACCUAUACUAUCUCAAAUACGCACUAAAU
rnacentral:lncRNA from 1 species